rnacentral:lncRNA from 1 species
CCAUCAAAAGGAAUUUUGUUCAAUCCCAAUCCCACAUUGUCUGUAGAAGUAUUUACUUUUGACUGUACACUUUGUUAUUUUCCAAUCCCUCCCCAGUUCUGCAACCAUUUCUCUACUUUCUAUGCUCUUGGCUUGCUAAAAACUAAAGAAAACACAUUGCUCUACUUGCCUGCCUUCACUCUUCAGAUUGCUCAACAAAUCCCUUGAGACCUUCUCCAUAGUUAACACAUCACAUAAUGGCUACUCUAAAAAAUUUAGCCAUAAACAUUGAACACCUUGAGCAAUCAACGUGCCUUCCUUCACAAUAUCCAUCACCCAUAAAUCUUUCUUUUGGGAUGUCGCCGGGAGUUUAAUUUCCGUGUAAAAAUUAUGUAUAAAUUUCCAUUCUUUCCUUCCAUCCAUUACUUGUCCUCUAUGAAGAUUCUAUGUAUGAAAUCUCGGAAUCUUUUCGAGUAUAACUUGGGAUCAACAGCUGAGAUAGACGUGGGAUCCACUUCUAAGGACUUGUAUGCAUGCUCUAGCUUUUUGCUGAUAUCAUAAUCCUAGAGAUACCAAAGUGAAGAACUACAUCUCACAAUCACCAAAAUUCAAAGUAAAGUAACGGAGAAGAAAAUCUGAUAACAAUGAAUGAUCACUCAUUAACCACAGCGAAUCUUACGCUUUGAAAACACUUUUCACCAUCAAUUUUCCUUUUCUCAUUGAUUUUAAAUCUUCCAGGCAGAUAAAAUAGCAUUGGUUUUAUUCAUCAGCUUAGGCAUCAACAACAUGUUGCAUCCACAAUCUUACUACUACAUUAUAAUUAUAAACAAAGCUAAAAAAAUAUAUAUAUGAGGACAGAGUUAACAGACAUGCACUAAGAGUUAACAGACAUGCACUAACACACACUGUGCAAAUCAGUGUACAGCUGUUAUAACAAACAAGUGUACAAUCUGUUUUCUCCAACCUUCCAGCAUUAUUCUCCCGAGCAUAUUCUGUCAGCUCAAGAUUAGGCAAUUCUGUUAACCAUUCUGUUAGCUCUGUUCUCUUUUGUUGUAUAUAUACUUGAUUGAUUGAUUGAUUCAAUAACAUUAUCUUUCUCUCUUCUCACCUGCCCCCUUUUUCUUCUCCUUUUACCUCUAGCUUCCAAUGCCUAUCAACACCACCAUCCUUAACACAAAUGAAUCUCACAGCAUGUUGAUUACCAUCAAUGUAGCAGCCCAAACUCCAUUAAAACUUAUCUCCACCAGGCACCAACUAUCUAGCCUGGAAACUUUGUUGGGGAUUCCGGCUCCCCCAUGCGCGGACCGGGGGUGUACUGAUAGUUGCUCAACGGAGGGUAAAGCACACUGAUACAAUAUUUUACGUGGUUCGGCAAAACCGCCUACAUCCACGGGAGAGUCCAUAUUAUUAGAGAUAUAUAGAGAAAGGAUUACAACAUACAUGGAGGAGGAGGAUCACUUCACUCAAACUCAAUUCCCAGCUCUUUUGCUACACUUACAGCUGCUGCAAUGGCAGCAGCCAUUGCAGCUCUCUCUUUCUCUCCACUCUCUUGCACACACUCACGUUCUCUCUCUCUCAUUUUUCUCUCAAAUAUAAGCCUCCUUUAUAGGCAUUUCAUGGUCAACAUGGAGGGGCCAAUAGCCUUAAAGCAUGGCAUGAAUUGUGGCACAAUUCAUGCUUCCACUUGCUUAGUGGUGGGGUAUUGCCACAAAUGGCAAUAUCCUAACAAUCACCCCCUUUGCCAUUUGUGUGGGCAAUUGUCCUCUUGCUUCUUCAGCACAGGCUUGCAUCUUGCAGCUCUUCCAAGCUUACCAUUCUGAGAGCGUCUUCAACACAACAUUCCCUUUCGAGUGUAUCAAUCAUGCUCGGUCCGGAAUGAUUUUUCAAGCCUUACACCAAGGCUUACAACACCCCCUCAAAUAGAUAUUUCUAAGUGCGACAGUCAUUUAGUAUUUCAAUGUGAUCACAAGCUCACCACUCUUCCAAGAGUCUACUCAUCCAAGAGUUGUGCCUGCCCUCUGUUCCACCCUAGGAACCACGUCUUACUUCUCCGUGAGUCUCUCGCUCUUAGUCGUAAGAGUCCAGGUAGCUCUCCACCUUUAACCAUAGGGGCAGCCCAUUAAAGGUUGAUUCAUAUCUGUCUUCAUACUCUGAGUAUUACAAUGCCAUUACCGAGCUCACCACCUUAACAAGAGUCAACUCGUUCUCGGAACCUGCGCAUGCCCUUCUGCUUCUUCAUAGCAGCCGCGUCUUAAUGCUCCACAAGUCACACACUUAUUGUCCAAGGCAAAUGUCUUCUAGCUCAUUGAUCUUUAGCAUGGGGGCAAUAUCCAUGAAAGUCAAUCCUGCAUUUGUCUCCAUACUCAUCAUAGCCACUUCAUUGGCUAUCUAUACACUUGUCCACUUGUAUCUAGCCAUCACAUCGGCUUUGGAGCGUUCUGAACUGGGCUCAUAUCAUGGCCCUCACACCUUCUCCUCAGGUGUCUCCGCUCGUCAUCAUGCGACGGUCUGAACUGGGGCUCCUCUCAUAGCCCUCACACCUUCUCUACGGUGUCUUCGCCCGUUGUCAUGGGGCGGUCGCAUCCUUCUUCAGCUGGGAUGCUUCAAAGUGGCUCCAAAAUUCUCUACCACCAUGUGCACUAUGGGAGAGAUUAUAACCACUGAUUACAUAGAAAGAGAAACUUGCGGUAUACUCCUCGCAAUCCUCCACCUCGAUUUCUAUGUUUGGAGCUUUUGUGUCUUUCUACUUGAUAGCUCCACCUACACCAACUCUCUUUGGUGUCUUCGCCUUUCAUCAUAGGCGGUCGCCUUUUAUCACAGGCGUUUGCACCCCCUCAAUUAGGUGCUUCUACAACAGCUCUCUUUCCAUCCUUGCAUGCAUUGGAAAGGUCUUCGCCUGUUGUCUUCAUCAAGAGCAUAAGAGACUUCCUGUUGUACAAACUUUAACAGUCUCUGCUCUGAGCUUCAUCUGGGAACACUUCUUCUCCUUGCACCUAUUGUCUCAUUACAGUACCUCGUUGGAUCCUACGGGUACUCCUGCACAAUCUCCGUGUGCCCUCGUGCAAUUUCUGUUCUCCAGAUUUCUCCCUAUUUCUUGCUUAUGUUUGACAGCAGCUCAUCCUGUCACAACACCUGUCCAAGUCAAAAAUAUGGUGCCAAUCUUUAUCCCCUUGCUGUAUUCCUCUUCCAUUAUCAGGGUCUUCAUCAGUUCUCCCCUCGAGAAAUCACAGUCACCGAAUCUAACUUCUUUGGAGAAAUCACCACUCCAUCAGAUCCUUGAACCUUUGGAACCCAACUAUUCCCUUGUGCCGUCAUCCUGCUAGCCUUCAACUGUUUCAUUACAAACUGCUAUAUAUACAAAAAUAGUACCGUAUGGAUAAUCCUUCCACUAAGCAAGUUCCCAGGAAAGAUUGGAGGGGUCACACUGGUCCCGCUUAAAACCCAAUCUCCUAGACAGAACUUCUUAGGACAUAUCUAUCCAUCGUACUGUCUUUUUGUAUAUACAACCAUUUGCUAGCUUUGUUGCGGCUUUCCUUUACAAGUGAUCUGGGGUAUCCCGAUUUUAUACCUGAUUUCUCAACAUCUGGCGAGACUACCAGUUCUUAGAUUCGUCAAGAUUGGUCUUUAUCAAUUUUCACUCUACACCUCUAAUUGUCCACUUGAUCGGGUGUCUAGAGUGUCCCAAUUUUGCCUUCCCUCAAGGCAGUUAAAUUUCUCCCAACUUAGCAGCUCAGCACAUGUAAUUGGGUAAACAUGUGCACCUUCUUCUUCUUCUCUUCAACGACCACCAUGAUAACCUUCAGAUGCCUCCUGAUCGGGCAAUCUCUUUUGUUAAUUCAUCACUACCACUUUCGGUCUCAAAUCUCAACGAUCGGACCAUACCAUUGCAUCCGAAACGAUCAAAUUAGCUGGAAACAAGUCUGAAAUCGUCCAAAUCGCACUUCAGACGGCUAAGAUUUGAUCAAAACAAUUCUGGCCUGAUCAAUGGCUCAGAUUCAAUCUCAGAUCCGGUUGCACGUAGGAUCAGCUACACUGGAUCCUGUCCCUCGGCUCGCGGCUCGGCUCCAAUUAGGCUCGGCUCGGCUUGGCUCGGCUCGUGGCUAAUGACGUGGUUGGUGGGUCCCACUUUGCUGACGUGUCAGUGACUGUACGCUGACAUGGCAUGCCAACUGUGCAUGCUGACAUCACACUUACAUCAGGCUGAUGUCAUCCCUGGCAUGCCUACUAUGCAUGUUGACAUCACAAUUAUGUCAUACUGACGUCAUUCAUAUCCGGGUCAGCCAUGUGGGUCGGGUCAACUGGUAUUUGGGUCGGGUCAGCCCAUCCGGGCGAAGAAGACGCGUGGGGUGCGUCUGCGCGCGUGGGCAGACGCCUUGCCGGAGAGUGAUGGAGAGUACGGCCAUGUCCGACGUCCGAUUUUGACGCCGUUUUCACCAGUGGCUUCGUCUCGGCCUCCUCUACACGGUGGUAUAGUCAAAACACCAUUUUGAGAACUUUCAUUUUUGAGCAAAAAUCAAACACCCCUUUAAACCAUGUGCUCUGAUACCAGUUGUUGGGGAUUCCGGCUCCCCCAUGCGCGGACCGGGGGUGUACUGAUAGUUGCUCAACGGAGGGUAAAGCACACUGAUACAAUAUUUUACGUGGUUCGGCAAAACCGCCUACAUCCACGGGAGAGUCCAUAUUAUUAGAGAUAUAUAGAGAAAGGAUUACAACAUACAUGGAGGAGGAGGAUCACUUCACUCAAACUCAAUUCCCAGCUCUUUUGCUACACUUACAGCUGCUGCAAUGGCAGCAGCCAUUGCAGCUCUCUCUUUCUCUCCACUCUCUUGCACACACUCACGUUCUCUCUCUCUCAUUUUUCUCUCAAAUAUAAGCCUCCUUUAUAGGCAUUUCAUGGUCAACAUGGAGGGGCCAAUAGCCUUAAAGCAUGGCAUGAAUUGUGGCACAAUUCAUGCUUCCACUUGCUUAGUGGUGGGGUAUUGCCACAAAUGACAAUAUCCUAACAAACUUCAAUUCCAGACUCUAUUCAUAGGACAUUUGAUUGAGGUCUCCACAAACAUUGAAACACCGCAAUUUUUCAUGAUAAAAUCCAAAGGAUUGGUACUUUGGUGUUUGAGGGGCUGGUAAAUGAAAGAACAGAUCAAGAGAUGACAUCCCUCUAUACCGCUGUUAUUCCUUUCAAGGUGCGUAUCAGGUGUUUGAAAAACUUCCUCAACUUAAAAAUAAAAAGGUCCUGUUUACAAUGUUUUUUAGUCCUUUACAAAUCUUCCAAUGUGUUGCGUUUACUGAAUAUGAUAGUGGGAACUUAUUUAUCAAGAAUUAACUACUCAGAAGAAAAUGUAAAGACGCAAUAAUGAUUUUUUUAUUUUAGAUUCCAUAGUCUACAAACUUGGAAGCAUACGGACCAGUCAGAAGACAACAUGUUUAUUGUAUAUGAUAAACAAUAAUAAACAUCUCAUUCUUAAAAUGAUGGUAAAUCAGAAACAACCAUCCAAUACUUGAAGAUCUGUUGAAGAUAUUUGGCCUUUGGAAAUUUUGAAGAGAACUGGAGCAGUUGCAUAUGGAUUAGCUCUUCCAUCCAAUCUUUUCAUCUAACCAUCCAGUUUUCUAUGUAUCCAUGCUUUAAAAGUAUCUUCGUGCUCCAUCACAUGUAUUGGAGCCAUAAACAGUAGCAUUUCAAGGAGAUAUGUCAUGUGAAAUCCGUUCUAAUGAGAUUGCUUCAGUGAAAGUAAUGUGAGAAGGUCAUCCAAGUGAUGAAGCAACACGAGAACCUGAGAAGAUGAUACGUAAUAAAUAUCGUUAUUUCUUCAUUCAAUCAAGCUAACAAGUUUUCUACUUAAAUUCGAGGAUGAAUUUAUUUUAACAGGGGAGGUGGAAAUGUAAACCCACCCCAUAAUAUAUAACUCAUUAUUGUUUUAUAUGUUGGCCCGUUAAUUCAAGUCAUUUUCUUCUAUCUCUCUUAUAGGAAUGUUCCUCCUUCUCCCUUUUACUGCAAAUAUUCCCCCACGAUCCCAAACCAUCAAUUGACCCUAUAACUCUCUUGUUUUGAGUAGGUUUACUUCAACUUUAUCAAGUGUUUAUAAUAUUGUUUUAUGUUUAUUUAUUUAUAUAAAAUUGUUGAAUUCUAGGCGUUAUAUGAUAUUAGUUGAUGUUAUAUGGAAUUAUUUAAAUUAAUUUGUGUGUGGGUAGUAAUAAGUGUAUAUGAAUAUGAAUUGGAGUAAGGUCAUAGAUGGGUUGGUGUGAAGCUUUGAUUAAUUGAUAUAUUUUGAUGUAAUGAGUAAAUACCUUAAGAAAUUUGAAUAUUUGAAAGAUAAUAGGUAAAUAUUGAAGAAUUGUAUAGAAAGAAUCAUAUUGAAAUUAUGAAAAAUAUGUUUUGGGGUUGAUGAUGGAAGAAUUACAGUUUGGUCCUUGCUUUUGAGAAAUUAAGAUUUUGUCCCUAAAUUCUAAAACAAUUAUAGUUUAGUCACUGGUUGUAAAUAACAAUUUUUAAGAUAUUUUCCUGAUAAAUAUCUGAGAAAUAAUGAUCAUCUAUUAUCAAUUUUUAUUGUUAUCAUUUAAAUUUAAAAUUAAUUGUAUUAUCUACGAGCACAAGUGGUACAGUUAUCAAUCGAAUUUUAGCAAAAUCAAGGAUCCAAGAAUUGGCCUCUGUAACAUAUUAGGAAACUGGCAUGCAAACCCGACAAGAUAAAAGGCAAGGGACAAGAUAAAAUGAGAAAUAAGACACAAGAAUUUACGUGGUUCACCCAAUUUGGCUACGUCCACGGGCAAGUAUAGAAGGAUUUUACUAAGUAAUGUGGGAAUUACAACCUCUCUCUACUAAUAGGAGAACAACUGAAAUCUCUCUAUUAAUAGGAGAAAACACCUCACUUACUCUCUCACAAAUACCUCACAAUUUUGUGGGAUUACUUUCCCUCUCUCACUCUUCUCUUCCUCUCUUAUGAUGUGCAAAAUAAGCUUGGAUGCACUGCCUAUUUAUAGGCAAGCAUCCAAGCAAAGGACAAAAAGGCACCAAUUGGUGCUGCAAGUGGCACCGAAUUGGUGCCCAACAUUGUUGAAUUUGCAGCACAAAUUUGGUGCCUAACAUUGUUGACUUUGCCAACAAUGCAGCUGGCUUCACAUUCUCCCACUUGAAGACUUUGAUGAGUGAAUCAAGUCUUCACACUUAAUCAUCUGUGAUUCUUCUAUCCUUUCUAUACUUGUCAUCUUCAUGCUGCUUACAUUUCUGUUAGGCCAUAAGAGGAUCUGCACCAUAUGUACUUGUCAGUGUUGACUGGUUUGGUUAAAGCAUCUGCUGGGUUUUCCUUCGUGUGAACCUUUUGAAAAUCUACACUUCCAUCUUCCACUACUUCGCGAACAAAGUGAUACUAAACAUCUAUGUGUUUUGUUCUUGAAUGAAACGCGGGAUUCCUUGCAAUAUGCAAAGCACUCUGACUAUCACAAUACAAAAGAAUGUUCUCUUGUUUGUGCCCGAGCUCCUCCAUAAGUUUCUUCAUCCAUAUUGCUUCUUUACAAGCUUGUGUAGCUGCCAUGUACUCAGCUUCUGUUGUGGAUAAAGCUACAACAGUCUGAAGUUUAGAGACCCAGCUCACAGCUCCUCCUGCAAUUAUGAACACAUAGCCUGUAGUGGAUUUUCUUUUCUCAAGGUCGCCAGCAAAAUCUGAAUCAACAUAACCUCUGACGGUAAAUUCUGAUCCUCCAUAUCAUAAUGCAACAUCUGAGGUGCCCUUGAUGUAUCUCAAGAUCCUCUUAAUAGUAUUCCAAUGCUCUCUACCAGGAUUUGCCAUGUAUCGACUAGCUACUCCCACUGCUUGUGCAAUGUCUGGUCUUGUACAUAUCAUGGCAAACAUUAAGCUUCCCACUGCUGAUGCAUACGGUACUCGAGACAUCUCCAUCCUCUCUGCUUCAUUGCUAGGAGACAUACUUGAGGAUAAUUUGAAGUUAAUAGGAAGUGGGGUGGAAAUUGGCUUACAAUCUUGCAUGUUGAAGUGUCGUAAGAUCUUAUUCAAAUAAUUCUUCUGAGAAAGCCAAAUCUUCCUCUUACUUCUGUCUCGGUGAAUUUGCAUCCCUAGAAUCUUGUUUGCUGGUCCCAAGUCCUUCAUAUCAAACUCCCUAGCCAACUGUGCCUUCAAUUCUUGGACUCGAUCUUUGUUGGAGCCUAUUACCAACAUGUCAUCCACGUACAACAACAAAAUGAUGAAAACAUCAUUUUCUUCAAACCUCUUGUAAUACGUACAAUGGUCUGAACUGAGUCUGUUGUACCCAAGGCUAAUUAUGAAGGAAUCAAAUCUCUUGUACCAACAUCUCGGCGCCUGUUUGAGACCAUAUAGAGAUUUGUUCAACCUGCAAACCAAGUUCUCCUUGCCUACUUCAGCAAAACCCUCUGGUUGGAGCAUAUAAAUUUCUUCUUCAAGUUCUCCAUGAAGAAAUGCAGUUUUCACAUCUAACUGCUCUAAGUGAAGAUCAAAUAUAGCACACAUCGCCAAGACUACUCUGAUUGUAGUAAGUCAUACCACUGGAGAAAAUAUCUCAUUAAAAUCUAUUCCUUCUUUCUGAGCAUAUCCUUUCACCACCAAUCUUGCACGAUACCGCUCCACUUGAUUAUUGCCAUCAUGCUUUAUCUUGUAAACCCAUUUGUUGCCAAUGGCCUUCCUUCCUUGUGGUAGCGGAACAAGAUCCCAAGUGUUGUUCUUGUGUAGAGCUUCAAUCUCCUCUUGCAUCGCUGUCAUCCACAUAGAUACAUCUGUGCUUUUGAUAGCCUCAUGGAAAGUUGAUGGCUCUCCAUCCUCUGUUAGAAGACAGUAUGCAAUGUUGCUCUCAGUAACAUAUUCUGAGUGCCAAGCCGAUGGUCUUCUUUCACGAGUUGACCGUCGAACUUCAGGAGUUUCAGAUUCUAUUUGUUCUUGUUCUUCAUGCUCUGGUACAGCUUCAGAAGAAGUAUGAUUCUGAGUAUUUUCCAUCUGGACUGCUGUAGUCUCCUUUGGAAUGCUAUUAUGUUCUUCCAUUUGUAUUUUACCUUCUGCAAAUAUAACAUCUCUGCUGAUGACUAGCUUGUGGGAUUGGGCAGUGGGAUCCCACAAGCGAUACCCCUUCACUCCAUCAGCAUAUCCCAAGAAUACACAUUUUCUGGAUUUUGAAUCCAGCUUGUUGACUUCUUGAGUAUUGUACAUCACGUACACAGGACUUCCAAAUAUAUGUAAUUGAGAAUAAUCAGCUGACUUUCCAGUCCACAUCUCCAUCGGUGUCUUCAGCUCAAUUGCAGUUGAUGGAGAUCGAUUUAUCACAUAACAGGCGGUAUUGACUGCUUCUGCCUAGAAUGACUUUCCUAGACCUGCAGCCUUCAACAUUGCUCUCGUUCUUUCUAAUAGAGUUCUGUUCAUCCGCUCUGCCACUCCAUUUUGCUGUGGAGUGUAUGCCGUUGUGAACUGCCUUUUGAUACCUUCAUGUUGACAGAAGUUAUCAAAUUCAUCACUGGUAUAUUCUCCUCCAUUGUCAGUCCUCAAACACUUGAUCUUCUUUUCAGAUUCAAGUUCCACCCGCGCUUUGAAAGUUUUAAAGAUUGCGAACACAUCUGCCUUCCUUCUAAUUGGAUGCACCCAACAUCUCCUGGAGAAGUCAUCUAUGAAUGAUACAAAGUAUCUUGCUCCUCCCAAGGAUACAACCGGUGCUUGCCAAACAUCAGAGUGAAUCAAGUCUAAGAUGCAUUUGCUCUUAGUUGUUGAUGUGCCAAACUUCAACCUGUGUUGUUUACUUGUAACACAGUGCUCCCAAAAAGGUAAAGUAACCUUUGUAAGCCCAGGGAGUAACUUCUGAUCAAAGAGAACUUUCAAACCUUUCUCUGACAUGUGGCCUAGUUUUUGAUGCCACAUCAUCGUCUUCUUUUCUGCAGGACUGGCUGAUGCGAUUGACGCUUCUGCCCUAUGAUGUGUUUCUCCCAUUAAUACAAACAUGUUUGCAACUAUUUUUCUCGCCUUUAAAACUACCAACGCUCCUUUGACAAUUUUCAUUAUUCCAUUGUCUGUUCGGAUCUUAUAGCCAAGACUAUCAAAUUGUCCCACAGACAAAAGAUUUUUCUUUAAGUCUUUCACAUGACGCACUCCUGUAAUAGUACGAAUUAAGCCAUCAUACAUCUUCAAUUUGAUGGUGCCAAUGCCAGCAAUCUCUAAAGCAUGAUUAUCACCCAUGAACACUUUGCCUCCAGAGAUGGGUUCAUAUGUAUGGAACCAAUCUCGAUUAGGAGUCAUAUGCCAUGUUGCUCCUGAAUCCAUUAGCCAGACCUCAGUAAGCUCUUCUCUAUCUGUAGAGAUUGUCGCUGCUUCACUAUAUAAAACCUCCCCAUCUUCUGAGGUGCUCGCAACACAUCCUUGAGGUUUUGAUGACUCUGCAGUAUUCUCUAUACCCCUUUUAAACCAACAAUCCUUUUUGAAGUGCCCUUUUCUGCCACAGUUGUAGCAUUUCACAAUCUUCUUACUUCUUGAUUUGGACCUCCCUUGCCUUUGACUCCCACUGGAGCCACGCUCCGUUGAUCUCCCUCUUGACAUCAACAAUGCCUCUGCUUGGUUUGAACUAUUUCUGUCUCCUUUAUUUUUGCGCCUAUUUUCUUCUUCCAAGAUAGCGGCUGCAACAUCAUCAAAGACUAAAUAGUCUGUGAGGAUAUUAUUGGUCAAGUUGAUAAUGAGCUGAUCAUACGAAUCUGGGAGACUUCGAAGUAGAAGUUCUGCACGUUCACUUUCCUCUAUUUGUUGACCCAACGUAGUGAGUUGUGAAAAUAGAGUUCUUAUUGUGUUGAUGUGGUCAGUCACUGCCGUGGUUUCUGCCAUUCGAAGGGUAUAAAGUCUCCGCUUUAAGAAAAUCUUAUUGUGCAAAGACUUGGACUCAUAUAGCUUUGUUAGAGUCUCUCAUAUCUCCUUAGCUGUUUUCUUCUCCGCUACACUUGAUAAUACUUCAUCGGCUAAUGCUAAAUGUAUGUUAGCAAUAGCAUUGCCAUCCAUCUCAUUCCAUUUUGCAUUAUCAGUGAUCUCCGCGGGCCGAUCCCCAAUUGCUGCCAAGCAAUUGUCUUUCCUUAAGAUUGCUUUGAUUCUCAUUUUCCAGAGUGAGAAAUUGCUCCCAUUGAACCUCUCAAUCUCAUACUUUGCUGCCAUUUUAUUCACCGUGAUCUAUUCAGCUAUCACUGUUUCACAGAUCUGUAACGUAUAUAGAAAUAGUAUCGUGUGAAUAAUACUUCACUAAGUAAGUUCCCAGGAAAGAUUGGAGGGGUCACAAAUGGUCCCGCUUAAAACCCAAUCUCCUUAGACAGAACUUCCUAGACUGUAUUUAAUCACCGCACUGACUUUCUAUAUACGCCAACAGUAACGUAUGUGAAUAGUGCCGUAGACGUGAAUAGUAACCGUAUACACGAAUAACUUUUGUGUAUUAACAACACCAACCAAAAGGCUCUGAUACCACUAUUAGGAAACUGGCAUGCAAACCCGACAAGAUAAAAGGCAAGGGACAAGAUAAAAUGAGAAAUGAGACACACAAGAAUUUACGUGGUUCAACCAAUUUGGCUACGUCCACGGGCAAGUAUAGAAGGAUUUUACUAAGUAAUGUGGGAAUUACAACCUCUCUCUACUAAUAGGAGAAAACACCUCACUUACUCUCUCACAAAUACCUCACAAUUUUGUGGGAUUACUUUCCCUCUCUCACUCUUCUCUUCCUCUCUUAUGAUGUGCAAAAUAAGCUUGGAUGCACUGCCUAUUUAUAGGCAAGCAUCCAAGCAAAGGACAAAGGGGCACCAAUUGGUGCUGCAAGUGGCACCGAAUUGGUGCCCAACAUUGUUGAAUUUGCAGCACCAAUUUGGUGCCUAACAUUGUUGACUUUGCCAACAAUGCAGCUGGCUUCACAUAACAUAGUUUGUAUUCUGAGCCAAUCUGGGGUGGGACUUGAAACAAAUGUUGUAUAUUGUUUGCACUGUCACUUUGCUUACCCUCUUAGGUUUUUAUUGAGAUUAGGGAUUCUAUUGUAGCUCUUUUUUCUCCUUUUAUUAUAAUAAAAUAAUAUCUAUGGAUUAAUUUUGGUAUAAUUUAAGAAAGUAAGUCCUUUAAUCAAAUUUUAGAUUGACCAUCCUCUAUGUGUUAAAAGUAAAUGUUAAUUUAUAAAAUAAUAACUAUGUUUAAGUCUUGAUUAACUCAGAAGAUGUCUUCUAAGACGCAUCUCUGUCUUCUCUUCUCUUCUCUUCUUCUCUAUAAAAUUCCUUUUUAGCUCUCUGAUGUACUUAAUGUCCCGGAGGUGUGGCUUCUUCAUAUGAAGAAAAUGUUAAGAUUCAAUUAUGAUUUUAGAUUUUAGAUUCCAUUGUCUACAAAUUUGAACCAUGAUGAUGAAGCAUACGGACCAGUCAGUAGACAACAUGUUUAUUAUAUAUGAUAGAGGUCCUCAAUGUAUUUCACGUUUCUAUGAGAAAUUUCACGAGACUAUGAGUACUCGAAUUGAUCUUAGUACAACAUUUCAUUCUCAAAAUAAUGGUUAAUAAAAAAGAACCAUUCAAAUACUUGAAGAUAUGUUGAUAGCAUGCAUACUUAAGUGGAGUUUGCUGGAACAAAUAUGUACCAUUGGUGGAGUUCGUUAAGAGGGGGGAACUAAUUCCUCGAUAUAUUAGGCCUUUGGAAAUUUUGAAGAGAAUUGGUGCACUUGCUUAUGGAUUAGCUCUUCCACCCAGCUUUUUCAUCUAAACAUCCAGUAUUCCAUGUAUCCAUGCUUUAGAAGUAUAUUUGUGCUCCAUCACAUGUAUUGGAGCCAUAAACCGUAGCAUUUGAAGAAGAUAUGUCAUGUAAAAUUCGACUGGAGAGAAUUGAAGAUAGACAAAUUAGAAAACUUCGUUCUAAAGAUUGCUUUAGUGAAAGUAAUGUGAGAAGGUCAUACCUGAGAAGAUGAUACGUAAUAAAUAUCGUGAUUUCUUCAUUCAAUCAAGCUAGCAAGUUUUCUAAUUAAAUUUCGAGGGUGAAUUUAUUUUAACAGGGGAGGAAAUGUCAACCCCACCCAUAAUAUAUAACCCAUUAUUGUUUUAUUGGUCCAUUUAGGUAGCCCAUUUGUUAUAUACAGAAGGAGAGAGGUAAGGACAUUGUUAGUCAUUUUCUUCUUUCUCUCUUACGGGGAAUGUUCUUCCUUCUCCCUUUUACUGCAAAUAUUCCCCCACAAUCCUAAACCACCAAUUGACCAUAUAACUCCCUUGUUUUGAGUAGGUUUACUUCAACUUUAUCUAAGUGUUUAUAAUAUUGUUUUAGGUUUAUUUCUUUAUAUAAGCUUGUUGAAUUCUAGGCCUUAUAUGAUAUUAGUUGAUGUGAUUUGGAUUUAUUCUUAAGUUAAUUUGUGUGUGGGUAGUAACAAGUGUAUAUGAAUAUGAAUUGAAGUAAGUACCUUAACAAAUGUGAUGGGUUGGUGUGAAGCUUUGAUUAAUUGCUAUAUUUUGAUGUAAUGAGCAAAUACCUUAAGAAAUUUGAAUAUUUGAAAGAUAAUAGGUAAAUAUUGAAGAAUUGUAUAGAAAGAAUCGUAUUGAAAUUAUGGAAAAUAUGAUUUUGUCCCUAAAUUCUAAAAAACAAUUAUAGUUUGGUCACUGGUUGUAAAAACAAUUAUAUUUUCAAACUUUCAAUAUAGAGAGAGAAAUAAAAAUAAAAAGGAAAAGGAAAAGGAAACAACCCCCAGCUUUCUUGUGCCCUUUCCCUUCUUUACAUGGCUUCCUCGAUCGAUGUAAAAAAGCAAACGCCCCAUUUGAUUUUCAAGCAGUAUGAGUGAGAAAGAUAGAGAGGACAAGAGAGGACAAGGGGGUCCUCUCUCUCUUUCCUUGCUUUUUUUAACGCGUGGACCCAGCAGUUGUUGCCACCAAAUUCCUUCCUCAAUAUUUACCAGUGCUACACGCUUGAGAAAUUUCCUUGUUAUUUUUUUUAUUAAUGAAAUAUUACUUUUACCGUAUAGCCAUUGAAUUCUAGAUCAAUUUAUCGGGUAUUGGGCCGGUUUGGAUUUAAUAAUUAUGAUUCACAGACAUACAACUAGUACUUGCAACUAUUAAUAUUUAUUAUUUUCAUUAAGUUUUUCAAACUUUCAAUAUAGAGAGAAAAAUAAAAAUAAAAAGGAAAAGGAAACAACCCCCAUCUUUCUUGUGCCUCUUCCUUUUUUUUUAAGUUUAAUGUUGGUGUUUGGGUCAACUUGCACGCAUCUCGACUAAUUUCAUGGGCUCUGAAGUUAACAACUAUGUAAGUCUCCAAUGACCAUCAUAUAAACAACCACGGGGCUCGAAUUUAAAACUAUAAAAAAAACAAAUCUCUUAAUCACAUGAUCUUAUUAAUGUACCACCAUUUAGGUAGUUGCCCUUUCCCUUCUUUACAUGGCUUACCCGAUGAAAAAAGCAAACACCCCAUUUUGAUUUUCAUUCCGUACGAGUGAGAAAGAAAGACAGGACAAGGUUUGUUGAGGCUUUUUUUUUGGAACCUCGCUCUGGGAUUAAUUAGCGAGAAUAAGAAAAUUCUAUGCAAAUUAUACAAAAUUUAUUAUUAAUCAUCAAUAUUUAUUCUUAUCAUCAAUAUUGAAUAAUGGUUUAUUUUCUAGUAUAAACUAUGAUGGGUUCGUUUAUAAAAAUAAAUAAAUUGAGGUUUUUCAAUUUCCUUUAAACAUAUCAUAGUUUUAAUACCAUUUAUUUUUACAUUUUAAAAAUAAUUUUUAAAAAAAUUAAAAAUAAAUUUUAUUUUUUAUUUCAAAAUAAUAUUUUUUUAAAUAUUUUUAAAUUAUCUUGAUAUAUUGAUAUUAAAAUUAAUUUUUAAAAGAUAAAUUUUUUCAAACAUAAAGUUUAGCCUGCAGAUCUUCCGCUGAUCCCAUCUCAUUGUUGUAUGCAUCCAAGCUAAGCCAAUUCAAGAAAGAAGAUUUGAAGAAUACCACCAGCAGCAGGAGUAAUACAUUAACAUAACAGCAUUAUGGCAGAAGGAGGGACGACCUCACUGCAAGGGCGAAGGCAUGUUAAAGACUUGGGCGUGCUAUAAUUUAGAUUAAAACUUUAUUAAUAUUUUUUGAUUAGUUUUAUUUAAAAAAAUUGUAAUUCUUGAUUGAAUUAUUAAAAAAAUUUAAAAUUUAUGUGGAGCUUUCUAGAAUAACGUUUUAACUUGGAUUAAAAUUUCAGAAUAUUUUGAGAAAUUCAAAAAUUUGAUGAAAAAUCAUAAUUUAACUAAUUUUAUGUUAAUUGAUGUAAUUUUCAAUCCAACUAUCAAAUUGAGCUGAAAUUUUACGAGAAAUCUUAAAAUAUAUUAAAUAAAAUAUAAUUAAAAUUUUAUGAUGAGUGGAGCUUGAUAAUACUAACAAAAAAAAUCAUCAAAUAAAAACAAAUCAAGAAUAAAAUGAUUAUUUCCAUUAAAAAGUAAAAUAAAUCAACUAUUUAUAUAAUAGCUAAAUCUAUUAAGAUAAAUCGAAAAUAACUAGUAAAAUCAAUGACUUGUAUUGACGAGUGUGUCUAUAUAUACAUAUAGGAACUGCUGAUUCGAUUUGAAUAUGUUAUUUGAUUAGUCUAAUUCAUGAUUUGCAUUGACUCAAAAUUACCACUAGAAAUUCCUAGUUUCGUGGUGCUUUCUCAGCCUGCAAAUGAAUAUAAAGCAUAUCCUUUUAUCCUAUAUAAAGAAUACAAUUAACCUUUUUAUCUUUUAUAAUUAUAAUUAUUGCAUUGCUAAUAAUUUGCACGAAAGAAUAUUGUUUCUCUGAAAAGGGCUUGAGAAAACCCUAAGCAUAGUAUAUAAUCUCUUAUAGGAAUCUCUUUAUUAAAUUAUCAAAAUAUCAAAGUCUGUUUCCAAAGACUAUGACUACAGUUUAUAUAUAGAAACAACCAAAUAUAAAAAUUAUUAAUUUUUAAAUAGAAAAACCAGAGAGCUUGAUAAUAUUUAAUAAAAAAAAUAAAAUAGAAAAAUUAUUCCUUUUUAAGUAGAAAAAAAUUAUAAAGAUUUAAUAAUACUAAAUAAGAAAAAUUAAAAUUUCUACACUAAAUUAAAAAAACAAAAAAAAAACUGAGAAAAUAUUUAUUAUCCCAAUAGUUCUUAUAUUAAAAUCUCAUUUAUCAUAUGUUAUAUCUAUCAAAAUAAUAAUAAUAAUAACUUGUGACUUGAACUAAAGCUACAUGCGAAAACUAGAAAAACCCGGUAGAGACCCGUUCUGUUUUUUCAAAUAUGUUUUUUCUUCUAGCUAGAGACCUUUUUUUUUAAUAUAUUUUUCUAUUGGUUACUAAACCAUUUCAAAGUUCACUAUAUAAAUACUAGAAGAAUAUUUUAUUUUUUCAAUAUGGAAUAAAAAAAAUCAUUUUUGUUUACAUACCUCAAUUUAAAAGAAUUAGAUAAUAUUUUUUUAAUAUGAGAUAAAAAAACCUUUUGAAAUAAUCUUUUAAACUUUAUUAUAUGCAACAUGUAUAAUCUAUAUUCAUAUAAAUUAUUUCUUUAAUUUUUUUCAUUCUCAUAUUCAAACUUCCAAUAUUGAGAGAGAAAUUAAAAGGAGCAAAAGGAAACAACCAGUGAGGACAAUAUCCUCCAGCUCAUCAUCAGAUCCCACGAAAGGAACGCAGAAAGACAUUCCCUUUCUUGUCAUCAAGUUUUGAAUCAAAAAGUACUUUCGUGCAUUAUUGUCAUAAAGUUUUUCAAACUUCCAAUAUAGAGAGAGAAAUUAAAAGUAAAAAUAAAAAGAGCAAAAGGAAACAACCCCCACCCCAUCUUUCUUGUUCCCUUUUCCUUCAAUGAAAAAGCAAGCACUAAUGCACCUUCUCCACAAACUACCCCCCAAUUUCGCCACUAUAUAAAUAUAUUAUGGAAAACAAGAUAAAAAGAAAUCUUUCGGUACAUCUAUAUAUAUAUAUAUAUAUAUAUAUUAUGGCUAUGAAAAUAGGUUUGUGGAAAUUUACAUGGUUUGAUUUUGACAGUGUCAGAUUAGACAAUUGCAUGGAAAUGGUCUUCUUAGUUUGCCGUGUGGAAAAUCAUGUCAUUUACGGGACUGCUGGAGAGAGUUUCUAUUGAUAAUUUCACUCGAAAAGUUUUAGUAAUUUACAAAGGAAAUUUCUCCUUUAUAUGAAUUGAAAAACUAUUAUUGACUGACUUCUUGCAAAGUAUUUGCAAGAAAGCUAAAGAAUUAAAGUUUUUCAAUUUUGAAAAUUAUAAUUUAAAAUUUUUAGAAAAAAAUCAAUUAUUUUUAAAAUUGUUUUCAAAAAUACACUACCAGAAAUUCAUCUAAUACCAACGGACUUACCGACAGAAUUAUUCUGUCGGUAAAUUGCGGUGAUAAUUACUGACGGAUACUAAUCCGUCUGUAAUUCAGUUGGUAUAUACCGACGGAAUUAUUCCGUCGGUAUAUACCGACUGAAUUACAGAAGAAAGAUAUAGAAUUAAAAAAAAGCGGGGAUGUUGACGUGACAGUUUUUGCGGGCGAUUUUACCGACGGAAUCAACGAGGGAUUCAAACCCUGAUUUUGUUUAUGAGCAAUUUUGACUAUCUUAGAGGUAGAACUAGGUUCUCUUUAAUCAUAGAACUUGUAGCCUCAUGUCUUAGCUUUCUAACAAGACUAAUCUUGCUUAAAUCGGAGUUUUAUAACUCCAGAUAUAGUUAAAAAUAUGAGGAGAGGUCAGACAGUAACAGUUCAAUGUUUAGACAGUAACAGUUCAAAAAUGAGACAGUAAUAGUUGGACAGUAACAGUUCAAGAACGAGACAGUAACAGUUAAAAAAUGAGACAGUAACAGUUCAAAAAUGAGACAAUAAUAGUUGGACAGUAACAGUUCAAAAAAGGAGACAGUAACAGUUAAAAAACGAGACAGUAACAGUUCAAUGUCUAGACAGUGACAGUUCGGGAUUUAAACAGAAACGGUUCAAAUAUAUAUAUAUAUAUAUAUAUAUGUGUGUGUGUGUGUGUGUGUGUGUGUGUGUGUGUGUGUGUGUGUGAAAUGAGAAAAAUGUAAAAUAUUAAGAAAUGACUGAAAGAAAGACUUAUUGGUUGUUGAUAUGGUUAUAAUAAAACAUAUCCUUGAGUGAGGAAGUAGAGCUUCUAUUGCAGGUAGGUAAUCCGUACCUAUACUUUCUAGUUUAAUUCUAUGAUUUAAUAAGUUAUUGAUGUGAGAUGUGAAUUACCGAAUAUGGGAUAUUAGGAUAAAGGAGGAAAGUUUGCGUAAUGAUGCCGAUAUUUGGAAAGUAUUCUUAAUGUAUGUGUAUUCAAGGUGAACGGUUGUUCUGUGAAUUGCCAAGUGAUGAAAUUAUAAUUGAUAAAGAAAAUAUGAGAAGUGUGAUUUGGGGCGUGAACUAGCAUACAUUUAGUGUAUGUUAGGAUCCCGGGUAAGGGGAUCAAGAUGUAUUGGCUAGCAUACAUUUAGUGUAUGUUAGGAUCCCGGGUAAGGGGAUCACCAUGUAUUGGCUAGCAUACAUUUAGUGUAUGUUAGGAUCCCGGGUAAGGGGAUCACCUUGCAUCGACUCCUACAUGAUGAUGAUGAUGAUAACAGUGAAAUUGGUAUCGGUAAUGUGUUAAGCGGAAAUAAUCAUGGGUGGUUUUAUGAGAUCUUGAAUGGAGGUUGAUAAUAGAAGAGGAAAUGGUUUUUAGUAGUUGAAGGAGAAAAAGUCUCCAAUAAGAACCAAAAGGGAGAAGUGAAUAAAAUAUGAAUGUAUGUUGCCUUUUUAAAUUGCUGGAUAUUUGUAUUGCUAUAUUAUUGUGAUAUUCAUAUUUCAAUAAUAUGUAUUUUAUUUUCAGGACCAUCGCAUGCAUGACAGGAGUAGAUUUUGGCUUAGGUUCUUUUUUUGUAAUUUAGGUUCUAAGGAGUAUACCCUUGUAUUUGGUAAUAUUACAACUUUUAUUUAACUUAAUUUGUAUAAUUGAUGUUUAAACUUGAAUAGAUGAACUUAAUUCGGUAGUUUGUAUAACUAUGUUCCAUUAAGCAUGUUUAUAUCUUUAACCAUCCAUAAUGAUAAUUGUUGUACAAUGUAUAUCAUCAACAUUGUGGUUGAUAUGAAUGGUGAUGUUUGUGGGAUUGAGACCUAAGAUGAUUAGGCUGAAUUGAGUUGGAGAUGCGGUAUAUUAGAAGUGUAAACAGGACGUAUGUCGAUAACUUGGGACCUCCCGGUAUAGGGGAUACUCUGUUAAAAUUUCACUAGACUUUAAUGCAAAUACCAUGAAUAGAUAUAUAUAUAUAAAAUUUAGUCACUCUGUUUAUCAGCUAACAUGAGAUCGUUGCUUUAUCCCUGAUAUGGGAAUGUUACAGGUUCGAUAGAAGUCAUGGAUGAUUGUUCAUGGAUGUAUCGAGAUCCAUGUGUUAAUUUUGACAACAUGUAUUAAUUAAGAUGACAACAUGUAUUAAUUAACUAACAUAGUUAACUAAUACAUGUUUUCAUCAUAAUUUUAUAGAGGUUCGAUAAAAGUCAUGGAUGAUUGUUCAUGGAUGUAUCGAGAUGCACCCCAUGGAUUGCAGAGGAUUCUUUGAAGAAAAUUCAAAUUUUCAUGUUUUCGAUAAUAGUCUUGUUGAUGUUGACGCAGAGGAGUUGAAUGUUGUUUUGAGCUCUAACGGACAAGCAAAUAUCGAUGAAGAUGAUGAUUAUGAUGACAUCCAUAUUGAAGAUUGCGAUGGAGCUGAUGACUAUUCAAUUGAUGACGAAGAAGAAGAAAAUUCUGACUAACUAGCAGAAUCAAGGAAAGUGCAAAGCAUUUUUCUAAAAUGUAAUAUGUAUUAUCGAUGAUAUUUUGUAACAUGAAAUAUUUAUUUGAUAAGUGUUUAAGUGUUUUUGUGUGAUGGGCAGUUUGUAAUUUAAGUGUUUGUAGGAAGGUAAAUAGGCAAUACAAACAAAAGUUUUCAUGCACAGUGCACGAUCACCAACGUCCAUACCGAUGGAUUACAUUUCGUCGGUAUUGCACAGAGAGCUGUAAAAUAUUUAUUGGAAAUGCCACAAUCACCGACGACUUUGCAGAUGGAUUACCGUCCGUCGGCAUUCAACAGAGAGGUUCACUGGAAAUGCCACAAUCACUCACCGACGACUUUGUAGACAGAUUAAAGUCUGUCAGCAUUCCACAGAGAGGUUCACUGGAAAUGCCACAAUCACCGACGACUUUGCUGAUGGAGUAGAGUCUGUCGGCAUUCCACAGAGAGUGGUGGAAAUGCCACAAUCACCGAUGACUUUGCAAACGGAUUACAGUCCGUCGGCAUUGUGUCGGCAGCUCACAAUUAUCGAUAAAUUCACCAACGAACGGUGUGAAUUCCAAAGGACGGGUAAUAAAUGCAUAUCUGAUAGCGUGCAGCUGCCGACGGAAUUACCAACGAACUGCGAAAAAUAUGGAGGGUAAUUAAAAAAUUCUGGAGCAAAAUUCAAAAUUUACCGACGGAGUUAAAUGUUCGUCAGUGAAUCCGUCGGUAAAAUUACGAUAUAAAUGCCAGCGACCGCCCUUUGAGUUCAUUUUUUCAUCUCCUUUGUUUUUAGAGCUUAACUUUUUGUUUUUUUUCCCUCUCAUUUCCUUCAAAUCUCUUGUUUUUUCUUGUAAUCUCUAGUUAUAUCUUCAGCAAAUUAAAAGGUAUGUAUUUCCUCUACUUAAUUUGCUUUAAGAUUUUACUUUUUUAUUUGUUCUUUGUUUAGCAAUUGUUAUUUUUGUUAUGUUUUUUGUUUUGGUGUAUUUUCAUAAUGUAGAUAAAGUCUUACAAUAAACACAUUAUUAAGGUAAGCAUUUUUCAUUCUUAAAGUCUAUAGUUUUUUUUUUAACUUGUUCAAUAUAUUUUGUUGUUUGUUUUGCCAUAAUAAUUAGGGGUGAGCAAAUUCGGUUCGGUUCGGUUUUUAUCUAAAAAACUAACCAAAAUCAAAUUUUGAAAAACUUAAAAAUUCAAACCGGACCCAAACCGGAACCGGUUCAAACCGACCGGUUUCGGUUCGGUUCGGUUCGGUUUUUUUAUCAGGAAAACCGGAAAACCUGUAUUAUUGUUUUUUUGGGCUUUUUCGGGCUUUUUAAUGGGCUUUCUGAUGGGUUUUCUGAUGGGCUUGUAAUUAAUGUAAAUAUCAUCUAAUUUUGUUACAAAAUUCUAUAAUAUAUUUAAUAUUUUUUAUCACUAAAUAUUCAUUUAUAUUAAAUUAUUAGUGCUAAUAUUAUGUUUAAUAUGUUGCACAUCUUUCUAAUAUUUAUAUUUAGGAGUUUGGACUCCUCAUGCAUCAAAAUUUAAAUAACACACACACCAAAUUAAAAUUAAAAUUACAAAGCAUUGCCUUCAAAAUGGGCUUAAAAAAACAACAAAUAACAUUGCCAUAAAAAAUAAAAUACUUCAUGCAAAAAAUAUAAAUCUUCAUUGUGCACAUCAUCUCAAUCAAAAAGCACAACAAGAUGACAAGAACAUUGCACUUUGAUUCCGUAAUACCAUUGACAUCAAAACCUGAAAAUCAAGAUCUAAAAUUAUAACAUGAUAAAAUAAAUUAGAAUAUGUAAAAAUAAAUAGUAGUAUUUUACCAUCAAAGUAACUUUUGAACUAAUUAUCAUUUGUUACUAAAUGUAACUUUCCACCAAAUUCUACAAAAUAAAAAAUUAGACAUGUUAGAUGAUUGCAAACAAUUUAAUUAAUAAAUAACAAAAUAAAAGGUGCAAAUUUCUAAAAACAAUUACCUGACUCAAGGUUUUCGUAGGUUUCAAGAUCAUUUAUCAAGCUUCUAAUAUCAGUUGGAAUUGAUCCAUGAUGAAACCAAUUUUGACAACAAAUGAGUGCUUGAACAGUUGCUGGAGAUAGAGAACUUCGAAAUUGAUCAAGUACACGACCACCUGUGCUAAAUGCUGAUUCAGAAGCCACUGUAGAUAUAGGAAUAGCCAGAACAUGUUGUGCAACCUUUGAAAGUGUCUUAUAUUUCAAAGCAUUACUUUUUCACCAACCCAAAAUAUCUAACUUAUCAUCAUUACGAUCCUCACAACCUUCAAUCAAAUACCUCUCAACCUCAUUUUUAUUUUCCACACUAUCCACCUUCAGCAAAUGUCUUUUGAAUCGAGCCAAAGUGUUAACAUCUACCUCCACAUCAUCAAUAGCAUUAACAUCCUGUUUAUGCCUAUUAUUAUCCACCACUUCAUCAAUUUUCAAAUAAAACUCAUACAAGCUCACCAAAGUAUCUUUCACCUUAUUUGUUAGCAAUUGUGCUUUGUCAUAAUCAUACAAAUCACCAAAACAAAAUUCCACAUAUUUCAACUUCAAACAUGGAUCUAAGACAUUAGCCACAUAUAACAAAAAAUUCUGAUUUACUUCACAACCCCAAUACUUCUCAAACUUUAACAUCAUCUUCAUCGCCAUUCCACUUUAACAAGUUUGUAUGCAUGUAAAUCAAUUCAUUGAAGAAAGAAUUUGAUGUGACAUGCAAUGAGCCAGAAAAUAUCAAUGUAACCAUAUAAAAGAUCUUUAAGAACUUAACCAAAGUUCUUGCAUUUUCCCAAUCCUCCAAACUAGGUGGCCCUAUGUUUUUUUUAUUCCCCUUUGAAUCAACCUCCAAAAAGUAACUCAUAUACCUAAGUUCUCUUUCACCUAACCUCACAAAUACCUUUUCAAACUUUUCAGCAGCUUCUAGCAUAAGAUAAGUUGAAUUCCAUCGAGUUGCAACAUCUAAACACAAUGAUUUCUUACACUCUAUAUGCAACUUUUCAGCACACUUCUUAAAUGCAAGAUGCCUCAACGGUGAAGAUCUCACAAACCUAAUGGCAUUUCGAAUCUUAACAACUGAAUCAUUAAUCUCUUUCAAGCCAUCACACACAAUGAGGUUUACAAUGUGUGCACAACAUCUAACAUGCAGGUGCUCAUUUGACAAUAUAUUAGUUGGCCAAUCUUUCAUCACAUUCUUUAAAUAUGAAAUGGUCACAUUAUUAGAGCUUGCAUUGUCUAAUGUAAUAGUCAACAGUUUAUCAAUCCCCCACUCCAACAAACAAUUCUCAAUAACUUGGCCAAUUGUCUCACCCAUAUGAUUGGAAACUUGACAAAAAUUAAGAAUUCUUUUAUGCAAAUUCCAGUCAUUAUCAAUCCAAUGAGCUGUUAAACAAAUAUAGUUAAUAUUUUGGAUUGAUGUCCAUGUAUCUGUUGUCAAGCACAAUCGUUGACCCCUAAGAGCUGUCCUCAAUCUAUCCUUCUCUUCAACAUAAAGUUUCAAACAAUCUCUCAUAAUUGUAAAACGAGAAGGAAUGUCAAAUCUAGGUUGUAUAGUCCUAGCAAACAAUUUAAAUCCCCGACCCUCCACAAAAUUAAAAAGCAACUCAUCAAUUAUAACCAUCUUUGCUAGUGCUUGUCUACAUUCAUCAUAAUUAUAACCUAUUGCCUUAAGACUUCCCACAUUUUGUUCUCCCAAUUCACCCUUCUCUAUCUUAGGUUCUAAUACCAAAACCUUUUGUUUCUUAUCAAUCACAAAAGGGAACUUCUUGUACACUUUUAAAUGACUCCACAUAUUACUUGUGCCAUUAACAAUAGUAUGACAUGCAUAAUGUUUUCCACAAUAAUUACAUUCAGCUCUAGGGGUUUUAGGAUCAACAUCAAGUUUUGUAAAGUGAUCCCAAGUUUGUGACUUCUUUUUAUCAUCAGCAUUUCUUUUCCUAGAUGAAAGGACUUGAGGUUGUUUACCUUGUGUAUCUGUGGUGGAUCCUGCAUUGGUUGAUUCUACAUUAGGUUUUGAAGUUGGAGAAGUAGUUGAUGUUGGUGUAGUGCCUGUGGAUGAAGCAUUUUGAAUUUGAGUAGUUUCCAUCUGUUAUUAUAUAUGAAAACAUGUUAAAAACCAAUAAUUUAUAAUAGAUUAACAACAGUAUGACAUGCAUAAGUUCAACUGUAAUUUUAAAGAUUAUUUUCACAAGUUAAGUUCUUUUAUUUUGGUUGAUAUGUUGUAAAAACAAUUAUGUUGCUGAGUGCUGAGAUUGUAUUUUGUAAUUUCAAUAGACAAUAAUACAAUACAAUAUAUAUAUAUAUAAACAUUAUUCUCUUUUCAAUAAAUAAAAAAAAUUCAGUUUUCAGAAUUGAUAAAUUACAAUCCACCGAAUCCCCCCUCUUUUUUUUAACACAGAUAAUAAACAUUAUUCUCUGUUUUUUUAGCACACAGCAUUGACAGCACACCAUAAUAAUGGAUUAGCAAUAAUAUUUAAAACAAAUGCCUCUCGGGGAAACUGUAUUUUCCCAUUUUUCUCCCUAAUGUAAUAUCAGGCUCAUAAUACCAAUUCACCGCAUUGGUAUUGCAAGUUUUUAUCAUUUGUUUAGUAUCAUUUUCUUCUUCAGUCAUUUGGCUAUUGACAUAAUGAGAUAAUUUUUCUAAUCUUUUACCAGUACUCCACCUUAGAGUAUGAGUGGAAUUCAAUCUCUAAUGUCUAGCUAAAAGCCUAAAACGGCACAAAGAGGUUUCUUUAGUAAUGAUCAAGUUUUACCACUACCAGUGCCAAUUAUUCCCAUUUCUUUCAGUGAUGUGCUGUUAGCUUUAGCAUUUGGAACAAUCAUAACAUAUUGUCUUUCUCAUGACCAGUGCCAUUUCUACCAGUGCCAAUUAUCUGUGUUUUGUAUAUUAAAUUAACAUGCAAGAGUUUGUAUAUUAAAUUAACCCUCAUUCCGAUAUUAAUCUAGAUUCCAUUAUUUUUUCAUUGCUACUCAUGACCUUAAUAAAACACGAAUUCAUUAACAUAUUGUCUUUCUCAGCAAAGAAAAAACGCAUUGUCUCUGUCAUAAAUCUCUUCUUAAGAAGUUUAUUAAAAAAUAAACAGAAUCACAGAGCAAUAGAGCAUAUGUUCAAAAAAAAAACAGAGACAAAAAAAAAAUCAUACCUGGUGUGACACGAUUCAAGGUCGGGUGUGAGAGAGGGAGGUGACUGCCUCACUGGUUCGCUAAAUCUGGAGUUGGACUCUGGAGGUUCGGUGAGCCGGUGUGGUGUGUGUCCUACGAUUCAAGAUCAGGUGUGACCGUGUGAGAGAGGGACGUGGCUGACUGGGGUUUGAAGAUGAAGAUGGUGGCCGGUGGGAGAGGGAUGUGGCUGACUGGCGUUUGAAGAUGAAGAUGGUGGGAGAGGGAUGUGGCUGACCGGCGUUUGAAGAUGAAGAUGAAGAUGGUGGGAGAGGGAUGUGGCUGGUUGUGGUCCAGUAGAUGAAGAUGGAUUGAUUUCUUACAUAUGUGAAAUUGUGAGUUGUGAGUUGAGGGAGCGGCUUAGGAGAAAGGAGAAGGACGGCUGGAGCAGGAGUAUGGAUGCUAGGGUUAAGAAAAACAACGCGAUUUUUUUUGUAGCUAUUUAUAGUACCCCUUAAACCGAACCGGUUCGGUUCGAUUGGGGUUUUUCCGGUUUCAGGUUUCUAAAACCGAAACCGAACCGAACCAAACCAAAAAUUUUUACAAAAAAUUUAAUCGGUUUUUUUGGUUAUUUUUUUUUCGGUUUUCUCGGUUUAUUCGGUGUCUCGGUUUUUUUUCUCACCCCUAAUAAUAAUUGAACACUUUGUUGAAUUUUAAUUGUUAUUGUUGAAUUUACCUUGCAAUUAGUAAUUGAAUACACUGGAAUGAAUUUAAUUAUUUUAUCUCAAUUUUACUGUAUUUUUGCAUGAUAUGUGUUUAAUUAUUUUGUUGAAUUUUAAUUGUUAUUGUUGAAUUUACCUUGUAAUUAGUAAUUAAAUAUAUUGGAAUAAAUUUAAUUAUUUUAUUUCAAUUUUACUGUAUUUUUGCAUGAUAUGUGUUUAAUUAUUUUGUUGAAUUUUAAUUCUUAUUGUUGAAUUUACCUUGUAAUUAGUAAUUGAAUAUAUUGGAAUGAAUUUAAUUAUUUUAUCUCAAUUUUACUGUAUUUUUGCAUGAUAUGUGUUUAAUUAUUUAGUUGAAUUUUAAUUGUUAUUGUUGAAUUUACCAUGUAAUUACUAAUUGAAUAUAUAAGAAUAAAUUUAAUUAUUUUAUCUCAAUUUUACUCUAUUAUUACAUGAUAUGUGUUUAAUUAUUUCCAUUAAUUUUAAUUGUUAUUUGUAUAGAUGUUAGGUUAUAUGUAAGAUUUUUGAAUGGGGGUCAAUUGGUUGUGGCUAUUGUUAAUAUUUGAAGGUUUGAAAACUUUGGGUAGUCUCCAGUAUAGAAGAGACGCUGCUGAAUUUUUUUUAACAAUCGAAUUUAAUUAUAUAAUUAUUCUUAUAAAAUUGCGUAGAUGUGUAUAAUGAAAUCAACUGUUCGUCGCUCACAUAUGGUCGCAGCUAGUUCUUCUAGCAGCAAGAAUGACAUUUCCUUAGGUGUCAAUCAAGAAGAGGUACCUGCACCACCUACCGAUGCUGCCUCUUGCAGCACGGUUUCACAGCGCAGAGACGGCGUGCCUUCACAGUGGAAUCAAUUUACUUACAAGUACGAGGCACAAUGGAAGAACGAUGUUUCAAUGUAAGUUUGUUUUGAUUUUAGUUUUUUUUUUAAUUAUAACAUAAUUUAUGAACAACUAAUCAAUAUUUCAUUAAUUUAAUUUAUUUUCAGGUUCACAAACAUUGAGACCGUCCGAGUAAUAUCAUCGGCGUUUAAAUCGUCGAUGGAGAUUCCAUUAUUUCAAUGGAGUUAGGUAUCCAGACAUCCUGAAUGGAUACCUAAUAUCGAUGCAUGGUUUGAUAAAUUUGAGGUUGGUGUUAAUUUCUAAUUUCCAGCUUAUUUUUAAUAAAUUAUUAAUAUAAUUAUAAAUAAAUUAUUAUUUUUAUUUUAAAUAAAUUAUGUAUACGUGGCACAAAUUCGAGUAGGACAGCACACAUGAUAAUAUUGUGAGGAGGGUGUGGGAAAAUCAUGCGGCAACUAAGUAACAUCGAAAACAAUAUGAUAUUUUUUAAAAAAAAAAUAUGUUUUAAAAUCUAAUUUGUUACUAUGGAAGUAGGUUGUGUGAUUUUUGGUAUGAAGCACAAAAAAAGGUAAAAAAAAAAAAAACACGAGAGAUAGAGGUCUCCAAGGCUAGAACGACGUGGCGGUUUGGGGGGAUUUCAAACCGCUACACAUCCCGGAAAAUAUUUGGCCGGAAUAUAUUGAGCACGUGACGUCUGAGCGGUUCACACGACGCUCAAAGUCUGGUGCUGACAACCGGAACAGGCAAAUUCAUGGUUCACUGACAACGCACAUCGACGGCUCCGUAUCGUUUGCUACACAUGCAAAACGGAUAUAAGAUUAAUUUAAAUGAAAUAUAUCGUUAAAUAAUUUGUUGUUACUUAAUUAAUUUUUUUUCUUACAGGCUACGUCUCUUGGACGUGAGCCGAGCCCAAUGGAGCUGUUUGUAGAGACGCACAUGCGGAGUCAAGACCGCCAAAAGGGGGUGCAACAGUUCGUUGACAACCGCGCUCAACACUUUGUGGUAUGUUCGUUCAACCAUUUUAUUUCGUAAGUUAUUAUUUUUAUUGAAUUGAAUAUGAUGAUUUUUUUUUAUUUUCAGGAUACCUAUAAUAGUCGUUGAGGGAGAGAUAUAGGGACGAUCCUUCAAUCCAUCCGGAUUUCAAUCCGGAUUUGUGGAUGGCGGUAGGAUCGUCCGGUGGACUCGAUAAAAAUCAGGUGUAUGGGCUCUCCAACACCACGGCCGAGAACUUGCGAGCGGCCAGUAGUGCCUCAACCGUUGGGAGCUCCCAAUCUAAGGAGUCCGUGGCCUUGCAGCAACACACGAGUCAUCUCACCGAGAAAUACGAGCAACUCUCGACGAAUUAUGAACUUCGCCAAAUUAUCAUGAACAUGACAUCACAGAGUGACUUUAUGGUCUCGGGAAAAACCAGCCUCCUCCUCCUCCUCCUCCUCCAGCCCCGCCAUUCUGCUAAUUUAAUAUUUUUUUGGAAACACAUUCAAUUUGUAAUGAAUAUUAUUUAACUUUAUUUUUUUAUUUUUGAUGUUUAAUAAAAUUUUAUUUGCAUAAUAGUUUUUUUUACUAUUAAUUUACAUAUUUUUAUAUUAUUUAUUCUAAAUAAUUUUUUAAAAAACAAAUUUAAAAAACCCCACCAACAGAAUUCAUCCGUCGGCAUUUUACAGAAAGUUGAAAGAUAUUUACUAAAAAAGGCCACAAUCACUGAUGUCUUCACAGACGGAUAGUGUCCGUUGGCAUUUUACUUAGAAUCAAAAAAUAUUUACUGGAAAUACUAUAUUCACUGAUAUUUUCACAGACAGAUUUAUUUCGUUGGUAAAUACCGAGAGUUCAAACAAUGACUUGCAUUGACGAGUGUAAUAAUCUGGAACCACUCGCAAUAAAUAAAGCCACAAAAGGCAGACGAGAGUGUCUAUAUAUAUACAUAUAGGAACUGCUGAUUCGUGGUGCUUUCUCCUGCAAAUGAAUAGAAGACGAGUGUGUCUAUAUAUAUACAAAUAGGAACUGCUGAUUCGUGGUGCUUUCUCCUGCAAAUGAAUAGAAAGCAUAUCCUUUUAUCCUAUAUAAAGAAUACAAUUAACCUCAUUUCAAUAUCCUUGCUUUACUCUUCAGCUAACUUCUCUCUCCCAUUGCUGAAAUUUCAUAGCUAACUCUUUGUUAUAUAGAGGUAUAUAUGGCUAACUCUUCUUUGCUUCUUUCGUGUUUUAAUUUCAUGUCUUUACCAUUAACAAUAAUGUGAAAGCUUUGUUUGUUUCAUGUUUAACUUCAGUUGCUAUUGUCUUAUGCUCUCUCAUUAUUAAGCUUAAACUGUUGUAUCAUCUUCGAUGAUCUUGACAUGUAUCUCUUACUUGUAUUAGCAAGAGAGUAGAUACCUUCUGCAAUUGCUCCAUUGCUAAUUGACUGUGCCUUGAUUUCUGCAGCUGCCAUGACAGAGCCGGAGUCUUCUCGAUCUAUAUCACUAGGGGCCUAUGAUGUCUUCUUGAGUUUUAGAGGAGAAGACACUCGCAAGACAUUUACAGAUCAUCUCUAUACUGCCUUGGUCCAAGCAGGAAUCCACACUUUUCGAGAUGAUGAUGAACUUCCGAGGGGAGAAGAAAUCUCCGAUCAUCUCCUCAGGGCAGUUCAAGAAUCGAAGAUAUCCAUAGUUGUCUUCUCAAAAGGAUAUGCUUCUUCUAGAUGGUGUCUCAAUGAACUUGUAGAGAUUCUGAAGUGCAAAAAUAGGAAAACCGGUCAGAUUGUUCUUCCUAUAUUCUAUGACAUUGAUCCUUCAGAUGUGAGAAAACAGAAUGGCAGUUUUGCAGAAGCAUUUGUUAAACAUGAAGAGCGUUCUGAAGAGAAGUUGGUGAAGGAGUGGAGAAAAGCUCUUGAGGAGGCUGGAAAUCUAUCUGGACGGAAUCUCAAUGAUAUGGCAAAUGGGUAUGCCUUUUUCCCAAAUUUAUGGAGUCAAUAUACUUUACAUUUUUCAAUGUGAAACAAUAAAAUGCUUAAUUGACUCGCUAUCAAUGACUGCCUUUUGUCUAUGAGCAGGCAUGAAGCAAAAUUUAUCAAAGAGAUUAUCAAGGAUGUGUUGAAUAAAUUAGAUCCCAAGUACUUGUAUGUUCCUGAGCACCUAGUAGGUAUGGAUCGGCUUGCUCACAAUAUUUUUGACUUUCUAAGUACUGCAACCGAUGAUGUACGCAUUGUGGGCAUACAUGGGAUGCCAGGAAUCGGAAAGACAACUAUAGCAAAAGUUGUAUUUAAUCAACUCUGCUAUGGAUUCGAGGGAAGCUGUUUUCUUUCGAAUAUCAAUGAAACACCAAAAAAACUUACAGGUCUUGUUCGUUUACAAACGCAACUUCUUCGUGAUAUUUUAAAACAAGAUGUUGCAAACUUCGAAUGUGUUGAUAGAGGAAAGGUUCUGAUCAACGAACGAAUUCGUCGCAAAAGAGUUCUUUUUGUUGCUGAUGAUGUGGCUCGUCAGGACCAGCUAAAUGCUUUGAUGGGAGAGCGAAGUUGGUUCGGUCCGGGAAGUAGAGUAAUUAUUACAACAAGAGAUUCAAAUCUUCUUCGUAAAGCGGAUCAAACAUAUCAAAUUGAAGAAUUGACACGAGAUCAGUCCCUUCAGCUUUUCAGCUGGCAUGCCUUUAAGCACUCCAAGCCAGCAGAAGAUUAUAUUGAGCUUUCGAAGGAUGUAGUUGAUUACUGUGGAGGACUUCCUUUGGCUCUUGAGGUUAUGGGUGCUUGUCUGUACGGGAAAAACAGAGGUGGUUGGAAAUCUGUAAUUGACAAAUUGAGAAGAAUUCCAAACCACGAUAUUCAAGGAAAGCUUAGAAUAAGUUAUGACUCACUGGACGGUGAAGAACUACGAAAUGCAUUCCUUGAUAUCGCUUGCUUCUUUAUUGAUAGAAAGAAAAGGUACGUCGCAAAAGUGCUAGGAGCCCGUUGCGGUUACAAUCCAGAAGUUGAUUUGGAAACUCUCCGUGGAAGGUCUCUGAUUAAAGUUAAUGCCAUUGGAAAGAUAACCAUGCAUGAUCUAUUACGAGACAUGGGAAGGGAGGUUGUUCGUGAAACGUCUCCAAAAGAACCUGGAAAGAGGACCAGAAUUUGGAACCAAGAGGAUGCAUGGAAUGUACUUGAGCAGCAGAAGGUACGUAAGAGCGCAAUGCAUACAUGAAAGCAUAGUCAUGCGUAUUUUCUAGUCAAACUUAUUACAAAUAAUUGUAUGAAAGUUGGAUUGAUUUUUUUUUAGGGUACGGAUGUUGUAGAGGGUCUUGCACUGGAUGUAAGAGCAUCAGAAGCUAAAUCACUGAGCACAAGAUCAUUUGCAAAAAUGAAACGCUUAAAUUUACUCCAAAUCAAUGGAGCACAUCUCACCGGAUCCUUCAAACUGCUUUCUAAAGAGUUGAUGUGGAUUUGUUGGCUUCAAUGUCCUUUGAAAUAUUUUUCAUCUGAUUUUACCUUGGAUAAUCUGGCUGUUCUUGAUAUGCAAUACAGUAACCUCAAAGAACUAUGGAAGGGACAAAAGGUGUGAAACAUUCUACAAUCCCCAAAAUUUCUCCAGUAUGUAAUUUAUAUUUACAUGUUAUGACUUUCUAUGAUUAAUUUUCAUUAUUUUGCCCUCUAUUAAGACAGAUUCUCAACAGGUUAAAAAUCCUCAAUCUCAAUCAUUCUAAGAACCUUAUUAAAACACCAAACUUGCACAGUUCAAGUCUAGAGAAACUAAAGUUGAAAGGUUGCUCGAGUUUAGUUGAGGUGCAUCAAUCAAUUGAAAAUUUGACAAGCCUUGUUUUCUUGAAUCUGGAGGGAUGUUGGAAUCUGAAGAUUCUUCCUGAAAGCAUUGGCAAUGUAAAGUCUCUUGAAACUUUGAAUAUUUCUGGGUGUUCACAACUUGAGAAAUUGCCAGAAUGCAUGGGUGAUAUGGAAUCCUUAACCGAGCUGCUAGCAGAUGGGAUUGAAAAUGAGCAAUUUCUCACUUCAAUUGGACAAUUAAAGCAUGUCAGAAGGUUAUCGUUGUGUGGAUACAGUUCGGCUCCACCAAGUUCUUCUUUGAAUUCAGCAGGUGUUUUGAAUUGGAAACAGUGGCUGCCAACAUCUUUUGGAUGGAGAUUAGUGAAUCAUCUUGAGCUUUCUAAUGGUGGUUUGUCUGAUCGCACAACUAACUGUGUUGAUUUCAGUGGUUUGUCCGCUCUAGAAGUAUUGGAUCUAACAAGAAACAAAUUCUCUAGCCUGCCUUCUGGGAUCGGCUUCCUUCCCAAGCUAAGGCGGUUGUUUGUUCUGGCAUGCGAAUAUCUUGUAUCAAUCCUAGAUCUUCCCUCAAGUUUAGAUUGUUUGGUUGCAUCUCAUUGCAAAUCAUUGAAAAGAGUAAGAAUACCAAUCGAGCAAAAAAAAGAUCUAUAUAUAGAACUACAUGAAAGUCAUUCGUUAGAAGAGAUUCAGGGCAUCGAAGGUCGAAGUAAUAGUUUCUGGUAUAUUUGUUCUAAUCAGUUCAGUCAUUCACCAAAGAAAUUACAGAAAAGCGUUGUUGAGGUACUAUUUCUUUCAGUCUCUUUUGCACACGAAGAAACACACAAUUGGUACAUACAUUGAUUAAUGUCUAAAAUCUCAGCAUUUCUUGAAAUCAAUAUGUAUACAGGCAAUAAUCAUCAUUAUUAUUAUUUUAUUUUAAAAAAUAAAUAUGUUUAAUAAUAUUUUUUAUUUUUCUUAUUUAAUCUAAAAAAUUAAAUAUUAUCUUUAAUAAUAUGUUUUUAUUAAAUAUUUAAAGUCUGAUUGGUUUUAUUUUUUAAUUAUUUCUUGAUUUUAUGAUAAUAUACAGGUAAUGUGCAACGGUCGUCACCCGUAUCGUAUUUCCCCCAUUCGUGGUGAGAUGCCAAAUUGGAUGAGCUGCAGUGGAGAAGGAUGUUCAUUGUCAUUCCAUAUACCUUCAGUCUUCCAAGGCUUAGUUGUUUGGUUUAUCUGUCCACUUGAACCCGUGACAAUUGAAUUCGAUUCUCGCAUUAUUAUUAUUAUAAGAAAUAAAAGCAAUGGUAUUCAAUUGUUUGAAGAUAAACGAACACCAGGAACUGACAUGUUUUUUAUUGAGGGAUUCAUAAGAUACAUAAGUAUAAGUGAAAUGGGAAUGGAAGAUUACUGUGGAGAUGACGAAUUGGAACUCUGCAUUUAUUCAGAGCCAACAGAGCAUGCGGUGCGCCGUCUUCCAUUCUACCCCGUACACAUUAAAGAAUGUGGGGCCCAUGUGAUCGCAAAGAAGUUAAAUUCAUUUGAAGAGUCGGCAAUGGGAAGAGCUACAGUGAUGCCUUCACCAUCGCUGUAUCAUCUGCUUCCUCAUCCCCAUUGUGGUUCAAUUACAGCAUCUACACCUAAGCAAUGGAGUAAUUAUUUAUUUGCGAAGCUGCAAGAAUAUAACCUCAGUUUAACAUUUCAUGGUAAGAACAAAUAUUUCCUUUAGUUAUUUUUAUUCUAUUAUAUUUAAUUUAUGAGAUUAAAUAUUAUCUUUAAUUAUUUCAUUAUUAUUAUUUAAUCUAAAACAUUAAAUAUCAUCUUUAAUUAAAAAAUAUAUAUAUAUUUAAGGCUUUUUGGUAAGAAUACAUAUUUCCUUUAGUUAUUUCUAUUUAAUUUAAGAGAUUAAAUAUCAUCUUUAAUUGUUACAAUAUUUUUCUUAUUUAAUCUAAAAUUUUAAAUAUUUUCUUUAACAAUAUUUUUUAUUAAAUAUUUAGAGUCUACUUGGUUUUAUUUUUUUUCUUGAUUUUAUGAUAAUAUUUUUCUUAUUUAGUAUAAAAAAUAAAUAUUAUCUUUAAUAAUUAGAUCUAUCGAAUAUCACUUAAAAAAUAAAUUAUAACUUUAAUAAUUAUUUUUUGAAAAACAAAAAGCCAACAAUCACUAACAUAUUUUAUUAAAAUCACUUUAGUUUAUUUAGAAAAUAUUGAAAAUUGAUUAUUUUUUUUACAUUAAAAUAAAAAAAUUAAAAAAUGUUUUUAUAUUUUAUUUCAAAGUCGAUAUUUUAAAACAAAAAUGAAAAAGAUGUGAUAUUAACCUUUUUUAUUAUAAAGUAAGUUUUUUAAUUAAAAGUGAUGAGAAUUUGUUCGUAAUAACAAAAUGCAUGUUUAAUUUUCUUUUCAAACUUGGAAUAUAUUUCUAUUGAAUUUGAUGGUUUUUUUAUCUUAAAACACUUGCCAGCAAUCUUGUUUUUUCAAUGCUGCCAUUUAGCAAGUGGAGUACUGUAGCUUUUCCACAUACAUUGAAUAAUAACAGUUUGAAUAAAUAACAAGAAAAUAGAAAUUAGUUUUAUUAAUUUGAACGGUACAUCAUUCAUCGAAUAAAUUACAAAAAAGUAUUAUUGAGAUACUAUUUUUUUCAGUUUCUAUUGCACCAAAAUAAACACAUAUAUUUGUCACAUAUAUUAAUUAAUAUCAAAAAUCUCUGUAUUCCUUGAAAUCAAUAUGUAUACAAGUAAUAAUCAUUAUUAUUUUAUUUUAUUUUAAAAAAUAAAUAUCAUAUUAAAUAAUAUUUUUUAUUUUUCUUAUUUAAUUUAAAAAAUUAAAUAUUAUCUUUAAUAAUAUUUUUUAUUAAAUAUUUAAAGUCUGAUUGGUUUUAUUCUUUAUUUCUUGAUUUUAUGAUAAUAUAUUUAUACAGGCAAUGUGCAACGGUCGUCACCCGUAACGUAUUGCUUCAUUUCGUGGUGAGAUGCCAAAUUGGAUGAGCUACGGUGGAGAAGGAUGCUCCUUGUCAUUCCAUAUACCUCCAGUCUUCCAAGGCUUAGUUGUUUGGUUUGUCUAUCCACUUGAGAAGGAUUGUCAUAACCUAUUUUUAGGUUAUUUUUCAAUAUAUAUAUUUUUUUUUCUUCAAAAAAAUUACAAAAAAAAUCUAAAAAUAUUAUAAAAAAUAUAACAGUAAAAAGAGGAUGUCAGAACGCUCAGAAAAUAGUUAAAAUUUGGUUGAGGAGGUUUAAAAAUAUAAAAAUUAAAAUUUGGUAGUAUUUUAUUAACUGAUGAUAGCCCUGUUGACAAAGAAAAUUCAAUUUGAGAAAAAAAAAGUCUAAAAUCAGAUGUUGAGGGACUCAAUUAAAUUAUAUUGAAAGUUUAAUUGAAUUUAUGGAGGGUUUGAUUGUAAGAAAAAUUGAUUUUGGAGUUAAUUUGGGCUUUAAUUGGAAGAAAUUAAAGUUCUGGGGUCAGAUUAUAUUUUUUUUUAGAGUUGAUUUGGUCAAAUUGGGGGCUUAAUUGCAUAAAUAUUAAAGUUUGAUGGCCAAUCGGGGACUUAAUUGAAGAAAUCUGAGACCAAGGACCAAAAUGCAAAACGCGCGCAAAUUGAAGGAUUGAAUUGAAAUCUAGCGCUUUGGCUCCAAUUUUCAUUUAAAUGAAACAGUGCGUUUUAAGCAAAACGACGUCGUUUCAUGCACUUUCCAAAAAAAAAAAAGAGGACGAAACGGUGCCGUUUUGAGGCGGCACUGUUUCUUCUUCUUCUUCCCCUGGACAUGCAGCAGGGGAAGAGGCGUUUUUGUUUUCUUCUCUUUGUUUCUUCCUCUCCCUCCCCAUGUGCUCUGUUACAACCAAAACCGGUCGCCACUUGCCUCAUGAUGAGAUGCCAAAGCAGUCGUGCCCCGCAAGCGACGCCUCCAUUGGCCACCUCUGUCGGCGCCGUGACAGAGCAGGAGACGUGCGACGCAUGCAUGGGCAACGAUGGGACGGGGCAGGGUCGACCCCGCUCCCCUUGCCCCUAUAAAUAGUGACCCGAAAGGAGAAAAAAAGGAACACGGGAGAAAACAGGGAGGGAAACCGAGAGAGAGAAAUCGAUAGUGUUGAGAGAGAAAUGACUGAAACAGUAGAAACCAAAAAAACCGGGGAUAUCGAUAGGGAGACCGAGAGAGACAGACGGGGAGAAGGAAGAAAAAGGACAAAAGAGGUAAACCGAUGGGGAAGAAGACACUGACUGGUGUCUCUACACAGCGGAGAAGAAGCGCCGCUGCUGGCAUUGGGCUUCACAGUCACCGCCACCGCAACACCACCGAGAACGUUCACCAGCAUCACCGUCAGCUCAGCCAUCCGAGAUCACCACCUCAGGUAAAUUCUCUUCCCCUCACGCCGAUAAUUAUUCAUCUUCUUGCUUGUAGAACGUGCACUGUGCACGUUCUGCAUGCAAGAAGAAAUAAUUAGUCGGUUACCGUGCAUGCGCACAGUAACCGGCUAAUUAAUUAACUAGUUACUGUGCUCAUGCAUAGUAACUAGUCAUUGGUUUCUUCUUCUGCGAGUUGGAACAUCAGCCCAGCCCACGCGACUGGGCUGAGUCCAACCCCCUUUUUUUUAUGCGGGCUGGAACAUCAGCCCAGCCCACGCGGCUGGGCUGAGUCCAGCCCUGUUAACUGCGGCCUGGAACAUCAACCCAGCCCAUGCAGCUGGGCUGAGUCCAGCCUUGUUGCUGGGCCAAUACAGGCCCAACCCAGUUCAUUUCAUUUUUUCUUUUUUCCUUUUUGUUUUGUGUUUUAUAUAUAUAUAUUGUGAUUUUCCCACGGAUUUUUCUACGUCAUUUUAACUAAUAUUGGUCUAUAUUUUUUACUCGGUUUUCAAAAAAAAAAACUUUUGCUUUCAUGCAUACGGCCAAGUCUCUCAAAGCUAAAAAAUCAUAUUGUAUUUUUAUACAACAAAGAAAACUAAAAAAAUAUAUAUUAUUUUAGCAUGCAUUUUAGCUUUAAUAACCAGUUUAUUAAAGUCAUGAUAACUUGGCCAAUAUUUCAAAAAAUCAAAAAAAAUAUUUUGUUUUGUUUUAAUGUCUGGGAUUACGAAUUUAUACGUAAAACGUAUUCCCGAUAUUAAAAAGGUAGUUCUUUUAUAGACAUUAGGCCGGUUAGAUUUUUACCCCAUAAGAUAAGAACCUCCUUACUGAGGAGGGCUUUUCUUGAACCCUAGACAGACCAACAUGAUAAGACCUUAGAUUUUUUAUUAGACAAUAAAACAAUGCAGCUUACCUUAGGUAGGGUGUAUUUGAGGUGCUAAUACCUUCCCUUUGCGCAACCAGUCUCCGUACCCGAUCUCUAAGACCAGUUAGGGUUCCUAGUGAUCAGAAUACUAGGUGGCGACUCUCAUUCCAUUUUUUCACCGCUAAGAGACAAAGAAUUCCUUGUUUUACCAUAUUUUCCAGAAUAGAUAGACAUACCACAUUUGAUGAUGAGGGUGGUGGAUGAUCGCCGCACACGUGCGAUAGAAUGGUGACUCCACUGGGGACCCAUCAAAUCAAUCAACAGAAAAAAAAAUCACCAAGCCGAUGCCGCGCGGGUGACAUGCGACAAGGAUGAUCAUUAUUACUCACGGUCUGGCACUAUUAUUAUUAUUAUUAUUAUUAUUAUUAUUAUAAGAAAUAAAAGCAAUGGUAUUCAAUUGAUUAAAGAUAAACGAAUAGUAGGACCUUUCCUACCAAAAACUGCGGGAUGGAUAAGAUACAUAAGUAGAAGUGAAAUGGAAAAUGGAAGAUUACUGUGGAGAUGACGAAUUGGAACUAUACGUAUAUUCAGAGCCAAGAGGAGAUACAGUGCGCAUCAUUAAAAAAUGUGGGGUUCAUGUGAUCGCAGGGAAGUUAGAUUCAUUUGAAGAGUCGGAAGUGGAAAGAGAUAUAAUGAUGCCUUCACCACCGUUGUAUCAUCUGCUUCCUCAUCUCCAUUGUGGUUCAAUUACAGCGUCUACACCUAAGCAAUGGAGUGACUAUUUAUUUGCGAAGCUGAGUAAAUAUAACCUCAGUUGAACGCUUCAUGGUAAGAACAAAUAUUUCAUUUAGUUAUUUCUAUUUUAUUCUAUUUAAUUUAAGAGAUUAAAUAUUACCUUUAAUUAUUUCAUUAUUAUUAUUUAAUCUAAGAAAUUAAAUAUCAUCUUUAAUAAAAAAAAUUAUUAAAUAUUUAAGGCUUUUUGCUAAGAAUACAUGUUUCCUUCAGUUAUUUCUAUUUUAUUCUAUUUAAUUUAAGAUAUUAAAUAUAAUCUUUAAUUAUUUUAUUUUUCUUAUUUAAUUAAUCUAAAAAAUUAAAUAUGUUCUUUAAUAAUAUUUUUUAAAAAAUAUUUAGAGUCUGAUUGGUUUUAUUUUUUAUUUCUUGAUUUUAUAAUAAUAUUUUUCUUAUUUAAUUUAAAAAAUAAAUAUUAUCUUUAAUAAUUAGAUCUAUCAAAUAUCACGUAAUUAAUUAUAUCAUUAUUUUAUUGGUAGCAACUUAGGAGUCUUUUAAGCCAAAAGAAUAAUAGCUAGGAAGAGCUAAAAUUAGCAAGGAAUAUUUAGAGUCUGUUUGAUUUUAUUGUUUUUCUUUGAUUUCUUAAUAAAAAAAAUCAAAUUCUUGAAAACAAAAAUUGAAAACUUAUACGUUUUGAUUUUGAUUUUAUUUUUGAAAAUGAAAAGCCACCAAUCAAUAGCAUAAUCUAUUAAAAUCACUUUGUUUUAUUUAGAAAAUAUUGAAAACUGAUUUUUUUUACAUUAAAAUAAAAAAUUGAACAAUAUUUUUAUAUUUUAUUUCAAAUUUGAUAUUUUAAAACAAAAAUGAAAACGAUGUGAUAUUAACCUUUUUUUUAUUAUAAAGUAAGUUUCUUAAUUAAAAGUGAAGGUGAUUUGUUUGUAAUAACAAAAUGCAUAUACAAUCAUGCAAAAGUUGUAUUUAAUCAACUCUGCUAUUGAAUUUAAUGGUUUUUUAGGGAACAAAUGAUAUGGAUGAAUGUGAGAGCACAAGAUCAUUUUACAAAGAGAUUGAUUGGUACUUAAAAAUAUAUUUUUAUUAAGGUUUUAUAUCAUCAUAUUGCAUUUAAAGUAUAAUUAAAUUCUCUAAUUUAAGCAUAUUUUAUAAUAACAAGUCUGAUAACAUAAAAUAUAUUUAAUUUAUGGUAAAUGCUCAUUUUGAAUGCAGGCAUAUCUCACAAUUUAAAGGAUUGAUUGAUGUGUUUAACUAUUAAAAGUGAAAAGACAAAAAGAAGGCUAAGCUUAAAGAAGAAAUGUUGGUUCAAUUCAAACUGGAAUAUCAUUAUGUUAUUGAAUCAUAACUAUAGCUAUAGAACAUGGAUUUAGGUUUGGUUUAUAUGGAUGGAAAGCUAAGACAUAGGCCUAAAACUUUCAUGAAGAGUUCAAGAUUCAAAACGGCCCUUUUCAAGUUCAAAUUAUAGCAACAAAAGAGAAGUCGAAAUAUGACUUGUAACCUAGACACUGUUCAGUGUUCAGCCCAUAUCUCGAGUUCUAGAAGUUCAAAUAAUCUCAUUCUUGUUUUGUUGGAAAACUGAGACAAAUGCCCAGAAGUUUCAUGAAGACUAUCUGUUCAAAUUUUGAUGUUAGCAUGUUGUGUUCAGACAAGAAGAUAAUGGUUGUCACCAAGUCAAUAGGUGGCCACCCACUUAAUAAUUAGUCAUUAAAUCAAUAGUUCUGAAUUUUGGACUCUAAAAGAAGGCAUUUGCCAUACAUUUAGACAUCUUGGUGUUCAGAUCAAGAUCUUGCUCUCACUCUCUCUAUUUGUAUUUUGUAAUGUUCAAGUUUUAUUUUAUGUUAUAUUAAUCUCUUAUUUAUGCUUUUCAUUUCUUUUACUAUACUUAGUUAACUUAUAUCAUGUUUAUGUUAUUAUGUUGUUUAUUUAUGUUUUUCUUCUUCAUGAUGUUUAUCUAAGUUAAUUUUGUCAAGGUGAAAAGGGUACACUAAUGGUGUAAGAAUAAGUAUAAUACAAACUCCACAUAGACUUUAAUGUUUAAUACUAACAUGUUUUGUAUUUGUUAUCUUACUCACUCUUUAUACCUUACUUGUUAAAUGGUUAAUCUAAAUUUAUGUUGUACAACCCUUGGCAUAACAAAUACUUGACACUUUCAUAACCUACUGUAUGGUAUAAUCAACACUUGUGCUAUGAAAGGAACUUGAUUUAUUGUUAACAUAAAUUAUCAUCAUGAAUACCUGACCACAUUUACAAGUAUUGGCAUUACUCAAAUAAGAUAAUUAAUAUAAUCAUGUAUGUGGUUUCUAGUUGAGUAAUAAAAAGAGUUUAUACUAUACUUAUUUGAAAUACCUCUAACUUUAACAAUUGUUUUAUCCUUGUUUAAUCCUUACAUCAAUAUCACAUUUCAAAAGUUCUCUUCAACUCCUUUUUAAUUGUUGUUUAUAAUUUUAUAUAAUUCAUCUCCCUGUGUUUCAACCCCGGUCUUGCCGGGUUAUUUAUUACUUUGACACUCCUGCACUUGAUAUAAGACAUCAAUCUCUUGAUCGUGUUAGAGAUGCUUGAAGUUACUCUUUAUUGGUAUGGUAGUUGUUUCUAACGAGUUGAUAAGUAUUUGUUAGCUUGAAGAUUAUUUUCCAAACUUGGAAGUUAUAUUGAAUGCUUUUUGAAAUCUUUUCCAUCCGAUUUGAAAUUGGACAACCUAAUUGUUAUUAUCCAUUAUGUAAUUUAUAUUUUCAAGUUUCAACUUUUGAUGAAUAUUGUAUUGAAUGCUCUUUGAAAUCUUUUCCAUCCGAUUUGAAAUUGAAAAACCUAGUUGUUAUUAUCCAUGACGUAAUUUAUAUUUUCAAGUUACAACUUUUGAUGAAUAUUGUUUCCUUUUUUUCUCACUUCUUGGAAGUAUUCUCAAAAAGAUGAAAAUCCUCGAUCUUAGUUAUAAAUAAAUUGGUUUUCUAGGAAGAGAUUAUUAGGUGGGAUAUAUUAUUUGAGUUGGUUCUUCAUCAUUUAAUGUUAUGAUUUAAGAUAAUUGAUGAAAACUACCAAUACACAAGAAUGUUUAGAAAGCAUCUUUAAUUGGUCUAAUAAGUAAAGUCUUGUUAGUUUUGGCCAUAAGCUAUGUAUUAUUGCUUGUUUUUUACUAUUUUUUUACCUUUUUUGUUUUUUGUAUAUACAACUUUUGUUUUUCUUGCGAGUUUCUCAUUAGCUUUAUGGCACUAACAUCAAUUAAUAAUAAAUCUUGGACUAUUAUUAAAUAAAAAAAAACAUAAACAUUGUUAAAACACCAAACUUGCAUAGUUCAAACCUAGAGAAACCCUAUGCCAAUAAUCUAAUUUAAAAAAAUAAUUAAUUUAUCCUUGUAGUCUUAGAAAAUAGUAUUUAAUCCUUAUGUUUUUACAUUUAUCUUUGAUUUAACCUUUUACAUCUAUUUCAUCUUAUUAUUUUGGUUUACUAAGUAAAGUCUUAGAAACCUAUUUAUGGUCUUAAACAACUUAAAAAGGCUCAAAAACCUAAAAUGAACUCAAACCUGAAAAUCUUCAUGCUGAGAGGUCUGUUUCAUCAAGCAAGGAAAAAGAAAAAAAAAACAUAGGUGAAACUUCCCUCAUCAAAUAAAAUCCAAUGACACUAGGAUUGACUAUUUUGGUGGCUAGAAUAGAAGUCAACGAUAACAUUUUCUUUCCACGUCGGAAUCUAGCAAGUUUCUCUCUUCUCUCACAAAAAAAAACUAAAAAAUAAGGAAAAUAAAGUUUGGUAUUAAAAUCAAAUUUCCGACAACUAAAGAGACCAAUCACCUAUUAACUAAAAACAAUUGGGGACCGAACUAAGUUUUUCAUAUGAAAUAUGAAGUUGACAUCUAUUUUCUCCAUGUUUUUUACUUUGGUUAUCUAUCUUUCAAUCCAACCCUUUCUUCAUAAAAAUAGAAGUAACUUUGUAUUAAUUUGGACUAAAAAAGGUACAAUAGUGCAAAAACAAAUUGAGGAUCAAAUUGAGAAUUAAAAAAUAAUUGAUUAUUUUAAUCUAUAAUGAUAUGUGAGAGAGUGCACAUUAUAAAGUGAAGAGAAAAAACUCCACAUGACUUUGAAACACCUUUGAUGGUUGAUUGAAAUUGGUAAGUGAGUUUCCUCACAUGUUGUUUUUUCGGUUUUGAGUCCAAAUAUGGAGAUUUUAUGAUUUAAGGUAUUUUUCAUGAAUGCAACCCUUCAUGUAUUCAAUAACUUAUUUUCUAGUAUAAACUACGUUUGAAAUAAAAUUGAUAAAAGACAUGUGGUACACAAUUAAUGAUGGCAUGUAUAUAAAAAUAAUUAAAUUGAAAAUUUUCAAUUAUCUUUAAAGAUAUCAUGGUUUUAGUCGGUUAAAUUAUAAAAAAAAUAUUUAAUUUUUUGAUAUAAAUAAUAAUAACAAAUUAGAUAAUAGUAACAAGAAAAUAGGAAUUAGUUUGAAUAAAUGGUACCAGUUCCUAUUAUGAUAUAUCUAGAGAAGAAGUUUGAAGAAUAAAAUGAAGUGAAAUAUUCUUAAUAAAAAAAGAAAAACACAAAAAGAAAUAAAAAAAUAUUCUUAAUAAAUAUAAAAGAUGGGUGAAAUUAGAGAACAAGAAAGAGAUAUAGAAUCUCUUUGUAAGAUUUCUAAAAACUUAAUUACAAUUAUAUUAUAAUUUCUUCCCUAAAAUUAUUUAAAAUAUAGUAUUAGAAUUACAUAAUGCUAGGUUUUAAUAUAUAAUUAAAGAGUUUCUCCUUAACCAAAUAUAAAAAUAUUUUAUAAUUCUUUUGAAUGAAUUAUUAACGGAGGGACUGUUUUGGGUCCCUAUUUAGCUGAUUUUAUUUGAAUAUAUUAUUUGACUAGUCCAUUUAUAGGUUUACUCUACUAUUCUUGCCUUACUGGAACCGGAAAAUUCACUCGAAAUUUCUAGUAGUUUACACAGAAAUUUCCUGUGCUAAACUUCAAAGAAUUUCUUUUCUUUUCAUUUUGUAUUUUCUCAUUUUCUUGGCAUGCGCGCAGCUGCAUCAAGGAAAAAACGUUUCAGAUGCGUGUAAUAAAUCCAAUCGAUGAAUGAGAAAGGGACGCAAAAUAAAGAUAAAAGUGGAAUAUUCUCAUUAAUUGGUCAUCAUUUAAACGUUGGACACAGCCAUCUAUAUGUUGUUUAAAGAAUUUAAAUGGUUAGUCAGAAAGGAUUGCUUUUUAAUUAAAAAUAUAUUAAAAUAAUAUUUUUAAUGCCAAGUAUUUGUUCAACCUCAUUAAUGCUAACGAGUGGACCCAGUUGUUGUGGAAACUUUGCUAGGGAUCUGGAGUGUCAUAAUCCAAAAUUAUUCCUUAAAAUUUAUAUUUUUUCAAAAUAAAAAUCAAAAAAAUAAAAUAAAGGCUGGCAACGUGGAGAAAGCAGGCCGGAAAAUCAAGCUGUAAUUUUUGGAGGAAAUUCAAGGCGUAAUUGUACCCCACUAUGCCCCAAAAUAGAGAGAAAAUAUAAAUUCAAGGUCAAAUUAAAUGAUUAUUUGACAAAUUUGCAUAAACAUUAAGUCCGAUGACAUAAUUAAAUUUUUAAUAGGCCAAUUUGAUUUAAUCACGGGCCAAAUUAAAUUUUAAUUAUGUUUAAGAAUUAAUUUGCGUCCAAUUGAAGGAUUUAAUUAAGUGCAAGGACUUAAUUAUACUUUAAAUGGGUCAAAUUAAUUUUAUUUUGGGCUUAAUUGGUGAAAACUUAAGUUUGGGAGCUUAAUUGAGAAGAUUGGAAUUUUAAGAGACCAAAUUUAAUUCUUACCAAGUUAAUUGAUUGAAAUUAGGGGCCCAAUUGCAAGAACAUUGAAGUUUUGGGGUCAAUUGGGGGUUAAAUUGAAGAAAUUGACAGCUAAGGACCACUCUGCAAAAGGCGAAAACAUUUGGGGACUUAAUUGACAACCACCGGGGCAAAAUUGAAGAAAUUGAAAGUAUAAUGGUCAAUUAGAGGUUAAUUUGACAAAAUUCGAGACCAAGGACCAUAUUGCAAUAGGCGCGUAACUUUGGGGUUUCAAUUGAAGUUUAUCAGGGGCUUAAUUGCAUUAAAUCCAAAGUUAAGGGUUAAUUAGGGGUUCAAUUGAAACCAAUUGAAAGAUGGAGGACUAAGAUGAAAAUAUGUUAAAAUCCCUAAUUCAACUCAAAAUGGCGCCGUUUUAUAUUAAAAAAGAGAGAGAGAGAGGGGACCAGACGACGCGUUGUCGGGUCACUGUUCAUUGUCUUCUUCUUUUACCCGAAAGAAACUGCUUGGGAGCCUUAUUUGCAGGUGCAUUUAAUGCUUGAUUUCUCCAUAAAAUUGAACAAAACUUGCACGAAAAGGAUCCCCUGCAAUUCCUCUACAAACCCAUGUGAACUUUUCAGGAUUAAUGACAGCACAGCUACGCCGGAGAUGGCGUGAAGAGGUCAACUCAGGCAGCCUUUUCCUGCAGAUUUGACAACUCAGGGAGGCUACUUUGAGCCAACAGUUGGGAUCCUUCCCAACAGAAUCAAGAGCUAAAAUUUUACCCCAGUGCAAAAGAGAUUACCCUCUUCGACCGCCUAUAAAUAGAGGCUGAUUUGAUGGCCUGAGGGAGGAAAAAAAAUCGGGUCCAAAAUUUGAAAAAAACAAGCUCCCACUGCCCCCGUUUCUGCAAUUUCUCUCUCUCUCUCCGUCGCUUCAACCACCACCAACCUCAUCACCAGCUUCUCCACCACCAGCUCCAUCACAGUAAGCCACCAACCGACCACCGAGAGCCACCGUGAACCUUUCUCUCUCCUCUGCAAACCGGUUUCUUCUUUCUCCCACAGCGACUCCACCGGCCAAAACUCUCCACCAACGCCGCCAUCAGCCUCUUUUCUUCCACGACCAGACCACCGCCAACUUCACGCCAGGCCAGAGACAGCAGCUUCUUCUCCUCCGCAAGGUCGCCUCCCACUUCACUCCGCCGUCUGCGCAAAGUUGCAUGCAGAACAUGAACUUACUGUUCACGUUCUACAAUUAAUUCAUCCCUCACUUGGGCCGGGCCAUAAAUGUUUGGCUGGGUCUGGCCCGGCCUCAAAAGAAAAGGAGAAAGAAAAUAUGUUGGGCCGAUAUCGGCCCAACCUUUUUGGACCGAGAUCGGCCCAACUGUUUCUGGGUUUCUGCUUGGUCCAGUUACUUGGGCCAUCCCGGCCCACCUGUUUUAAUAAUAUUUAAUUAAUAUAUUAUAUUAUAUUAUAUAUUUCCUUUUAAAAAAAACAAAAAAAUCCAAAAAAAAUUUCAAAAAUCAUUUUUAAAAAAUUACGAUUUUCUCAAAUAUUUUUCUACCACUUUUGUAUAAUAUCGGGUUGUAUAUUUACACUGUAAAAUACAAACCUGGUAUUAAAAUACCCGGUUUUCUCCUAAAUAUUUCAAAAACAAAAUUCAAAACAUUUUCAAAGAGAAAAAAAAUAUUUUGUUGCAUACGGCCAAAUCUUAAAAUUUUUCCAAGCAUAUUUUUCAAUAAAAAAACAAAAAUUGCAUCUUUCUCCAGUUUUGAAAAUAAAAAAAAUGGAUAUCAUAACCAGUUUGUGAAUAUCCAUUAGAAUUUGGCCAACAUGUCAAAACCUUUUUCCAAUCUUUUUAGGGUUCAGAUGCAGACUUUAGUAUUUGUGGAGUGUAAAAUUACACGAUAAAGUACACCCUCAGGUAUUAAAGAUACAAGGUGUAAAUAAAUGCGAUGCUAAAAUUCAGACUUUAGAAUGGUUAGGAUUUAACCUGAUAAAGUAAAGACUUUCUCAUGAAGAGAGAUCUGCCUUAAACCUUAAAAAAGACCAACGAAUAGAAACCCGAUUUAGAAAAAAACAAUCAAACAACAAUGUAGCUUACCUUAGGUAGGGUGCACUGGGGGUGAUGCGUCUUCCCCUUGCACAACCAGUCUCUUACCCAGACUCUCGCAGACCAUAGGUUUCUAGUGAUCAUAAUACUAGGUGGCGACUCCUAAACAUUAAUCAUAAUUUUAUAAUUAAAUCCAAAAAACCUUCCCAACACACAACACCUCACACAGGAGGCACGACAAGAAGCCUUUGCCGUCGCCAGACGACGUCGCGCCCCUUGCGACAUGGAGGAAGAAAAAUGAUUGCAUUGCUAAUAAUUUGCAAGAGAGAAUUCUUUUUCUGAAUAGAAAAAACUAUUAUUUUUAAAAUAAAAACAACUAAAUAGAAAAAUUAUUAUUUUUUAAAUAGAAAAACUAGAAAAGCCUUGUAAUAUUGAAUAAAAAAUAAAAUAGAAAAAUUAUUCUUUUAAAGUAGAAAAAAUUAUGACAAUUUAAUAAUACUGAAUAGAAAUAAAUCAAAUUUUUAAACUAAAUAAAAAUAAUAGAGAAAAAUAUUUAUUAUCCUAAACUUUUUUAUAUUAAAAUCUUAAUUUAUAACAUGAACUGAGUCUACAUGCUAAAAUUAGAAGAACAAAAAAAAAAUGUAACAAAAAAAUUCCAUACAACACAAUUAAUGAUGGGAUCAUAUAUUUUGAGACUAAAAUGAGGUUUUCGAAUUACCUUUAAACAUAACAUAACAUGAUUUUAAUAGAUGUACUGUACAUCAUUUGAAUUUAUUAGAAAAAACAUAUAAUGUAAAGUAUGAACCACUUACCAUUAACUAGAUUUUUCAAUUGGAUUUUUUAUUUAAAUGAAAAGGAAAAUUUAUUUUAUUAUGAAAAAUAUUUUUUAUAUAUAUCUAGUAAUAAUAAAUUAAAGGAUAAUAACAAGAAAAUAACAAUUAGAUCGAAUAAAUGGUACCAAUUUCUAUUCUGAUAUAUCUAGCCAAAGAAUAGAAUGAAUCAAAAUAUUCUUAAUAAAAAAAAUAGAAAACACAGAAAGAAAUAAAAAAAUGUUCUUAAUUAAUAUAAAACUAUUAAUUUACAAAAGAAAUUUUCUGGUACUUUAUACUGUAUAUAAUUUGAAAAAUUGUGACUGACCGACUUACUUGCAAAGUAUUUGCAAGAAAGUUAAAGAAUUAGAGUUUUUUAAUAUUCAAAAUUAUAAUUUUAAAUUCUACGAAAAAAAUCAAUUAUUUUUAAAACUGUUUUCAAAAAUAAAACAUCAACUAUUUAUAUAAUAGCUAAAUAAAACAAUUAAAAUAAAUAAAAAAAUAACUAGUAAAAUCAAGUGAAUAAUCCAAAAAUAACAAGAAAAUAGAGAUAUUUCCUAAAUAUGAUUUCAGUUUGUUGUAUUGAUCAAUUUGCUAACAUAAAUAGCAUAAACGAACUUUAUUCUAAUAGUAUGUUUGAUAUUUAAAAAAAAAAAAAACUUAUAGAUAUUAUAUGGGUUGGCAACCCAUUUUUUAUUAAAUUUUAAAUUUUAUUUGUUUAAAAAUAUUUGUUUAUGUUUUUUAAUUAUUUUAAUAUGAUAAUAUCAAAAAUAAAUAAAUAAAAUUUUUCUAAGUUUUACUACUUCUGACUUGCUUUGACUCGAAAUUAGUGGUGCUUUCUCCUGCGAAUGAAUAGAAAGCAUAUCAUAAAGGUGUGUUUGACAUUGUGUUUUGGAAGUAUUUUUUAAAAAAAUAAAUUUUUUUAUUUUUUUUCUUCAAAUUAUUUUUUUUGUUGAUGUUUUCAUAUUAUUUUGAUAUGCUGAUGUCACAAAUAAUUUUUAAAAAAUAAAAAAAUAUAUUAUUUUGAUGUGUUUUGAAAUGAAAAAACUUUAAAAAGCAACCGCUACCACACUCUCAAACUCCUUUGUUUAUUGAGUCUUACUGUGAAACCUCGUUUUGGGAUGAAUUGAUUGUAAGAAUAAGAAAUUAUGUGCAAAUUAUACAAAAUUUAUUAUUCAUCAUCAAGAUUUAUUAUUUAUUAUCACUAUUGAAUAAUGAUUUAUUUUAUAAUAUAAAUUAUGUUUAAAAUAAAAUUGAUAAAAUUAAAAUACAUGAAACGAGGUCGUAUAUUUUGAAACUAAAUUAAAAUUAUUUUCUUUUUCAAUGAUAUCAUUUGUUAGUUUGCAAGUCCACAUGUCACGAGUCUCCACUGCAUGAAAUUUGCAAAAUCAUAUGGCCCAUUGAUAGAAGGUGUGUUGAAGCAAAAUCUGUUUUAUUGAUUAUCAAUAUUGAAUAAUAGCUUAUUUUCUAGUAGAAACUAUGUUUGAAAUAAAAUUGAUAAAAGACAUGAUAUACAAUUAAUAAUAGGAUCGUAUAUAAAAAUAGGAAAUUUCCUGGUAAUAAAGUCCCAACUUUCGUAGGCGAGCACUAAAGUCCCAAACUUCAAGAAUUUCUCUUCUUUUCCUUUUGUAUCUUCUCAUUUUCUUGGCAUGCGCGCAGCUGCCUCGAGGAAAAAACGUUUCAGAUUCGGAAAAUAAAGAUAAAUGUGGAAAAAAAAAAUCCCAAAUAAAGAUAUCUUUUCGUCCCUUGGUGUCGUGUGAAUACCAUGUGGAUAUCAUUUCAGAAAAUCAAUUCAACCGUUCUCCAAAGAACACUCAUACUCCAAUAUCAGCAACUACCACGAAAGUUACCACUCUAAAUUCCAGCUCAAUAAUUAAGGUUCCAAGAUAAGCCUAAAAAAUAUUUAUUAGGCUUAUCUUAAAGCCUAAUAAAUAUCUAAAAAAAAACAAAAAAACAAAAUUCCACCCUAGGCUGUGAUUAACAGAUUAUCUGAUGGAAACAUGAUGAGCUUUUUUUUAGUGAAUUAAGUUCAAUUAAAAAAAAAUUAAGGUUAAAUUGAUGAUUAAUAAUGAAUUUUGUAUACUUUGCACAGGAUUUUCUUAUUCUCGUCAAUUAAUCUUAAAGCGAGGUUCCAAGAUAAGCCUAAAAAAUAUUUAUUAUUGAUCAACAAUAUUGAAUAAUGGCUUAUUUUCUAGUAUAAAUUAUGUUUGAAAUAAAAUUGAUCAUAAGAGUAGAUGAUAUACAAUUAAUGAUGAAAUCGUAUAUUUUGAGACUAAAUUAAGAUUUUUCAAUUAUCUUUAAAUAUUAUGGUUUUAAUAGGUGGACAAUGCAUUCUUUGAAUUUAUUACAAGUAAUGUGUAAUUUAAAUUAUAAAAAAAUAUUUAUUUUUCUGAUAUACAUGAUAAUAAUAAAUUUGAUGAUAGCAACAAGAAAAUAGAAAUUAGUUUGAAUUAGUACGUUUCUCAUUAACAUUAAUGAUGGAAUCAAAAUCUUUGUUAGCGGUCACCUGUUCGACCUCAGUAAUGUUAACGCGUGGACCCAGCUGUUGUAGAAACUUUGCAAAGGAUCUCGAGGAAGAAAAAUGAUUGCAGUGUAAGACUUAAUUACCGAUUCUAUGAUGGGGAAUAAAUAUGUUUAUAACAGAAUUGUAAGUUAUAAUAUGUAAAAUUUAAUUAACGAUUCUAUUAUACGAAAUAAAUAUGUUUAUAACGUAAUCGUAAGCCUUAAUAAUAAGAAAUCAAUAUCUCCAUCUAUUAAUGUUCCUCAUGUAUUUAUUAUUCUUUUUUAUAUAUAUUUGAUACUUUCAAACUCUACUCACUUUAUAUAGAUUGUGUAAAACUUAAGAGAACUCAGUAAGUGAGUAUAGAGAUCAAAUAACAUUAUUUAUAGCCAAAGCUUCCCUCAAGCUUUAAUGGCUAUAUGUCCCACAUAUUUAUUAUAUCAUGGGUAGUUACAAGUGAAUCACUUUAAGAGCUUAUAAAUGUAAAUGUUACAACUUUAAAAUGAACGAUUUUAAGAGUUUAUAAAUAUAAAUAUUAUAAUUUUUAGAGUGGAUCACUUUUAGUGUGAAGGAGAGUUAGAGAAUCGAUUAUAAUGACUCUGUAAAAAACAGUCAACAUGCAUUGCUAAUAAUUUGCAACGGAGAAUUCUUUAUUGAGAUUUAUUGUUAAACCUCGCUUUGGAAUGAAUUGAUCACGAGAAUAAAAAAUAAUCACUACAUACACCCUUUAACUAUUUUACUUGAAAGUUUCGAUUAUUUCCUAAGCUCCUUUGUUCAUUUUCUUUUUUAUUACCCCUUCAUGCACGACACUUUAUGCCACUUCAUGAUACCCUUGUUUUCAACGUUUUACACUACUUUAAAAGCGUGUUUGGUAGUGUGGUUGCGGGUGCUUUUCAAAUAACUUUUCGUGUCAAAAUACAUGCCAAUGAUAUUUUUUUUAUUUUUUAAAAAUUAUUUUUGACAUCAGCACAUCAAAACGAUCCAAAACAUAUAAACCUUAUUAAAUUUUAAUUUAAAAAAUAUUCAAUUUUUUUGGGAACGCAGCCGCAUCCGCGUUCACAAACGAGUCCUCAAGUCAAUUGUUAGAUACUAAAAACAGCAAGAACUGUACUCAAUCAGCAACCACUGUGAAAUUACCACUCAAAAUCCCAUGAAUAUAUAUAAAAAAGAAUUUUGUCUAGAAAAAUUCUAUCAAAUUCUCUACUUUAUUACUCUUCAAUGUUUUACACUGCUUUAGUUCUAAAAAAACUCCUAGAUGUUAUAAAGCAAGAUAUAUACAACUAUAUAUAUAUAUAUAUAUAUAUAUAUAUAUAUGAAAGUGUAAUAAAUAUUAUAUUUUAAAGUAUUUUUUAAAUAUAUUAAAAUAAUAUUUUUUUAAAAAUAAUUUUGAUAUUAGUAUAUUAGAAUAAUAAAAAAAUAAUUUAAAACAAUAAAAAAUAUUGAAAUUUUUAAAAAAUAUGAUUUGACUGAACUCCAAAACACACGCAUGCUCCCUCAGCAGCCACCACGAAAUUACCACUCUAAAUUCCAGCUCAAUAAUUUAUUCUUUAGCAAUUAUUGCUUGCUCUUUGACAAGUACUGCUUUGCUAAUAAUUUGCAAGAAACUUUCUCAAUUUCCUUCUAUUUUCUUUUUAUCAUGGAAACUUUAAGUCACAUACCACUAAAUUACCGAUAAUUAAAUUUCAAUGUGUAAUUGUGUAGGUUUCAAUUAAAAAUGUUUUAAUUUGAGAAAAUUUGUUAAAAAAAUAGUAUAAAUUAUAUUUUAGAGUUUAUUUUAAUAGUUUAAAUUUUUAGAUGAAUAGUUUUCUAACAAAUAAAGACAUAGUUUUACGAUAAAAUGCAUUUUUUAAAAUGAAAUUAUAUUAAAUUAAGCAUGGUCGAGAUUAUUCAAAUUAUUAAUUAAUUAUAAUUAACUUUAUGUCUUUAGAGGAAACAAAAGGAAAGGACAAAAUGAUUAAUUAAAUUUUUAGAUGAAUUAAUAAAUCUUUACAAAUAAAAGAUAUAGUUUUUCAUUUUUUGAAAUGAAAUUAUAUUAAAUUAAGCAUGCUCGACAUUGUUCAAAUUAUUAAUUAAUUAUAAUUAACUUUAUGUCUUCAGAGUAAACAAAAGGGAAGGACAAAAUUAUCUUCCCCACAACGAUAAACCUAGCCCCCUUUCCAAACCAAUCCUCUAGUAAAUAGAAUGAUGGUCCCAUAAAUUGCUUUAUUCUUUCCAGCCCGCCAAGUAGUUUGGUCUCCCUCACAGGACCUCCUUAGCAUGGGAAUCAUAUGAAUUUCCUUGCUUUUCUUCCUCUACGCGUUACCUUUCACCUUUUAUAAUUAUUAUUAUUGCAUUGCUAAUAAUUUGCAAGAAAGAUUAUGAACAUUUUUUUUAGUGAAAUAAGCUCAUUUCAAAUUAACAAAAUAUAGUUUGUUGAGGCUUGUCUUGAAACCUCACUUUGGAUUAAUUGACAGGAAUAAUAAAAUUUUAUUCAAAUUAUAUAAAAUAUUAGGUGUGGAUGUGCCCUUGCCCAACAAGCUACCAUGACCUUAUCUAGAGUUGGGUGUUAACGAGACAAGCCCUUGUCCAACUCAGAGUUCGGCAUAGAUAUAUCAUGACCCAACAUAAAGUUUGGAUGCGGAAAAAAUAUAAUUUCAUUUUGAAUUAUGAUUUUUGUUGGAUAGUCUUUAAAUAAAUUUUUUUUUUAGAAAAUCAUGACCCAUAUCUGGUUAUCGGAAAAACAAUUAUGGUUGAUUUAGCCUCAUCUUCUCUGCUUGUAAAAUUGGGGCAGAUUAUGGACUUAACCGAGCAAUUACCGCUCAAAAUUCCUAGCAAUUUACAAAGGAAUUUUCCUUGCUUUUUCUCAGUAUAUUAUUAGAAAAACCGUCAUUGACUGAUUUAAUUGUAAAGUCUUUGCAAGAAAGUAAAAAAAUUAGUUUUUUAAAAUAAAAAAUAUAGAGAGAGAAAUAAAAAAUAAAAAAUAAAAAAAGGAGCGAAAGGAAACAACCGCCAUCUUUCUUGUUCCUUUUCCCUUCUUUACACGGCGUCCUCGAUGAAAAUAGCAAACACCCCAUUUGAAUAUAUAAUUAAAGAAAGAAAGAAAGAGAGGAAAAUUCCUUCCUCAAUACUUACCGCUACACGCUUCAGAAAUUCCUUGCUUUUUUUUUUUUUUUUUUCAUCUCUACUUACGUGUUACCUUUUACCUUUUAUAAUUAUGAUUAUUGCAUUGCUAAUAAUUUCCUUGCAUUUCUUUAAUAUAUAAUUAAAGAAAGAAAGAUGUUGAACACUUUUUUAGUGAAUUCAAAAUAACAAAAUAAGGUUGUUGAGGCUUUUCUUGGAACCUAGCUCAGGGAUUAAAUUAUAAAAAAAUAUAUUUAUUUUUCUGAUUAUAUAGCAAUAACAAAUUAAAUAAUAGCAACAAGUAAAUAGGAAUUAGUUUGAAUAAAUGGUACCAGUUCCUAUUAUAAUAUAUCUAGAGAAGAAGUUCGAAGAAUAGAAUGAAGUCAAAUAUCCUUACAUAAUGCUAGGUUUUAAUAUAUAAUUAAAAAGUUUUCCAUGAACCAAAUAAUAAAAAUAUUGUACAACUUUUUUGAAUGAAUUAUUAACAUAGAGGCUUAUUUGAUUUGAAUAUAUUAUUUGAUUAGUCCAUUUAUAGGUUGUCUCUAUUAUUCCUGCCUUGCAUUGCCAGGAAAUUUCACUAGAAAUUUCUAGUAAUUUAAACAGGAAAUUUGCUGGUGAUAAACCUGGAAUAUGAUUUUCAACUUUCGUAGGCGAGCACUGAAGUCCCAAACUUCAAGAAUUUCUUUUCUUUUCCUUUUGUAUCUUCUCAUUUUCUUUCUAGGAAUGUUAUGAGAAGCAGCAGAGUCAAGAGGCCAUUUUUGAUCCUGUGGACCGGAAGUAGUUGCAUAGUUAGUCGUAACCUCUGAUCAAUGGAGUCGUGGGUAAGACUUGGCUAAAUGGCCUAUCUGAUCAGGAAAUUGGCAUUUCGGUUGAUAAUGCAUUUGAGUGGUACCGAUUGGUUGAAGACUUGCAGUUGUCUUUGAAUGGACCGACCUUGAGGGAUUUUAUUGUGGCCUGGAGACCGAGAAGAUCCAUUAGUCUUAUUUGAACCCUUCGGGUGAGACCCACCAUAUGAACUAUUUAAGUUCUGUUUGUGAAGAUAAGAAUAAUUGGCAGAGGCCACAAGCUGCUGAGUUGAAGAUUCCAAACGCCGCAGGUAACUGUCAUGCCCCUCAAGAAUAUCUUGAAGCUCUUCAAAUUAUCCCAAUAGUUCUUAUAUUAAAAUCUCAUUUAUCAUAUGUUACAUCUAUCAAAAAAAAAAAAAUAAUUUGUGACGUGAACUAAAGCUAUAUGUGAAAACUAGAAAUAACAAAUGUAUGAAAAAAAAAUCAGCUGUGAUUAACAGAUUAACGAUGGAAAUUAAGAUGAUGAAUAUUUUUUUGUAAAUUAAUUUCAAUUUAAAAUAACUACAAAGAAGUUAAUUAGGAUUCCUUCCUUGAAAUUAUUAAAAAUAUAGUAUUAGAAUUAUAGAAUGCUAGGUUUUAAUAUAUAAUUUUUAAUAUUAAUUGUUAAAGAGUCUCUCUCGAACCAAAUAAUAAAGAUAUUAUAUAACUCUUUUGUAUGAAUUGUAAAUCUAGGGAUAGUUUUGGGUUUUCCAAUCACAACUUUGGACUAAAAUUAAUAACAAAAUAAAGACCAAAGAUAACGGUAUGUAAAUCUAGGGACCAAAAAUAAUACAACUGCAUUUACUGUAGAUUUCACUUAGAAUUUCUAGUAAAUUACAAAGGAAAUUUCUUGUGCUUUUUAACGUACAUGAAUUGAAAAACUACCAUUGACUGACUUGCAUUGACUGACUUGCUAAGCAUUUGCUGCUCGAAAUUUUCUCCCUAAAAAUUUUCAAGCAAUUUACGGAGCAAAUUUCCUUAUGCUCUCUCUUGUAUAUUAUUAGAAAAAUUGUUUUUAAAAAUCAAUUUUUUUUUAUUUUCCUGAGAUUCUAUUUUUUAGUCGAGUCAAUUUCAAGUUGGGUUCAAUAAUUAUGAUUAAAUUUACUGAAAAAAAAAUAAUUUUAUGUCACUUCAUGAUACCCAUGUUUUCAACGCUUUACACUGCUUUAAUAAAUUGUUACAGUAAUAGCACAGAGAGGAGCGGUUCCAGAAAAAACAAUAAUGGAGAUGAAGCAAAAUCUGUGUUUGAUUUUUUCUUUUUUGUGUUUUCGGUACAUUGGUCAACAAUAGCUUGGAAGAGUUUGGAAUCAGUAACACGUGGACCCAGUUGUUGUGGAAACUUUGCAGAGGAUCUUCACUCUGCAGGAAGAAAAAUGAUUUUAAUAGAUGUACUGUACAUCAUUUGAAUUUAUUAAAAGUAACGUGUAAUGUAAAGUAUGAUUCACUUACCAUUAACUAGUUGGACAAAAAAACUAAACUUUCUCAAUUUCCUUCUAUUUUCUUUUUAUCAUGGAAACUUUAAGUCACAUCUGCGCCUACCACGAAAUUACCGAUAAGUAAAUUUCAAUGCGUAAUUGUGUAGGUUUCAAUUAAAAAUGCUUUAAUUUGAAAAAUUAUGUUAACAAUAAUAUAAAUUAAUUUUUCUUCAAAAUAAAAAGUAAUUGGGUAUUAAUUUAGGCUAUAAAGAUAAAAUAAUAAUAAUAAAAAAGAGUUCGAGGGUAUUCAUUUUAUUAUUUGUUAUGUAACUAUAUAAUCUAAUUUGUUGAUGUGGAAAAUAGCACAAAGUUUUUGACAUGGAUAUUGGUGAGAAGCAAAAGCAGUAUCCACUAUGAGAGCUUUUGUAAACGCGUGGACCCAGUUGUUGUGGAAACUUUGCAAAGGAUCUGCAGGAAGAAAAAUGAAAUUUGCAAAGUAUUUGUGUGUAUUAUAUAAUUGUGUUAAUUUAAGGAUUAUUUUUUAGUUGUAUUAAUUUAGAAAAUAUUUUGUCUCACCGGAAAACUCUAAUUACGUUCGUAUAUUUGUUUUUGGUAACAGAUGCAAUAUGCUUUUUAAUUCAAGAUAUAUUAAAAUAAUAAUUUUUAAAAAAAAAUUAUUUUUUUUAUUUUAGUAUAUUAAAAAUAAAAAAUUUAAAAAUAGUAAUUUAAUAUUUUCUUAAAAAUAUAUUUAAAAAACACUUUUAAUUUUGUUUUUCAACUGUACUAUUCCUUGAAAAAACUCAAACUCUAAAUAAUAUCUUCUACUACAUACUUUCUAAGACUAAAAAUUAAUCUAAAUGUUUUUGAAAAGUAGUUCAACCAAAGUACCAAAUAUGUUUAUAUACUCCAUCUUCAACCACUGUAAAAUUACCACUCUAAAUUACAACUCGGUAUCGAUUACCUUUUAUCUUUGACAAUUAUUGCAUUGCUAAUAAUUUGCAAGAAAAAAUACAUUCUCAAUUUCCUUCUAUUUUUUUUUUAACAUGAAAAACUUUAAGUCACUCAAUCUGCAACCACCAUGAAAUUACCGGUCCGAAUUCCAGCUCAAUAUUUACCGGUACGACACGCUUGAGGAAUUUCCUUGCUUUUCUUCCUCUACGCGUUACCUUUCACCUUUUAUAAUUAUUAUUAUUGCAUUGCUAAUAAUUUGCAAGAAAGAUUAUGAACAUUUUUUUAGUGAAAUAAGCUCAUUUCAAAUUAACAAAAUAUAGUUUGUUGAGGCUCGUCUUGGAACCUCGCUUUGGAUUAAUUGACAGGAAUAGUAAAAUUUUAUUCAAAUUAUAUAAAAUAUUGGGUGCUGAUGUGCCUUUAUCCAACUUAGAAUUGCGACAAGCUACCAUGACCUUAUCUAGAGUUGGGUGUUAAUGAGACGAGUCCUUGCCCAACUCAGAGUUUGGCAUGGAUAUAUCAUGACCCAACAUAAAGUUUGGAUGCAGAAAAAAUAUGACUUUAUUUUGAAUUAUGAUUUUUGUUGGAUGGUCUCUAAAUAAAUUUUUUUUAUAGAAAAUCAUGACCCAUAUCUGGGUAUCGGAAAAACAAUUAUGGUUGAUUUAGCCUCAUCUUCUCUGCUUGUAAAAUUGGGGCAGAUUAUGGACUUAACCGAGCAAUUACCGCUCGAAAUUCCUAGCAAUUUACAAAGGAAUUUUCCUUGUUUUUUCUCAGUUCAUUAUUAGAAAAACUGUCAUUGACUGAUUUAAUUGUAAAGUCUUUGCAAGAAAGCUAAAAAAAUUAGAGUUUUUUAAAAUAAGAAAUAUAGAGAGAAAAAUAAAAAAUAAAAAUAAAAAAAGGAGCAAAAGGAAACAACCCCCAUCUUUCUUGUUCCUUUUCCCUUCUUUACAUGGCGUCCUCGAUGAAAAUAGCAAACACCCCAUUUGAAUAUAUAAUUAAAGAAAGAAAGAAAGAGAGGAAAAUUCCUUCCUCAAUACUUACCAGUACUACACGCUUGAGAAAUUCCUUUCUUGUUACCUUUUACCUUUUAUAAUUAUGAUUAUUGCAUUGCUAAUAAUUUCCUUGCAUUUCUUUAAUAUAUAAUUAAAGAAAGAAAGAUGUUGAACACUUUUUUAGUGAAUUCAAAAUAACAAAAUAAGGUUGUUGAGGCUUUUCUUGGAACCUCGCUCAGGGAUUAAUUAACAAGAAUAAAAAAAUCCCCUGCAAAUUAAACAAAAUUUAUUAUUAAUCAUUGAUAUUUAUUAUUGAUCAUCAAUAUUGAAUAAUGGCUUAUUUUCUAGCAUAAAUAAAAUUGUUAAAAAACAUGAUUACACAAUUAAUGAUGAGAUCGGUUAUAAAAAUGACUAAAUUGAGGUUUUUCAAUUACCUUUAAACGUAUCAUGGUUUUAAUAGGUGGACAGUACAUCCUAUUAUGUAAAUUAUAAAAAAUUAUAUUUAUUUUUCUGAUAUAUAUAGCAAUAACAAAUUAAAUAAUAGCAACAAGUAAAUAGGAAUUAGUUUGAAUAAAUGAUACCAGUUCCUAUUAUUAUAUAUCUGGAGAAGAAGUUCGAACAAUAGAAUGAAGUCAAAUAUCUUUACAUAAUGCAAGGUUUUAAUAUAUAAUUAAAAAGUUUUCCAUGAACCAAAUAAUAAAAAUAUUGUAUAACUUUUUUGAAUGAAUUAUUAACGUAGAGGCUUAUUUGAUUUGAAUAUAUUAUUUGAUUAGUCUAUUUAUAGGUUGACUCUACUAUUCCUGCCUUGCAUUGCCAGGAAAUUUCACUAGAAAUUUCUAGUAAACGAAAUUUGCUGGUGAUAAACCUGGAAUAUGAUUUUCAACUUUCGUAGGCGAGCACUAAAGUCCCAAACUUCAAGAAUUUCUUUUCUUUUCCUUUUGUAUCUUCUCAUUUUCUUGGCAUGCGCGCAGCUGCCUCGAGGAAAAAACGUUUCAGAUGCGGAAAAUAAAGAUGAAAGUGGAAAAUAGAAGCGGGGAAAAAAAUCCCAAAUAUCGACAAACAUCACAAGAGAAGCUUGAUAUCUCUUCGUCCCUUGGUAUCGUGUGAAUGUGGAUAUUAUUUCAGAAUAUCAAUUCAACCGUACUCCAAAGAACACUCAUACUCCAAUAUCAGCAACCACCACGAAAGUUACCACUCUAAAUUCCAGCUCAAUAAUUUAUUCUUUGACAAUUUUACUUCUAAAAAAAAUGAAUUUUUUUUUAUAAUUAUACGCCAUCAGCAACUACCAUUACGACUCCAAAUUCCAGCUCAAUAUCGAUCAACACGUGGCUAAAGAAUUUGUUUCCUUUUUUUUCCUGCACGUGUUACCUUUUUAUCUUUUAUAAUUAUAAGUAUUGCGUUGCUAAUAAUUUGCAAGAAAUAAUAUUCUUUCUCUAAAAAGGGCUUGAGAAAACCCUAAGCAUAGUAUAUAGUCUCUUAUAGGAAUCUCUUUAUUAAAUCAUCAAAAUAUCAAAGUCUGUUUCCAAAGACUAUGACUACAGUUUAUAUAUAGAAACAACCAAAUAUAAAAAUUAUUUUUUAAAAAUAGAAAAAACAGAAGAGCUUGAUAAUAUUUAAUUAAAAAAUAAAAUAGAAAAAUUAUUCCUUUUUAAGUAGGAAAAAAAAAUAUAAAGAUUUAAUAAUACUGAAUAAGAAAAAUUAAAAUAUUCUUUCUCUGAAAAGGGCUUAAGAAAACCCUAAGCAUUGUAGAUAAUCUCUUAUAUGAAUCUCAUCAAAAUAUCAUAGUAUAUUUCCAAAUACUAUUACGUACUACAUUUAUAUAUAUAUAUAUAUAUAUAUAUAUAGAGAGAGAGAGAAAGAGAGAGAGAGAUAGAGAGAGAAACAACUAAGUAGGUAAAGCUUAUGUUUCUUUGUUCUUGUUCCUUUAUAUAUAUACAUUCUCAAUUUCAUAAAAAAAAUUAAUUAGUCCUUGAAAUCUUAAAAAAUAGUAUUUAAUCCUUAUGUUAUUAUAUUCAUCUCUAAUUUAAUUUUUUUCAUCCAUUCAUCUUUUUAUUUAUUUAAUAGCUUAAGUUUUUAGUUAAAAGAUAAAUAGUUUUACUAUUAAAAGCAUUUUUUCGAAAUAAAAAUAAUAUUAAAUUAGGCAUCCUCAACAUUGUUCAAAUUAUUAAUUAAUUAUAAUUAACUUGAGGUUUAGAAGAAACAAAAGGGAAGGACAAAAUUAUCUUCCCCACAACCAUAGACCUAACCCCUUUCCAGACCAGUCCCCUGGUAAAUGGAAUAAUGGUCCCAUAAACAGCUUUUUUUCUUUCCAGCCCGCCAAGCAGACUAAGGCCUGUUUGUUUCUGUGUUUUAAAAGUGUUUUUGAUAAAAUUUAAAAUUUUUUUGUUUUUUUUAUUAACUUCAAAUUAAUAUGUUUUUAGUGUUUUUAAAUCAUUUUGAUGUGCUGAUGUCAAAAAUAAUUUUUAAAAAAUAAAAAAACAUCAUUAGCAUGUAUUUUGACACGAAAAACUAUUUGAAAAGCAACCGCAACCACACUACCAAACACACUCUAAGCAGUUCGGUCUUCCUCGCUGGACCACCUUAGCAUGAGAAUCACACUAGUUGGAAGUAUCUUUAAACCUCAUAAAAAUGAAUAACUGAUAAUAAUAUAAUUGGGAUUUAAAAAAAAUUCAUAAAAAAAUUUCUUAAAAAAAUCCAAAAAAUUAAACCGGACAAAAAUAAACAACCAAUAAUAAUAUAGUUAAAAUGAUAAAAAAGUGUUUAAAAAGCAAUUUGAAACCAAUUAAUCUUAAAAAAAAAAAACCAAAAAGAAACAUGCGAUGAAAACCAAUUCAUGAAAAAGUAAUUGGAUAUUAAUUUAGACUAAAAGGAUGAAAUAAUAAAAACAAAAGGAGAGUUUGAGGGUAUUCAUUGUUCAAAGGAACGCAAAAAUGCAUUCCAAGUAUGAAGUGUUUUAUUGUUAUAAAGUUUUUCAAACUUACAAUAUGGAGAGAGAAAUAAAUAAAAAGAAAAAAUAGCAAAAGGAAACAGCCCCCAUCUUUCUUGUUCCCUUUCCCACGGCCUACUCAAUGAAAAAGCAAACACCCCAUUGGAUUUCCCACGGCCGCCCACGAAAUCCCUUUAUCCUCUGCUGUUAAUUUUUUAAUGACGCAUAUCAGGUGUUUGAUAAAAUUCCUUAGCUGGGAAAGGAAAAAAAACCAUGUUAAGAAUGCUUUAGUCCUUUUCGAGUGGAAAGUGGUGUGAAAGUGAGAAGUACUGUGAGAGCUUUAUACCACUUUCUAUCUUAGACGUAAUGGCUUUGGCAAAAAGAAACCAAUAAAAGUUAGUGUUCGCACUGCUUUAGUCCAAGAGUCUUUCAUGGUUGCAUUGAUUGACUGGAAAAAAUCUCAAAGUUUUUAGAAAGAAACAGCCUUCAUUGCUUUUCGAAACCAAUCUCAGUAAUGUUAACGCGUGGACCCAGUUAUUGUGGAAACUUUGCAAAGGACCUCGAGGAAGAAAAAUGAUUGCAUUGCUAAUAAUUUGCAAGAGAGAAUUCUUUCACUGAAUAGAAAAAAGUAUUAUUUUUAAAAUAACAACAAGUAAAUUUAAAAAUUAGUAUUUUUUAAAUAAAAAACUAAAAAUUCCUGAUAAUAUUGAAUAAAAAAUAAAAUAUAAAAAUUAUUCUUUUUAAGUAUAAAAAAAUAUAAAAGUUUAAUAAUACGGAAUAGAAAUAAAUAAAAAUUCUAAACUAAAUAAAAAUAUUUUCUAUCCCAAAAAUUCUUAUAUCAAAAUCUCAUUUAUCAUAUUUUAUAUCUAUAAAAAACUAAUUUGUCAUGUGGAAUAAGUCUAUAUGCUAAAAUCAGAAAAAAAAUGUUACAAAAACAAAUUCCACAAAAGGCUGUGAUUAAAAAGAUGAUAGAUAUUUUUUAGUAAAUUAAUUUCAAUUCAAAAUAACAAAAUAAGGUUUAUUGAGGCUUACCGUUAAACCUUGCUUUGGGAUGAAUUGAUCACGAGAAUAAGAAAUCAUGUGCAAAUUAUACAAGAUUUAUUAUUAAUCAUCAAGAUUUAUUAUUUAUUAUCAAUAUUGAAUAAUGAUUUAUUUUAUAAUAUAAAUUAUGUUUAAAAUAAAAUUGAUAAAAUUAAAAUACAUGAAACGAGGUUGUAUAUUUUGAAACUAAAUUAAAAUCAUUUUCUUUUUCUAUUAUAUCCUUCAAAAUUAUUUAUUUUAUAAAAAACAAAACUUGUUAGUUUGCAAGUACACAUGUCAUGAGUCUCCACUGCAUCACUUUUGCAAAAUCAUAUGGCCCACUGUAUAUUUUGAAACUUGUUGAAGCAAAAUCUGUUUUAUUGAUCAUCAUCAAUAUUGAAGAAUGAUUUAUUUUCUAGUAUAAACUAUGUUUGAAAUAAAAUUGAUAAAAGACAUGACAUAUACAAUUAAUGAUGGGAUGGUAUCUAAAAAUGAUUAAAUUGGCAUUUUUCAAUUACCUUUAAACAUGCAUAUCAUGAUUUUAAUUGGUGGACAAUACUGUUAAAUAAUAUAUUUAUUUUGUUUUAUUUAUUAAGAUUAAAAUAAUAUUUUUAGCUUAAUCUAUAUAUAAACUCUUUAUAUUUAGAUUAAGCAAAAAUAAUAAUAUAUAUCAGAAUUCUAGUCUCAUUCCUUUUCGUAUUUAUUUUUAUGUUAAUUAAAUUGUUUUAACAAUACAUCAUGUAAAUUAUAUAAAAAUAUAUUUAUUUUUCUGAUAUAUAAAUACCUCUCUGUCCCAUUGCUGCCAUUUCAUAGCUAACUCUUUGUUAUAUUUAACUUCCUCUUCUUUGCUUCUUGCUCAUAACGAUAACUUGAAAGCCUUACGUUCAGAUAGAUAAUCAUUGACUAGCUCAUCCUAUAUCAUUCUAUUCAAUUUAUAUAUGCAGAAAGAAAAACGCAAGCAAUCCAAAGAUGAAGAAAACGCUUCAUCCUCGCGAAAGAGAAGAAAAGCUGACCUCAGUAAGCCUAUAUAAAGAAUACAAUUAACCUCAUUUCAACAUCAUAGUUAACCUCAUUUCAAUAUCAUAGCUUUGGAAUUUCAUAGCUAACUCUUUGUUAUAUUGCUCCAUUGGUAAUUGAUUGUGCCUUGAUUUCUGCAGCUGCCAUGACAGAGCCAGAGUCUUCUCGAUCUAUACCAGAAGGGGCCUAUGAUGUCUUCUUGAGUUUUAGAGGAGAAGAUACUCGCAAGACGUUUACUGAUCAUCUAUAUGCUGCCUUAGAUCAAGCAGGAAUCCACACUUUUCGAGAUGAUGAUGAACUUCCUAGAGGAGAAGAAAUCUCCGAGCAUCUUCUCAAGGCAAUUCGAGAAUCAAAGAUAUCCAUAGUUGUCUUCUCAAAAGGAUAUGCUUCUUCUAGAUGGUGUCUCAAUGAACUUGUAGAGAUUCUUAAGUGCAAAAGGAAGAAAACCGGUCAGAUUGUUCUUCCUAUAUUCUAUGACAUUGAUCCUUCAGAUGUGAGAAAACAGACUGGCAGUUUUGCAGAGGCAUUUGAUAAGCAUGAAGAGCGUUUUGAAGAGAAGUUGGUGAAGGAGUGGAGAAAAGCUCUUGAGGAUGCCGGAAACCUAUCUGGAUGGAGUCUCAAUGAUAUGGCAAAUGGGUAUGCCUUUUUUCCAAAUUUAUGGAGUCAAUAUACUUUACAUUUUUUAAUGUGAAACAAUAAAAUACUUAAUUGACUCGCUAUCAAUGACUUGCUUUUGUCUAUGAGCAGGCAUGAAGCAAAAUUUAUCAAAGAGAUUAUCAAGGAUGUGUUGAAUAAAUUAGAUUCCAAGUACUUCUAUGUUCCUGAGCACCUAGUAGGUAUGGAUCGGCUUUCUCGCAAUAUUUUUGACUUUGUAAGUACUGCAACAGAUGAUGUACGCAUNNNNNNNNNNNNNNNNNNNNNNNNNNNNNNNNNNNNNNNNNNNNNNNNNNNNNNNNNNNNNNNNNNNNNNNNNNNNNNNNNNNNNNNNNNNNNNNNNNNNNNNNNNNNNNNNNNNNNNNNNNNNNNNNNNNNNNNNNNNNNNNNNNNNNNNNNNNNNNNNNNNNNNNNNNNNNNNNNNNNNNNNNNNNNNNNNNNNNNNGAUGAUAGAGGAAAAGUUCUGAUCAAAGAACGACUUCGUCGCAAAAGAGUUCUUGUUGUUGCUGAUGAUGUGGCUUAUCUGGACCAGCUAAAUGCUUUGAUGGGAGAGCGAAGUUGGUUUGGUCCCGGAAGUAGAGUAAUUAUUACAACAAGAGAUUCAAAUCUUCUUCGUGAAGCAGAUCAAACAUAUCGGAUCAAAGAGCGACUUUGUCGCAAAAGAAUCUUGUUGUUGCUGAUGAUGUGGCUCAUCAGGAGCAGCUAAAUGCAUUGAUGGGAGAUCGAAGAUGGUUUGGUCCCGGAAGUAGAGUAAUUAUUACAACAAGAGACUCAGAUCUUCUUCGUGACGCAGAUAAAACAUGUCAGAUCGAAGAAUUGAAACUAGAUGAGUCCCUUCAGCUUUUCAGCAGGCAUGCCUUUAAGGACACCAAGCCAGCAGAAGAUUACAUUGAGCUUUCGAAGAAAGCCGUUGGUUACUGUGGAGGACUUCCUUUAGCUCUCAAGGUUAUAGGAGCUCUUCUGUACGGGAAAGAAAAAGAUAGAUGGGAAAGUGAAAUUGACGACUUGAGCAGAAUUCCAAACCAAGAUAUUCAAAGAAAGCUUCUAAUAAGUUAUGACGCACUUGAUGGUGAACUACAAAGAGCAUUCCUUGAUAUUGCAUGCUUCUUUGUUGGUAUAGAGAAAGAAUACGUCGCACAAGUGCUAGGAGCCCGUUGCCGUCGCAAUCCAGAAGUUGUUUUGGAAACUCUCCGUGAAAGGUCUCUGAUUCAAUUUCAUGAGUGUAUAAUUGAAGAUGAAAGGCAGUUAUCUGGAAGGACGGUAGCCAUGCAUGAUCUAUUACGAGACAUGGGAAGGGAGGUCGUUUGUAAAGAGUCUCCCUUGCAUCCUGAAGCAAGGACCAGAAUUUGGAAUAAAGACGAUGCAUGGAAUGUACUUGAGCAGCACAAGGUAAGUAAGAGCUCAAUGCAUACACGAAAGCAUAGUCAUGCGUAUUUUCUAGUCAAGCUUAUUACAAAUAAUUGAAUGAAAGUUGUAUUGAUUUUUUUUUUAGGGUACGGAUAAAGUUGAGGGUCUUGCACUGGAUGUCAGAGCAUCAGAAACUAAAUCACUUAGCGCAGGAUCAUUUGCAGAAAUGAAAUGUUUAAAUUUACUCAAAAUCAACGGAGCACAUCUCACCGGAUCCUUCAAAUUGCUUUCUAAAGAGUUGAUGUGGAUUUGUUGGCAUGAAUUUCCUUUGAAAUAUUUUCCAUCUUAUUUUACUUUGGACAAUCUAGCUGUUCUUGAUAUGCCGUACAGUAACCUCAAAGAACUAUGGAAGGGAAAAAAGGUGCGAAACAUGCUACAAUCCCUAAAAUUUCUCCAGUAUGUAAUUUAUAUUUACAUGUUAUGACUUUCUAUGAUUAAUUUUCAUUAUUUUUCUCUCUAUUAUAACAGAUUCUCGACAAGCUUAAAAUUCUUAAUCUCAGUCAUUCUCAGCACCUUAUUAAAACACCAGACUUGCACAGUUCAAGUCUAGAGAAACUAAUUCUGGAAGGUUGCUCGAGUUUAGUUGAGGUGCAUCAAUCAAUUGAAAAUUUGACGAGCCUUGUUUUCUUAAAUCUGAAGGGAUGUUGGAGUCUGAAGACUCUCCCUGAAAGCAUUGACAAUGUAAAAUCUCUUGAAACUCUGAAUAUUUCUGGGUGUUCACAAGUUGAGAAAUUGCCGGAACGCAUGGGUGAUAUGGAAUUCUUAACCGAGCUGCUAGCUGAUGGGAUUGAAAAUGAGCAAUUUCUCUCUUCAAUUGGACAAUUAAAGCAUUGCAGAAGGUUAUCAUUGUGUGGAGACAGUUCGACGCCACCAAGUUCUUCUUUGAUUUCAACAGGUGUUUUGAAUUGGAAACGUUGGCUGCCAGCAUCUUUCAUUGAAUGGAUAUCAGUGAAACAUCUUGAGCUUUCUAAUAGUGGUUUGUCUGAUCGCGCAACUAACUGUGUUGAUUUCAGUGGUUUGUCCGCUCUAGAAAAAUUGACUCUAGAUGGAAACAAAUUCUCUAGCCUGCCUUCUGGGAUCGGCUUCCUUUCCGAGCUAAGGGAGUUGUCUGUUAAGGGAUGCAAAUAUCUUGUAUCAAUCCCAGAUCUUCCCUCAAGUUUAAAGAGUGUGUUUGCAUGUGAUUGCAAAUCAUUGAAAAGAGUAAGAAUACCAAGCGAGCCAAAAAAAAGACUAUUUAUAAAGCUAGAUGAAAGUCAUUCGUUAGAAGAGUUUCAGGGCAUUGAAGAUCUAAGUAAUUGUUUCUGGUAUAUUCGUGUUGAUGACCGCAGGCAUUCAACAAGUAAAUUACUGGAGCGUUGUUGAGGUACUAUUUCUUUCCGUCUCUCUUUCGCACAAAAAGAAACACACACAAUUGACACAUACAUUGAUUAAUGUCUAAAAUCUCAGCAUUCCUUGAAAUCAAUAUGUAUAUAGGCAAUAAUCAUUAUUAUUAUUAUUAUAUUUAAAAAAACAAAUAUCAUCUUUAAUAAUAUUUUUUUAUUAAAUAUUUAAAGUCUGAUUGGUUUUAUUUUUUAUUUCUUGAUUUUAUGAUAAUAUAUUUAUACAGGCAAUGUGCAACGGUCGUCACGGGUAUUUUAUUCGCCACACUCCUGGUCAGAUGCCAAAUUGGAUGAGCUACAGGGGAGAAGGACGCUCAUUGUCAUUCCAUAUACCUCCAGUCUUCCAAGGCUUAGUUGUUUGGGUUGAUAAGGAUGAUAAGGAUGCUCACAUUAUUAUUAUUAUAAGAAAUAAUAGAAAUGGUAAUCUCUUGUUUCAAUGUACGAAAUGGUAUUAUCAUCCAAAAACUGGAAGUAUAAGAUACAUAAGAAGAAGUGAAAUGGCAAUGGAAGAUUACUGUGCAGAUGACGAAUUGGAACUAUACAUUUAUUCAAAGCCAUCACCGUUGGCAAUGGCAAUGGCAAUGAAGGAUGCUGUGAUGCCUUCAUUUGAACCGUCUACACCUAAGCAAUGUGGGGUCCAUGUGAUCGUAGGAAAGUCAGAUUCAUUUGAAGAGUUGGCAGUGGGAAGAGAUGCAGUGAUGCUUCCUCAUCCUCGUUGUGGUUCGAUUACAGCGUCUACACCUAAGCAAUGGAUUGACUUUUUAUUUGCGAAGCUGCAAAACCAUAACCUCAAUUUAAGGCUUUUUGGUAAGAAUACAUAUUUCCUUUAGUUAUUUCUAUUUUAAUAUUCUAUUUAAUUUAAGAGAUUAAAUAUCAUCUUUAAUUAUUACAUUUUUCUUAUUUAAUCUAAAAAAAUAAAUAUUAUCUUUAACAAUAUUUUUUAUUAAAUAUUUAGAGUCUGCUUGGUUUUAAUUAUUUCUUUUCUUGAUUUUAUGAUAAUAUUUUUCUUAUUUAAUAUAAAAAAUAAAUAUUAUCUUUAAUAAUUAGAUCUAUCGAAUAUCACUUAAAAAAUAAAUUAUAGCUUUAAUAAUUAUUUUUUGAAAAACAAAAGCCAACAAUCACUAACAUAUUUUAUUAAAAUCACUUUAGUUUAUUUAGAAAAUAUUGAAAAUUGAUUUUUGUUUUUUUACUUCAAAAUAAAAAAAAUUGAAUAAUGUUUUUAUAUUUUAUUUCGAACUCGAUAUUUUAAAACAAAAAUGAAAAAGAUGUGAUAUUAACCUUUUUUAUUAUAAAGUAAGUUUCUUAAUUAAAAGUGAUGGGAAUUUGUUUGUAAAAACAAUCUUGCACAUCUAACUUUCUUUUCAAAUUUGAAAAUUUUAUUAACUUUGAUGGUUUUAUAUGUAUGAAGGAUCUGGAUGGACGUAAUAGCACAAGAUCAUUUGACAUAGAGAUGCUUGAAGUUACUCCAAAUUAGUACGGUACUUUUAUCUAAUGUAUUGAUAUGUAUUUGUUGGCUUGAAGAUCAUUUUCCAAGCUUGGAAUUUUUAUUGAAUGCUCUUUGAAAUCUUUUCCAUUUGCUUUUAUAGUGGACAACCUAGUUGUUAAUUAUUAUCCAUGAUCUAAUUUAUAUUUUCAAGUUAAAAAUUUUGAUGAAUAUUAUUUCAUUUUUUUCCUCACUUCAAAAGAUGAAAAUCCUUGAUGUUAGUUAGUAAUAAAUUGGAGAGAAUAAUAAUAAUUUGUGUGUAUAAGCUGAUUGAAAUGAAGAUUAAAAUAAAGAAGUAAAAAAAAAGAGACUCGUAAAGAUUUUAUGUUAGUACUCAACAUGUCCUUUCUUGUUUUUUUUUUAAUUGGAUUACCUUUGUCUUUGGUUAAACUGCACUUCUUAAAAUAUUUUUGGAUUGUUCUGAUAUCAAAAAUAAUUUUUUUUAAAUAUUAUUUUAAUACAUUUUCAAUUAAAAAAUAUUUUGAAAAACAAUAUCUAACACACUCUCAAACAAGUUAAAACGUUAGUAAUAAAAUAACUUUUACAUAUUUUUCAAGUUUAGUAGAAUAGUAGUGGAAUAAUAUUUUUAAUAUUUAAAAAUUAAAAUUUUUUGUGUAACUGUUUUGUUAAAUUAUAAAGUUAAGGACUCUUUUGUAGUUUACCUUACACUAAAGUUAAUAAAUAAUAACACAAGAAAGGACCAAAGUUAACUACAAUACGAGGAAGUUUCAUACUAAAGUUAAAAUACCUCACACUUUUCAAUGAAACAUUACCUCUCCUGUACAUGAAUAUAAAUAAUUUCGUUGACCGACUCUUAUUUCAUUAAUUAUUGAUUAUUUGGAAGAAGAAAGCGUAUCCCUUCUCACUUUUAGAGCGUAUUUAGGGUAUUUAAGAGCGCAUUAUAAAUCCAGGGACAAUUUUGGGUUUUCUAAUCAGAACUUUGGACUAAAAUUAAUAGCAAAUUAAAUAAGGACCAAAUAUAACAGUGUGUAAAUCUAGAAACCAAAGAUAAUACAGCUGCAUUGACCGGAGAUUUCACUCGAAUUUUGACUAAAAAUUAAAAUUUUAUCAAAUUCUCUACUUUAUUAGUGUUCAUUUUCUUCUUUUUUUUUACCUAUCUUUUCCAACUGUUUAGAAAAUUUUUAUGGAUAAAAUUAGAGGAUAAGAAAGAGAUAUAGAAUCACUUUGUAAGAUUUCUAAAAACUUAAUUAUAUUAUAAUUUCUUCCUUAAAAUUAUUCAAAAUAUAGUAUUAGAAUUACAUAAUGCUAGGUUUUAAUAUAUAAUUAAAGAGUCUCUUCUAAAAGAAAUAAUGAAAAUAUUGUAUAACUCUUUUAGAAUGAAUUGUAAAUCCAGGGACAGUCUUCCUGGUGGUUUUUACUGUAUAUGAAUUGAAGAACUAUCAUUUGCUGAUUUACUUGUAAAGUAUUUGUAAGAAAGCUAAAAAUUAGAGUUUUAAAAUUUCUAAAAUAAAUAAUCUUCUCUAAAAUAAGUUUUUUUUAAUUAUACUUAUAAAAUUAAUUAAAUCUCAGGAUAAUAAGAUAUGUCCGGAUAUUUGGCGACUGANNNNNNNNNNNNNNNNNNNNNNNNNNNNNNNNNNNNNNNNNNNNNNNNNNNNNNNNNNNNNNNNNNNNNNNNNNNNNNNNNNNNNNNNNNNNNNNNNNNNGUAUGUUACAAAUUAAAUAUUAGUAUAUUUUUUUCAAGGUGAUAUCUCUUAUUAAAUCAGAGAUUCUCUCUAUUUUUUACAUGCAAUAUAAUCACGGAAUAAUUAAAUAAUUUGAAAAAUAAAUAAAUUUUUAUUGUGGAAUAAGUAAAUACUAAUAUCUAUAACUAGAAGUAACUAUAAUUAUAAUAUUAAAAAAAAGCAUAAUAAAAUGAAUUUAUUUAUAAAUUAGAUAAGAUUCAAACCAAGGGAAUUAAAGUGUAAAAUAAGGAAAACACCCUUGCCAGUCUAAAAUAAUUGAAGUAAUGAGUAAAUGCAUGAAGCAAGAUAAUUAGUUGAUAUUGUGACUAUUCAAGAUAAUUAUAAUCUAUAGGUAAUUGUAUACUAUAAAUUAAUAUCAACAAAAUAAUUGUAUUUAAUUGUUUGAAGUUAAACAAAAAAACAUACAUUCUCCCUUUCCCUUCUUUACAUGGCUUACUCAAUGAAAAAGCAAGCACUAACGCACCUUCUCCACAAACUACCAUAAAUAUAUAAAUAUAUUAUGAAAACAAGAUAAAAAGAAAUCUUUUGGUACAUAUAUAAAUAUAUUAUGGCUAUGAAAAUAGGUUUGUGGAAAUUUACAUCAUUUGAUCUUGACAGUGUCAGAUUAGACAAUUGAUUGCAUGGAAAUGGUCUUCUUAGUUUGCCGUGUGGAAAAUCAUCUCAUUUACGGGACUGCUGGAGAGAGUGUCUAUUGAUAAUUUUACCUUCUUUUCAAAUCUUUGACACUGCUUGGAUUGACCGGUAAUUUCACUCGAAAAUUUCUAGUAAUUUAUAAAGGAAAUUUCUACUGACUAUUAUUGACUGACUUCUUGCAAAGUAUUUGUAAGAAAGCUAAAGAAUUAAAGUUUUUUAAUUUUUAAAAUUGUAAGAAAAAAAUCAAUUAUUUUUAAAAUUGUUUUCAAAAAUAAAACAUCAACUAUUUAUAUAAUUGCUAAAUCUAUUAAGAUAAAUCCAAAAUAACUAGUAAAAUCAGUGACUUGCAUUGACGAGUGUAAUGAUCUUGACAGCAUCAGAUUAGACAAUUGCAUGGAAAUGGUCUUCUUAGUUUGCCGUGUGGAAAAUCAUGUGAUUUACGGGACUGCUGGAGAGAGUGUCUAUUGAUAAUUUUACCUUCUUUUCAAAUCUUUGACACUGCUUGGAUUGACCGGUAAUUUCGCUCGAAAAUUUCUAGUAAUUUAUAAAGGAAAUUUCUACUGACUAUUAUUGACUGACUUCUUGCAAAGUAUUUGUAAGAAAGCUAAAGAAUUAAAGUUUUUUAAUUUUUAAAAUUGUAAGAAAAAAAUCAAUUAUUUUUAAAAUUGUUUUCAAAAAUAAAACACCAACUAUUUAUAUAAUAGCUAAAUCUAUUAAGAUAAAUCCAAAAUAACUAGUAAAAUCAGUGACUUGCAUUGACGAGUGUAAUGAUCCGGAACCACUCGCAAUAAAUAAAGCCAAAAAAGGCAGACGAGUGUGUCUAUAUAUACAUAUAGGAACCGCUGAUUCGAUUUGAAUAUGUUAUUUGAUUAGUCUAAUUCAUGACUUGCAUUGACUCAAGAUUACCACUCAAGAUUUCGUGGUGCUUUCUCGGCCUGCAAAUGAAUAGAAAGCAUGUCCUUUUAACCUCAUUUCAAUAUCGUUGCUUUACUCUCCAGCUAGCCUGAUACAUAUGAGUCUCGAGACAUACGGCCAUUGAUAGAAAGGUGUGCUGAAGCAAAAUAUUUUUUUAUCUGUAGCGACCUCAAUAAUGUUAAAGCGUGGACCACCAUGAAAUUACCGCUCCAAAUUCCUUGUUCUUUCUAUAUUAUUAGAAAAAUUAUCAUUGACUAAUUUAAUUGGAAAUUAUUUGCGAGAAAGCUAAAAAGAAUUAAAGUUUUUUAAUUUAUAAAAUUAUAAUUUUAAAUUGUAAAAAAAUUCAAUUAUUUUAAAAAAUAAAACAUCAACUAUUUAUAUAAUAGCUAAAUAAAUCUAUUAAAAUAAAUUGAAAAUAACUAGUAAAAUCAAGCAAAUAAUCCAAAAAUAACAAGAAAAUAAAUAUAUUUCCUAGAUCUAAUUUGAUUAUAUUUUUUAUCUUGAUUGACUUACUUGCUAAGUCUUUGAACUUUAAUCUAAGAAUUUGUUUUAUAUUUCUUCAUUUAUUAAUGAAAUAUUACUUCUAUUGUAUAGUUUUUGGUUUCGAGUCGAUCCACCAGAUUAAUAGGUGAACAAUACAUUUUUUGAAUUUAUUAGAAGAAACGUGUAAUGUAAAUUAUAAAAUAAUAUUUAUUUUUCUGAUAUAUAUAAUAAUAAUAAAUUAGAUGACAGUUACAAGAAAAUAAAAAUUAAUUUGAAUAGAUGGUACGAGUUUCUAUUCUGAUAUAUCCAGGGAAGAAGUUCGAAGAAUAGAAUGAAGUUAAAUAUUCUUAAUAAAAAAAGAAAAAAAAAAGAAAAAAAAUAUAUUUUUAAUAAAUAUAAAAGAUGGAUAAAAUUAGAGAACAAGAAAGAGAUAUAUAAUCUCUUUGUAAGAACUUCUAAAAAUUUAAUUACAAUUGAGAAUUUCUUCCUUAAAAAAAUCCAAAAAAAUCCUAUUAUAUAUGAAUCAAGACAACAGUUGAAUAACUAUUACAUAUUUUUCAAGUUUACUUAGAAUAAUUAUUUUAAUAUUUAAAAAUUAAAAAAAUACUGUGUAGUUGUUUUGUAUAAAUUCUAAAGUUGAGAACUCUUUUGUGCUUGGUAAAAUGAAUAACUUUUACAUAUUCUUCAAUGUUUCACACUGCUUUAAUAGAUUGGUACAGUAAAUACCUCACACUACAGUUAAUAAAUAAUAACACAAGAAAGGACCAAAGUAUAUAAAUAAUAGCAUGUUUCACACUGCUUUAAUAGAUUGUUACAGUAAAAGCACAAAGAAGAACGGUUCAAGAUGUGGUAGAAUCACCUUCGAAGUGACUAAAUCUGCUUUAAUAUAUUUGAGAUUCACGCAAUGCCACUCUCAUCGGUAUUCUAAAAGCGAAGAGAAGAGUAGAAGCAAUGUGAUAGCUAUACAGGUGAGACUUAAUAAUUUACAGGUGAUAAUUGUUUUUUAAAAUAUUUUUUUUAUUUGAAAAUGUAUUAAUUUAAUGUAAAAUAAUAAAUAAAAUUUAAUUUUUUUUAAUUGUUUUUUAAAAUAUAAAAACAAAGAGGAUAUAAUCAACCUCUUGAUGUCACUAUUAAUUAUUGAUGUCGAUUGAUGCACAUGCUAACACCAGCGAAGAAUUAAGAGGCCAAUAUGCCAUUUGAUGCGAUAUUGCAAUUCAACAGCCAAGACACCACGGCUGAUAGAUGUAGACAGCGGUAAUGAACAGGAAAAGUUAAAAAAAUUAAAAUAUUUCAUGUCUUCACAGUCGUUUAGAAAAGAAACAAGAUCAAACCUUGGUUUCAUUUUGUCAGUUGACUCCAAGUCAAUGUCUAAAUCUCCUCUAAAUUCCAAACUGGGUCACCCAGCGAAUUAAGGUAUAGAUUUUAUUGGACGACAAUCAUAUUAAUAAAUAUGGGACGACAAAUCACAAACAUAAUCAAUUCAACCGUACUCCAAAGAACACUCAUACUCCAAUAUCAGCAACCACCACGAAGGUUGAAUUACACUACUUGUUAAAUUAAUAAAGUUACUAGUUGCUAUAAAGUAAGAGAUAAGAAAAUAUUGUGUUUUAAAAUAUUUUUGUUUUAAAAUAAUAUUUUUUUAUUUUUAAAAUUUAUUUUUAAUAUUAUUACAUCAAAACUAUAUAAAAAAAAUAUUUCAGAUUAUCAAUUCAACCGUUCUCCAAAGAACACUCAUACUCCAAUACCAGCAACCACUACGAAAGUUACCACUCUAAAUUCCAGCUCAAUAAUUUAUUCUUUGACAAUUAUUGCAUUGCUAAUAAUUUGCAAGGAAACAUACUUUUAACUAUAUUCAAUUCCAGAAUAUUUUUUUUUGAUAAAUAUUUGAGAAAUAUUGAUAAUCUUUUAUCAAGUUUUAUUUUUAUCAUUUUUAUUUGGAAUUAAUUCUAUUAUGUAUUUAAAUGUGUUUAGUUACCUUGUAAACUGUAUGUUAGAGUCCCUCAAAUAUUCUGGCCACAUCAACCACUAUAUUUUAUGCCAAGCAGUAUUUUGUCCUUGAACCCUUUGGCCCUCUAAAUUACCCAAAAAGGACAAUAAUUGAGCACAAGUGGUACAGGUCAGGGUUAAACUCAGCUUGCUAGAGCCAGUUCUCAAUUUUAGGCGCCAGUUCUCAAUUUUAGGCACCAGUUCUCAAUCGAAUUUUAGCAAAAUCUGGGCUAGGAUUUGAAACAAAUGUAGCUAUUUUUUCUCCUUUUAUUAUUAAAAAAUAAUAUUCAUGGAUUAAUUUUCGUAUAAUUUAAGAAAGUAAGUCCUUUAAUCAAAUUUUAGAGUGUUGCAAUUACUACGAAAGGAACGCAAAAAGACAUAAAGUUUUUCGAAGAGAGAAAUAAAAAGGAAAAGGAAAAGGAAACAACCCCCACUCCAUCUUUCCCUUCUUUCCAUGAAAAUCAAUUUUAGGAUUUUGAUUUUCAAUCAGUAUGAGUGAGAAAGAAAGAGAGGACAAGCCGACACUUCAAAGGUCCUCUUUCUCUUUCCUUGCUUUUUUUAACGCGUGGAGCCAGCAGUUGUUGCCACCAAAUUCCUUGCUCAGUAUUUGAAAAUUUUCCUAAUUUUUUUUCCUCUACGUGCUGUUACCUUUUACCUCUUUUAUAAUUAUUAUGAUUAUUGCAUUGCUAAUAAUUUGCAAUAAAGAUGAUGAACAUUUUUUAGUCAAUUCAAAAUAACAAGAUAAGGUUUGUUCAGGCUUUUCUUGGAACCUCGCUCAGGGAUUAGUUAGCGAGAAUAAGAAAAUGCUGUCCAAAUUAUACAAAAUUUAUUAUUAAUCAUCAAUAUUUAUUCUUGAUCAUCAAUAUUGAAUAAAGGCUUAUUUUCUAGUAUAAACUUUGAUGAGAUUGUUUAUAAAAAUAACCAAAUUGAGGUUUUUCAAUUACCUUUAAAUAUAUCAUAGUUUUAAUAGGCACACAGUAUAUUUUUUAAUUUAUUAGAAAAAACAUGUAAUGUAAAUUAUAAAAAAUAUUUAUUUUUCUGAUAUACAUAGUAAUAAUAAAUUAGAUGAUAGUAACUAGAAAAUAGAAAUUAGUUUAAAUAAGUGGUACCAAUUUCUAUUCUAUAUAUCUACGGAAGAAGUUCAAAGAAUAGAAUGAAAUCAAAUAUUCUUAAUAAAAGAGGAAAAAAAACACAAAAAGAAAUAAAAUAUGUUUUUAAUAAAUAUAAAAUAUGGAUAAAAUUAUAGAACAAGAAAGAGAAGUUAGAUACCUCAAAUUUUAGUAAGGAUCCAAUUGGAUUGUUUAAAAGAGGAGAAACUGUCAUUGACUGAUUUAAUUGGAAAGUAUUUACAAGAAAGCUAAAAGAAUUAAAGUUUUUUAAUUUUAAAAUUAUAAUUUAAAAUGGCAAGAAAAAAAUCAAUUAUUUUUAAAAUUGUUUUAAAAAAUAAAACAUCAACAAUUUUAUAAUAGCUAAAUAAAUCUAUUAAAAUAAAUUGAGAAUAACUAGUAAAAUCAAGCAAAUAAUUCAAAACCAACAAGAAAAUAAAUAUAUUUUCUAAAUCGGGUUUGAGUAUGUUUUCUAUCUUGAUUGACUGGCUAACUUGAUAAGUCUUUAUUAAGUGUAAAUCAACUUUAUUCUAAAAGUCUGUUUGAUAUUUUUUUAUUUAUUAAUGAAAUAUUAUUUUUACUAUACAGUUAUUAGAUCCCAGGCUAAUCUACUGGGUCGGUUUAAAUUUAAUAACUAUGGUUCAUAGUCAUAUAGCUAGUAGUUGCACUAAAGCUAAUAAUUUAAAAAAAAUUAAAUAUCAAUAAUUUUUGUUGGCAUCAAAUAAUUAAAAAUGAGAAUUUCAGAGCAGAGGGUUUAAGAAAUAUUAAAAUAGAAGGUUUUGUGUAAUUAUUAGAUAAUUGAAAUCAUCACUAAUCUCCUUUGUUCAUUUUCCUUUUUUAUUACCCUUACCAUGCACAAAACUUCAUGUCACUUAAUGAUACACUUGCUUUCAACGUUUAAACUGUUAAAGAAUAAUAUAAAUUAUAUUAUGAGAUCUUACCUAACAGCUUAAGUUAUUGGGUUGAGAUGGUUCUUUGAUAUGGUAUCAGAGCCUUGAUGAUCAAGCGGUCACGAGUUCGAAUCUCACCAUCUCUAUUUAUUUGAUAAAAAUUAAGCACAAAGUAAUGUGGAUUUGUGCAAGUUUUAAGCCCAAAUGGCUUUCACUUGAGGGAGUGUGUUAAAGAAUAAUAUAAAUCAUAUCCUGGGACCUUACCUAACAGCUUAAGUUAUUGGGUUGGGAUGGUUCUUUGAUAUAAUAGCAACCAUCAUGAAAUUACAACACUAAAUUUAUUCUUUAGCAAUUAUAUAAUGCUCGCUCUUUCACAGUUAUUGCAUUUCUAAUAAUUUGCAAGAAAAUUAACAUUCUUUGUCUCUCAAUCUGCACCUACCAUGAAAUUAACAUCCUUUCUCGACAUUUCCUAGCAAUUUAUGGAGGAAAUUUCCUUGUGCCCUCUCUUAUACAUUAUUACAAAAACUGUCAUUGAUUGAUUGACUUGCAAAAGUAUUUGCAAGAAACCUAAUGAAUUAGAGUUUUUAAAAUUUUUAAAUUAUUAAAAACAUCCAAUUGUUUUUUUUUUAAAUCAAGAAUAAAACAUCAACUAUUUAUAUAAUUACUAAAUAAAUCUAAUAAAAUAAAUUGGAAAUAACUAGUAAAUAAUUCAAAAAUAACUAGAAAAUAAAUAUAUUUUCUAUGAUUUGAGUAUGUUUUUGAUUCACUAAUUUGCUAAGUAUUUGCUAAGCAUAACCGAAAGAAAUUAUUUGCUAAUCACUCACUAAUUCAUCCAUGAUAUGUUCAAAAAAAUGGGUUAAAAAUUGGGUAACAACACCAUAUCUAUUUUAUUGAAAACCCGGGCCUGUAAUUGACCGGAAGAAAACCGAUCAACCCACUAAGUAGAUCUGGAACCUUGAUGACCCAACAAAACCUGGUAGAAAUUCAUUUUUUUUUCAAAUGUAUUUUUUCUUCUAGCUAGAGACCUCUAUUUUUUAUAUAUUUUUCAGUUGGUUACUAACCCAUUUCAAAGUUUACUAUAUAAAUAUUAGAAGAAUGUUUUAUUUUUUUAAUGUGGGAUUUGAAACCUUUUAGUAUAUAUACUCUUUGUUUACUAAAAAAAAAAUUAUGUUUUUUUAAUAUGAAAUAAAAAACCUUUUUGAUUUAAAUACUUCAACUCAAAAAAAUAAGAUAGUAUCUUUUUAAUGUGGAAUAAAAAAAACCAUUUGAAAUAAUCUUUUAAACUUCAUUAUUUAUAACAUGUAUAACUUAUAUCUUUCUUAAUUUUUUCAUAUGAAAUAUUAAAACCUUUAAUAUUUUUUUUUUCUUGGUUGACUUGGAUCAAUCCUUGUAACUCGAGACUCAGCUCCUUGAUUGAGUCGAUCUCGAGUCGGGUUUGAUAAUUAUGAAAAUAUUUAAUGAAAAAAUAUAUUUUUUUUGUAUAAAAAUGAAGGGUAAAAUAUUAAAUUAUGACAUAUAUCAUUAAUUAUUGACAUACUCUUGUAACAAGCAUGAAACUUUAUGUUAUUUCAUGAUACCCAUGUUUUUAACGCUUUACACCGCUUUAAUAAAUUGUUACAGUAAUAGCACAGAGAGAAGAACGGAUCAAGAGAAAAUAAUAAUGUAACCAUCUAGAAAGUGAUGCAAUGAUAAGAAUUUGGAACUAAAGAGUUUGUUUUUUUUUUUUUUUUCAGGUUCGAGUUUUGUGGUUGCUAAUAUAAUAGUUACUGGAGAUUUACAUGAUCGUUAACUUUAGGACUCGUAAGAUUAGUUUCGAGUUUUGUGGUUGCUAAUAUAAUAGUUACUGGAGAUUUACAUGAUCGUUAACUUUAGGACUCGUAAGAUUAGUCAAGAUGCAUGCAAACUGGACUGGAUACCUACAGGAAUCUAAAAAAAAAUAAUAAUGGAGAUGAAGCAAAAUCUCUGUUUGAUUUUUUCUUUUUUGUGUUUUUGGUACAUUGGUCAACAAUAGCUUGGAAGACUUUGGUAGCAGUAAGUAACCUGUUCUUCCUCAAUAAUGUUAACGCGUGGACCCUGUUGUUGUGGAAACUUUGCAGAGGAUCUUAAUAAAAACAAGUAAAUAGAAAAAUAUUAAUUUUUAAAUAUAAAAACUAGAAAACCUGAUAAUAUUGAAUAAAAAAUAAAAUAAAAAUUUAUUCUUUUCAAGUAGAAAAAAAAUAUAAAAGUUUAACAAUAUUGAAUAGAAAUAAAUAAAAUUUUUAAACUAAAUAAAAAUGAUAGAAAAAAAUAUUUAUUAUCUUAAAAAUUCUUAUAUUAAAAUCUUAAUUUAUCACAUGAACUGAGUCUAUAUGCUAAAAUCAGAAGAAAAAAAAAAACAAAUGUAACAAAAAAAAUUCUACACAACACAAUUAAUUAUAGGAUCGUAUAUUUCGAGACUAAAUUGAGGUUUUUGAAUUAUCUUUAAACAGAACAUGAUUUUAAUAGGUGCACUGUAUAUCCUUUGAAUUUAUUAGAAGUAACGUGUAAUGUAAAGUAUGAACCGCGUACCAUUAACUAGCCUUUUCAAUUGGAUUUUUUAUUUAAAUGAAAAGGAAAUUUUGUUUUAUUAUGAAAAUAAUAUUUAUUUUUUGAUAUAUCUAAUAAUAAUAAAAUAGAAAGUAGAUUGAAUAAAUGAUAUCAGUUCCUAUUAUGAUAUAUCUAGUAAAAGAAUAGAAUGAAUUAAAAUAUUCUUAAUAAAUAUAAAAGAUGGGGAAAUUACAUCACACGAAACUACCAAUAAGCAAAUUUUAAUCUGUAAUUAUGUAGGUCUUAAUUACAAGGGUUUUAAUUUAGGAAGUAUAUUAAAAAAUAAUAUAAAUUAUAUUCUAGAAUUUAUUUUAAUAGUUUAAAUUUUGAGAUGAAUUAAUAAGUCUUUACAAAUAAAAGAUAUAGUUUUACAAUAAAAUGCAUUUUUAGAAAUGAAAUUAUAUUAAAUUAAGCGUGCUCGAGAUUGUUCAAAUUAUUAAUUAAUUAUAAUUAACUUUAUGUCUUUAGAGGAAACAAAAGGGAAGGACAAAAUUAUUUUCCCCUCAACGAUAGACCUAGCCCACUUUCCAAACAAAAGGUAAAUAGAAUGAUGGUCUCAUAAAUUGCUUUUUUUCUUUCUAGCUCGUCAAGCAGUUUGGUCUCCCUCACUGGAAAAUCUCCUUUUUCCCUGCCUCUGUGCACGUAGGGGAAGAAGGAGAAUAGUAUCGUUCAAAAUAUCACUGUUUUGAAAUUUUUUUUGAAAAAAAUAAAAUGAAUUUAGGAAUAAUUUAAAAAUAGAUUAUGAUAUUUUCCAUCACUUUUUCUUAUCAUCAACUUCAAUAUGUUGCUUCUUUUUUAAAGGUUUAACACUAGAAAGCCUUUUUUUUGUUUCAUUCUUCAAAUCUUAAUAACAAACGUAUGUAAUAGACAAUUGAUAGUGAAAUGAAAAGGUUAAGGAAGAUGAAAUUGUAAGAAAAGAAAAUAAAUUUAAAAUAUUAUUAUGAAAAAAACAAAAAACAAUAAAAAAUAUGGACCAAAACUUAAAGAUAAAAAAAUUAAAGGUAAAAUUGAAAAAUAAUUCUAGUUUUAUAAAUUAUUAAAAAAAGAUUUCAAAUAUUUAAUGAUGAAAUCGAAAAAUAUUAACUUUAAAAAUUAGCCAGAAAAAUUCAAUAAAUAAUAAAAAAACAAACUCAAGAAAAUCUAAAUCAUUUAUAAAAUUAGUAAAAACUUCCACACUAAGUAAACAAAUAAAAACAAAACAAAUAGAAACAAGGAAGUAAAGUCUGUAAUUAAAUAUAUACGCGGAGACAAAAACAUGGGCAUGUGACAGGAGACAAAAGGGCAAAGGAAGGUCUCUAUCCAACUUCCUUUUCCUUUUUCUUAGAAAAAAAGUGACAAAAUCUGAUAGAACACAGAUUCCAUCUCUUUUUCAUUGGUUUUUUUGUUUUUUUAAUGUUUAUGCAUGUGGCUCAACCUUUCUCAGUAAUUGCAACAUGUUUCUUUGUUGAAUAAACUGCAAUACUGGUCUCCCUCACUGGACCCCUUUAUAAUGAGAAUCACACUAGGAAAUUUAAAAGUAAUUUGAAGUAUUAUUAAAGCCUAUAAAAAUAAAACUGAUAAUAAUAUAGUUGGGAUUUUAAAAAAAAAAUUGAUAAAAAACCAUAUAAAAAGAAAUUUGAAACAAAGUAAUCUUAAAAAACCAAAACAAACAUGCCAUGAAAACAAAUUUAAAAUAAACAAAAUACUUUAAAAAAAAAUAAUUCAACCAUUUCUUCAUAAAAAAAACAGUAAUUGGGUGUUACUUUAUGGUCAAAAAGUACAAUAAUGCAAAAAAAAAAAAAAAAAGAGUUUUAGGAUAUUGAUUUUAUUAUUUGUUAGGUAACUAUGUAAUCUAUACGUUGAUGUGGAAAAUAGGACUAAGUUUUUUUGUCAAAAGAGUAACUGUGUAAUCUAAUAUUCAUCUCUCAAAUCCCUAAUCCAAUUGAUCAUAUAAUUAAAUAAUUGUUUUAAUUAAUAACUAUAAGAAACAAACUCCCUUGUUAGUUCAUUACUUAAAUAAAAACUCAUGAUUGUCUAGCAAAGUAAAUAAAUUACUUAACCGGAUCACCAGAGGAGUUAUUUGCCAAAAUAAAAACUCAUGAUUGAGUUAUAUAACAGUUUAUAAAUCAUGCUAUCAUCUCCAUCACCAUAUAUAAAGCUAGACAAAAUAGGAUAAGACGGGAUUAAAUUUAAUUUUAGGAUAUAUUUGAGAAUAUGAUUGAAUCAUGCUUUUUAAAAUGUUUUUGAAUUAUUUUAAUAUGUUGAUGUCAAAAAUAAAUUUUAAAAAAUAUUAUUUUAAUAUAUUUAUAAUAAAAAAAUAUAUUUUAUAAAGCAAUUUUCACCAUAUUUUCAAAUAAAUUAAAAUUUUUCAAAUAAAUGGAUUGAUAUAUCGAUGACACUCUCUAGUCAGUUUUGAGAAUUUUGAAUCCAAACAAGUGAAUUUAUAUGCAUGCUUGUACAACUUGAUUUUCUCUUUAAUUUAAUCAACAAUAAUUUCUCAUACUCAAUAGAAAUUUGGGUUUAUCAUUAGGGUAAGACAACCUGUAUUUUAAAAUACUAUUGCCAAAAGAUCAUAUUAUUUAUUACCACAAGAAAGGACCAAAGUUAAUAAAUAAUAGCAUGCACGAAACUUCGUGAUACCCAUGUUUUCCACGUUUAAUAGAGUGUUACAGUAAAAGCACAGAGAGAAGAACGGUUCAAGACAGAACAAUAAUGUUAACGCGUGGACCCCAUUUGCUGUUUUUUCCUCUACGUGUUACCUUUUACCUCUUUUACCUCUUUUAUAAUUAUGAUUAUUGCAUUGCUAAUAAUUUCCAAGAAAGAUGAUGAACUUUUUUUAGUGAAUUCAAAAUAAACAAAAUAAGGUUUGUUGAGGCUUUUCUUGGAACCUCGCUCUGGGAUUAAUUAGCGAGAAUAAGAAAAUCCUGUGUAAAUUAUACAAAUUUCCUUGCUUUUUUUUUCCUGCAUGUGUUACAUUUUUAUCUUUUAUAAUUAUAAUUAUUGCAUUGCUAAUAAUUUGCAAGAAAGAAUAUUGUUUCUCUGAAAAGAAGUCUGAAUGUUUUUAGAAAGAAGCAGUCUUCAUUGCUUUUCAAAACCAAUCUCUGGAUCUAUUAACAAAAACUCUAAAUCGCGAGUAAUAGACACAAUUAAUUAUGCAUUGCUGUAAUAAAAUCACGUAUUUAUUUUCAAGUGGGAAAAAAUUAAGCCAUGAGGCCAGGGGUUCUUUGGUCUUUACCUAUUUUCGUUUUGGCCACCGAAUUUUAUUUUUUUUUCAAUAAAAGAGAAGGUUUUGUGUAAUUAUCAGAUAAUUGAAAUCAUCACUAACUCCUUUGUUCAUUUUCAUCUUUUUUUAUUACCCUUAGCAUGAUACACAGAAAAGAAGAACGGUCAAGAGAGAAGAAUAAUGGAGAUUACUGUGGAGAUGACGAAUCAAAAUCUUUGCUUGAUUUUCUGUUGUGUUUUUGGCACAUUGAUCAACAAUAGCUUGGAAGAGUUCGAUAGCAGAGGAAGAAAAAUAAUAGCAGUAACCUUUUCCACCUCAAUAAUGUUAACGCGUGGACCCAGUUGUCGUGGAAACUUUGCAGAGGAAGAAAAAUAAUAGCAGUGACCUUUUCUACCUAAUAAUUUGCAAGAGAGAAUUCUUUCUCUGAAUAUAUAGAAAAAAACUAUUAUUUUUUAAUAAAAACAACUAUAUAGAAAAAUUAUUACUUUUUAGGUAGAAAAACCUCAUGAUAUUGAAUAAAAAAAUGAAAUAGAAAAAUUAUUCUUUUCAAGUAGAAAAAAAUAUAAAAGUUUAGUAAUAUUGAAUAGAAAUAAAUAUUAAAAUUUCUAAACUAAAUAAAAAUAACAGAGAAAAAUAUAUAUUAUCCUAAAAGUUCUUAUAUUAAAAUAUUAAAAAGAACUGAGUUUACAUGCUUUAAACAGAAAAACAAUAAAAAAAACAAAUGUAACAAGAAAAAUUCCACGCAACAUAAUAUAUAUGAUAUAAAUUGAGGUUUUUAAAUUACCUAUAAACAUAUCAUAAUAUAUAUGGUACAUCCUUUGAAUUUAUUAGAAAGAAGCCAUUAACUAGCCUUUUCAAUUGGAUCUUUUAUUUAAAAGAAAAGGAAUAUUUAUUUUAAUAUGAAAAAAAUAUGUAUUUUUUAUAUAUAUCUAGUGAUAAUAAAUUAGAGGAUAGUAACAAGAAAAUAGAAAUUAGAUCAAAUAAAUGAUACCAAUUUUUAUUCUGAUAUAUCUAGCUAAAGAAUAGAAUGAAUUAAAACAUUCUUAAUAAAAAAAAAACAGAAAGAAAUAAAAAAAUAUUCUUAAUAAAUAUAAAAGAUAGGUGAAAUCAGAGAACAAGAAAGAAAUAUAGAAUCUCUUUCUAAGAUUUCUUGUUCCCUUUCCCUUCUUUACACGGCCUCCUCAAUGAAAAAGCAAACACCCCAUUUGAUUUUCAUUCAGUAUGAGAGUGAGAAUGAGAAUGAGAAUGAGAGAGAGGUAAUUUCGACUAUACAUAGAACUCGACAGGACAGAAGACUUAAAGAUAAAAUAGCUUUGAUUUACAACCAUGGCUUCAAGGGCCUGGAAUAGGACCAGGUACAAGUUUGUUUCUAUCUAAGAAAGCAAGAAGCUCCCACUAAUGCAUGCUCUCAACAAACUACCCCCAAUUUCGCCACUACAGCUCAAGUAGCUUUGAGUCAUUCCAACAAGUAGGAAUUGAAUUCAAAGGAAUAAAUCAUUAAAUGCGGAGUUGGUGUUCUCCUGUUUGUGGUUCUGAUAAAUGUAAGAACGGACAGAGAGAAGAAAUAGGAAAAAUCCAUGUAUCUAUUAGUUGGCAGCAGUUAUCAUUCGGCCCUUGCCGCCCACGAAAUCCCUUUAUCCUGCUGUUAAUUUUUUUAAAGACGCGUAUCAGGUGUUUGAUAAAAUUCCUCAACUGGAAAAAAAAACCAUGUUUAGAAUGCUUGAGUCCUUUACAAGUGGAAAGUGGGAACUAUCCACUUUCCCAUUUGAAAUCAUCACUAACUCCUUUGUUCAUUUUCUUCUUUUUUUAUUACCCUUAGCAUGAUACACAGAAAAGAAGAACGCGUGGUUCAAGAGAGAACAAUAAUGGAGGGGAAUCAAAAUCUUUGUUUGAUUUUAUGUUGUGUUUUUGGUACAUUGAUCAACAAUAGCUUGGAAGAGCUUGAUAGCAAUAACCUUUUCGACCUCAAUAAUUAAUGUUAAUGCGUGGAUCCAGUUGUUAUGGAAACUUUGCAAAGGAUCUGCAGGAAGAAAAAUGAAAAGCUUUUCGAACCUACAAUAUAGAGAGAGAAAUAAAUAAAUAAAAAGCUUUUCAAAACCAAUCUCAUGCCAAAUUGGUUUGUCUGUCCAGUACUUGAGCUUGCACACUUCGUUUAUAUUCAAACAAUAUUCUUCCGUUGCUUUUAUUCUUUACAAUAAUGUGAUAGGAAUAACAUUAAUAUUAUUAUAAAGAAAAAACUCCACCCACUUUGAAACACCUUUGAUGUGUUGAUUGAAAUUGACAAGUGAGUUUACUCACAUGUUGUUAUAUUGGUUUUGAGUUCAAAUAUGGAGAUUUUAUGAUUUAUUCACAUGAAUGCAUUCAUUUAUUCACCUAUUAACUAAAUCAUGUAUUCAAUAUGAAUGAUGGGAGAUUUUUAAUGUCUUCUGAAUACAUUCAUUUAUAUAUGAAAAUAAUUUAUGUGUGUGUAUAAGGUUAUUGAAAUGAAGAUUAUUAUCCUCCAGCUCAUCAUCAGAUCACACGAAAGGAACGCAGAAAGACAUUCCCUUUCUUGUCAUAAAGUUUUGAAUAGAAUGCCCAUCAAAAAGUACUUUCGUGCAUUAUUGUCAUAAAGUUUUUCAAACUUCCAAUAUAGAGAGAGAAAUUAAAAAAAAAAAAAAAGCAAAAGGAAACAACCCCCACCUCAUCUUUCUUGUUCCCUUUUCCUUCUUUACAUGGCUUACUCAAUGAAAAAGCAAGCACUAAGGCACCUUCUCCACAAACUACCCCCCAAUUUCGCCACUAUAUAAAUAUUAUGGAAAACAAGAUAAAAAGAAAUCUUUUGGUACAUAUAUAAAUAUAUUAUGGAAAUUAACAUGGUAUCAGAGUAUCUGUGAACUAUUGCUGGGAUUGGGAAGUCAUAAUUUUUGACACGCCUAAUCACAGUCUUUUUUGGAAAAAGAAGAAGAAGCCAGGCUAUGAAAAUAGGUUUCUGGAAAUUUACAUCAUUUGAUUUUGACAAUUGCAUGGAAAUGGUCUUCUUAGUUUGCCGUGUGGAAAAUCAUGUCAUUUACGGGACUGCUGGACAGAGUGUCUAUUGAUAAUUUUACCUUCUUUUAAAAUCUUUGACACUACUUGCAUUGACUGGUAAUUUCGCUCGAAAAUUUCUAGUAAUUUAUAAAGGAAAUUUUUACUGUAUAUGAAUUGAAAAACUAUUAUUGACUGACUUCUUGCAAAGUAUUUGUAAAAAAGCUAAAGAAUUUAAGUCUUUUAAUUUUUAAAAUUAUAAUUUGUUGAGGCUUAUCUUGGAACCUCGCUUUGGGAUUAAUUAGCGAGAAUAAGAAAAUCCUAUGCAAAUUAUACAAAAUUUAUUAUUAAUCAUCUAUAUUUAUUAUUGAUCAUCAAUAUUGAAUAAUGGCUUAUUUUCUAGUAUAAACAAUGUUUGAAAUAAAAUUGAUAAAAGAUAGUAUACAUAAUUAUUAAUGAUGGGAUUGUUUAUAAAAAUGACUAAAUUAAGGUUUUUUAAUUAUCUUUUAACAUUUUAUGAUUUUAAUAGAUGGGCUGUACAUCAUGUAAAUUAUAAAAGAAUAUUUAUUUUUCUGAUAUAAUAAUAAUAAUAAUUAUAAUAACAAUAAUAAUAAUAAAUUAGAUGAUACUAACGAGAAAAUAGGAAUUAGUUUGAAUAAAUGAUACCAGUUCCCAUGAUGAUAUAUCUAAAGUCCUAAACUUCAAGAAUUUCUCUUCUUUAUCUUUUGUAUUUUCUCAUUUUCUUGGCAUGCGCGCAGCUGCUUCAUGGAAAAAACGUUUCAGAUGCGGAAAAUAAAAGCGGAAAAAAAAAUCCCAAAUAUCAGCAAACAUCACAAGAGAAGCUUGAUCUCAACAAGAUGUUGCAGUCCACAGUCUUUCCAUUACAUUAUAAUUACUUCUAAAAAAAAUUAAUUUAAUUUUUAAUUAUAAGCCAUCAGCAACUACCUCAAAAUUACCACUCUGAAUUCCAGCUCAAUAUCGAUUAACAUGUGGCUACAGAAUUUGAAUUAAGUUCAAUUAUACAAAAUCCUGUGCAAAUUAUACAAAAUCCUGUGCAAAUUAUACAAAAUCCUGCUUUAAGUUCUUGGAACCUAGCUCUGAGAUUAAUUAGCGAGGAUAAGAAAAUUCAGUGCAAAUUAUAUAAAAUUUAUUAUUAAUUAUCGAUGUUCAAGAUUUUCUUAAAUGUUAUUUUAUUUUCAUUAUUAUUUAUAAAAAUCCAAAAAAAUUAAGAAAAAGUUUAAAAAUUCAAAAAUAUAUUUUUCUCGAGUCAAUCACAUUUUUCCAUCAAAACCAAGUCCACCGGGUCAAACCAUGUCGACUAGGGUAAAAAAUGAGUUUCGGGUCAAAACCGUCAUUUCCGACCAAAACCGAGCUCACCGGGUCAAUACGGGUCAAACCAUGUCGACCAGGGUAAAAAAUAAGUUUCGGGUCAAAACCGUCAUUUCCGACCAAAACCGAGCUCACCGGGUCAGGACGGGUCAAACCAUGUCGACCAGGGUAAAAAAUGAGUUUCGGGUUGUUUCGGGUCAAAACCGUCAUUUCCGACCAAAACCGAGUCAUUAGGUCAGUACGGGUCAAACCAUGUCGACCAGGGUAAAAAAUGAGUUUCGGGUUGUUUCGGGUCAAAAACUGUUAUUUUCGACCACAACCCGGUUCACCGGGUUGAUACCCAUCAAAUGUUUUUUUUGAUAUUCUAUUUCUUUUUUUGCGGUUGAAACCGGCUUUUUCUAAUACUAAUUUGAAUUUUUAAUUUUACCUAUAUAAAUAUUUAUUAUUAUAUAUAAUAAAACAAAAUCAAUAAUUCAACAAUUUGUCAGCGGAGCAGUUGAUUUUUUUAUUUAAGGUAGAUGGCAGAAGGGAAAGGAAAACAGAAAGAAAGAAAGAAAGAAAGAGAGAAGAGUGUACUAUUCAUAUCUUUUUUAGUUUUUCUUCAUGAGAGUAGGAUAUUGUUUUUUUUUAAAAACAAUAUGGAAAAUAUCAAACAUAUCCCAACCACUGGAUUCAAUAGUGUUAGUUCUGGGCCUUUAAUUUAAUAGGAUACAAUAGGACUUACCACACUAGAUUAAAACCCAAACACAUCUCAGCCCUUGAAAUAAUCUAAGCUUUGAUCCCGUUGCCCCACGUCACCCGGUGUACUGAGAUUUCGGUGCACCGCGUCACACCAGGUCAAACAUCUGCUCAUCCAGACCGUCCGAUCAACCUGCAGAUCGAGCCAAUCACAACCACACGAUCUUUUCAUCAGAGAUCCAACAGAUCACAGGCUUAAGUUGCACCGGUGUAUAGUGCUAGCGCUCACACCGUAGUAUAACCCAAAGCCUCUCUCUCCUAUCGCCGGCGACUCUCUCUCUCCUCCGAUCUCCCAUCUCCGGCUGUAUAAAGCCUCCAAACUACCACAGAAAGGUCGCCAACCUCCUACAAAGCAAAACACCGGCCUUUUUCAGCGUUUUCUCCGCCUUAUCUGGCCGCAAAAAGGCCGCGAUCGUCGCUGGCCAGCGACGCUUCAAGUCGUCGAUUCUCACUCAUCAGCCAUCAACGACCGUCAAGACCACCACCAUCAGAAUCCUCGACAUCAGAUCUACCAGGAUCGACCAUCGGUUGGACAGAAAUCUCACCGGAAAAUCUCGCCGCCGCCAACAGUAACCGCACGUGAGACACGCGCCACCAGUGGCAUUUUCGUAAUUUUUCAAGAAAUCCGAGGGUAUUUAAGUCUUUUACCUGGCACUCAUGUAUUUUUUUUAUCUAACAUUUUUUUAUUUUGUAUAAAAAUUUUCUUGCAUGUAGAAAAAAAAUAAAAAAAAAAUAAAUAUAAAAAACGACGUGGGUCCAACACCCAUCUUAUCAUAUUAUUGGUCGUGGGUGCAAAGCCCAACCUCUCAAGAAUAGUUAUACCUAUUUUUAAUGACAUCAAAAUAUUUGUUUUUAUAAAUAAAUAUUAUUUGUUGACACGUCUCUUUUUAUAGAAAAGGACCGAUGUCAAAAAAAGUUUAAAUACCAAACAAAUAUGGAUUAUGUUUAUAAUUUUGUUUUUUUUGUAAAUCAGACGUAAAUCUCCUUUUUAGGAUUAGACAUCGAUAUUUUAGACGAGUCUUCUAUUUUUAAGGACUGAUGUCAUUUUUAAUGUGUCUCUUAUUUUUAAGGACCGACGUUAACCAUUUUAAAAAAAUAAUAAAAUUACAAAUAAGCUCAAAAUACAAUAUCAUUUGAAACAAAAAAAAAACACAAGUAAAGAUAACUUUUCUUUUGAAAUGAUAAUUUAAGGGUGAUGUCUACCUUCCCUUAAUCAUAACUAACCCAGUACCUAAAUCUCUGGGACCAGUGUCUAAUUUGGGAUUUUUAGUUCCCUCAUAUUACUAGAUGGCGACUCCAAUAAAAUCUUAAUUUCCCCAAUAAAAAAUCUCUUUUUAUUAAAUAAACAAAAAAAGCGGAGCCAACAAAAAAAAUAGAGCCGUCGCCCGACAUUGUGUAUAAGUUUAUAUAAGCUUAUUUGAACUCGUACACGUUAAAGAAUAGUAUUGACCUUGAUAUUAGUUAUAAAUAAAUUGGUUUUUCAGGAAGAUAUUGUUUUAGGUUUAUUUCUUUAUUUAAGCUUGUUGAAUUCUAGGCCUUAUAUGAUAUUAGUUGAUGUGAUUUGGAUUUAUUUUUAAGUUAAUUUGUGUGUGGGUAGUAAUAAGUGUAUAUGAAUAUGAAUUGAAGUAAGUACCUUAACAAAUGUGAUGGGUUGGUGUGAAGCUUUGAUUAAUUGCUAUAUUUUGAUGUCAUGAGCAAAUACCUUAACAAAUUUGAAUAUUUGAAAGAUAAUAAAUAAAUAUUGAAGAAUUGUAUAGAAAGAAUCGUAUCGAAAUUAUGGAAAAUAUGAUUUUGUCCUGAAAUUCUAAAAAACAAUUAUAGUUUGGUCACUGGUUGUAAAUAAUAAAUUUUAAAAUAUUUUUUGAUAAAUAUUGAUGAUUUAUUAUCAAUUUUUAUUGUUAUCAUUUAAAUUUAAAAUUAAAUAUAUUCUGUAUUUAAAUGUGUUUCGUUUCUUUGGAAACUGCAUGUGUUGGGAAAACUAGGGACAACUAACCGGAUCAAUUCAGCGGAAUACAAUUCACAAUUCACAAGUCCCAAUCAUUUUUCCCUCUUUGUGCAGUAAAAACAGAAUCAAACAAUGAACAAAUAUAAUGCAACAAUCACACAAAUCAACGCCAAGAUUUUUACGUGGAAAACCCGAUGCGAGAAAAACCACGGGACCGGAGUCCACCUAAAAACUUCCACUAUCACAAAUAAUGGGUUCACAAUUGUUCUUCCUCAGAUUCAACUAAGGGCUACAACAUAUAUAUAUCAUCAAGAACAACUUAUUCUCGGAUUACAACAAGAUUAAAGAGAGUAAUGUUAGAGAAAAGCUCACAACACUGACAGCCCUGUUUUCUGUCAAAACGACCAGCUUCCACACCACCAAUCUUCAAUCCAACCGUUCAGAAUGAAGAGGAACGUGUCUAGAAGUUUCUGUCAAAAUCUCAGCCCGAUCCAACGGUGAAACAACUGGAAAAUGAAGAAAGAAGACAGACUGCUCUGCUGCCUCCUCUUCUUUCUUUCUCUCGGUUUUCUUCUCCUCUCUUCUCAAAUUUUCUACUACUAUCUACAGUAACCGUUUCAUUUAAUUUAAACCAAAGAGGCAGCCAGCUGCCUCCUUAAUUAAUGUGGUGGUCCCCCAUCACAUGGUGCGGGACCACACAACAGUAUGCUAGAGUCUCUCAAUAUAUUAAAAGGGCUAACUAUAAGGUAAAAUAAUGAUCAGUUUUAGUUAGCUCCUGCGGGACUUUGCAUUCUAUAAUUUAUGCUAUGCAUUCUAUAACCCUUGGCCCUCUAAAUUACCCAAAAAGGACAAUAAUUGAGCUUGGUGAUCUAAGAGCACAAGUGGUACAGUUCUCAAUCGAAUUUUAGCAAAAUCAAGGAUCCAAGAAAUGGCCUCUGUAACAUGGUAGCUAUGAUUUGAAACAAAUGUAGCUAUGUUUUCUCCUUUUAUUAUAAAAAAUUAAUAUUCAUGGAUUAAUUUUCAUAUAAUUUAAGAAAGCAAGUACUUUAAUCAAAUUUUACAUUGACCAUCCUCAAUGUGUUUAAAGUAAAUGUUAAUUACCAAGCUGUUGCAAUUAAACCUGACCGGCCCGGUAGGUUUACUGUUACCUUUUACCUUUUAUAAUUAUGAUUAUUGCCUUGAAUAUAUUAUUUGAUUAGUCCAUUUAUAGGUUGACUCUACUAUUCCUGCCUUGCAUUGACAGUAAAUUUCACUAGAAAUUUCAAGUAAUUUACACAGGAAAUUUCCUGGUGAUAAACCUGGAAUCUGAUUUUCAACUUUCGUAGGCACUAAAGUCCCAAACUUCAAGAAUUUCAGAAUAUCAAUUCAACCGUACUCCAAAGAACACUCAUACUCCAAUAUCAGCAACGACCACGAAAGUUACCACUCUAAAUUCCAGCUCAAUAAUUUGUUCUUUGACAAUUAUUGCAUUGCUAAUAAUUUGCAAGGAAACAUACUUUUAACUACAAGAGUCUGUUUGAUAUUUUUCCAACUUUUACUGUUUCACUUCAAAGUUUCAAUAAUUGUUUUUUCAUUACAUAUUCUUUCCAACGUGUAAUAAUUCGGAACCACUCGCAAUAAAUAAAGCCAGCAAAGGCAGAUGUGUUUGUCUAUAUAUACAUGAACCUGCUGAUUCGAUUUGAACACCCCAUUUCUCCGAUUCAAUAACUUCAGUUGCAAAACUUCUCUCUCCGAUUGCUGCAAUUUCAUAGCUAACUCUUUGUUAUACACAGGUAUAUAUGGCUAACUCUUCUUAGCUUCUUUCUUGUUUUAAUUUCAUGUCUCUACCAUUAACAAUAAUGUGAAAGCUUUGCUUGUUUCAUGUUUAACUUCAGUUGCUAUUGUCCUAUGCUUUCUCAUUAUUAAGCUUAAAUUGCUAAUUGAUUGUUCCUUAAAUUCUGCAGCUGAAAUGAGAGAGUCAGAGUCUUCUCGUUCUAUACCAGAAGGGGCCUAUGAUGUCUUCUUGAGUUUUAGAGGAGAAGAAACUCGCAAGACGUUUACUGGUCAUCUAUAUGCUGCCUUAGAUGAAGCAGGAAUCCACACUUUUCUAGAUGAUGUUGAACUUCCUAGAGGAGAAGAAAUCUCCGAGCAUCUUCUCAAGGCAAUUCGAGAAUCAAAGAUAUCCAUAGUUGUCUUCUCAAAAGGAUAUGCUUCUUCUAGAUGGUGUCUCAAUGAACUUGUAGAGAUUCUAAAGUGCAAAAGGAAGAAAACCGGUCAGAUUGUUCUUCCUAUAUUCUAUGACAUUGAUCCUUCAGAUGUGAGAAAACAGACUGGCAGUUUUGCAGAGGCAUUUGAUAAGCAUGAAGAGCGUUUUGAAGAGGAGUUGGUGAAGGAGUGGAGAAAAGCUCUUGAGGAUGCCGGAAACCUAUCUGGAUGGAGUCUCAAUGAUAUGGCAUAUGGGUAUUCCUUUUCUCUCUAAGAUUCACUUGCAGACGUUUAUGGAGUAAUUUUACAUUACAUUUUUCAAUGUGAAGUUAUAAAAUAUUUCUUUUUAGCAUACUUAAUUGACUUGCUAUCGAUGACUUGCCUUUUUUUCUGUGAGCAGGCAUGAAGCAAAAUUUAUCAGAGGUUCCUGAGCACCUCGUAGGUAUGGAUCGGUGUACUCACAAUAUUUAUGACUUUCUAAGUAAUGCAACAGAUGAUGUACGCAUUGUGGGCAUACAUGGGAUGCCAGGAAUAGGAAAGACAACUAUAGCAAAAGUUGUAUUUAAUCAACUCUGCAAUGGAUUCGAUGGAAGCUGUUUUCUUUCGGAUAUCAAUGAAAGGUCAAAACAAGUUAAUGGUCUGGCUCUUCUACAAAAGCGACUUCUUCACGAUAUUUUAAAACAAGAUGCUGCAAACUUCGAUUGUGUUGAUAGAGGAAAGGUUCUAAUCAAAGAGCGACUUUGUCGCAAAAGAGUUCUUGUUGUUGCUGAUGAUGUUGCUCAUCAGGACCAGCUAAAAGCUCUGAUGGGAGAUCGAAGUUGGUUUGGUCCCGGAAGUAGAGUAAUUAUUACAACAAGAAAUUCAAAUCUUCUUCGUAAAGCGGAUCGAACAUAUCAAAUUGAAGAAUUGACAAGAGAUCAGUCCCUUCAGCUUUUCAGCUGGCAUGCCUUUGAGGACACCAAGCCAGCAGAAGAUUAUAUUGAGCUUUCAAAGAAAGCAGUUGAUUACUGUGGAGGACUUCCUUUAGCUCUUGAUGUUAUGGGUGCUUGUCUGUCCGGGAAAAACAGAGAUGGUUGGAAAUCUGUAAUUGACAAAUUGAAAAGAAUUCCAAACCACGAUAUUCAAAGAAAGCUUAGAAUAAGUUAUGACUUACUGGACGGUGAAGAACUAAAAAAUGCAUUCCUUGAUAUCGCAUGCUUCUUUAUUGAUAGAAAGAAAGAGUACAUCGCAAAACUGCUAGGAGCCCGUUGCGGUUACAAUCCAGAAGUUGAUUUGCAAACUCUCCAUGAAAGGUCUCUGAUUAAAGUAUUGGGAGAGACGGUAACCAUGCAUGAUCUAUUACGAGACAUGGGAAGGGAGGUCGUUCGUGAAUCGCCUCCAAAAGAACCUGGAAAGAGGACCAGAAUUUGGAAUCAAGAGGAUGCAUGGAAUGUCCUUCAGCAGCAGAAGGUAAGAGCUCAAUGCAUACAUGAAAGCAUAGUCAAACUUAUUACAUAUAAUUGAAUGAAAGUUGUAUUGAUUUUAUUUUUUUAGGGUACGGAAGUUGUAGAGGGUCUUAAACUGGAUGUCAGAGCAUCAGAAACUAAAUCACUGAGCACAGGAUCAUUUGCAAAAAUGAAAGGCUUAAAUUUACUCCAAAUCAACGGAGCACAUCUCACCGGAUCCUUCAAAUUGCUUUCUAAAGAGUUGAUGUGGAUUUGUUGGCAUGAAUUUCCUUUGAAAUAUUUUCCAUCUGAUUUUACUUUGGACAAUCUAGCUGUUCUUGAUAUGCAGUACAGUAACCUCAAAGAAUUAUGGAAGGGAAAAAAGGUGAGAAACAUGCUGCAAUCCCCAAAAUUUGUCCAGUAUGUAAUUUAUAUUUACAUGUUAUGACUUUCUAUGAUUAAUUUUCAUUAUUUUUCUCUCUAUUAUAACAGAUUCUCGACAAGCUUAAAAUUCUUAAUCUCAGUCAUUCUCAGCACCUUCUUAAAACACCAAACUUACACAGUUCAAGUCUAGAGAAACUAAUUCUGAAAGGUUGCUCGAGUUUAGUUGAGGUGCAUCAAUCAAUUGAAAAUUUGACGAGCCUUGUUUUCUUGAAUCUGAAGGGAUGUUGGAGUCUGAAGACUCUCCCUGAAAGCAUUGACAAUGUAAAAUAUCUUGAAACUCUGAAUAUAUCUGGGUGUUCACAACUUGAGAAAUUGCCGGAACGCAUGGGUGAUAUGGAAUCCUUAACCGAGCUGCUAGCUGAUGGGAUUGAAAAUGAGAAAUGUCUCUCUUCAAUUGGACAAUUUAAGCAUGUCAGAAGGUUAUCAUUGCGUCGAAAUAGUUCGGCUCCACCAAGUUCUUCUUUGAUUUCAAUAGGUGUUUUGAAUUGGAAACGUUGGCCGCCAGCAUCUUUCAUUGAAUGGAUAUUAGUGAAACAUCUUGAGCUUUCUAAUAGUGGUUUGUCUGAUCGCGCAACUAACUGUGUUGAUUUCAGUGGUUUGUCUGCUCUAGAAAAAUUGGAUCUAGAUGGAAACAAAUUCUCUAGGCUGCCUUCUGGGAUCGGCUUCCUUCUCAAGCUAAGGGAUUUGUCUGUUGAGGGAUGCAAAUAUCUUGUAUCAAUCCCAGAUCUUCCCUCAAGUUUAACGCGUUUGGGUGCAUCUUAUUGCAAAUCAUUGAAAAGAGUAAGAAUACCAAGCGAGCCAAAAAAAGAACUAUAUAUAUUCCUAGAUGAAAGUCAUUCGUUAGAAGAGUUUCAGGACAUUGAAGGUCUAAGUAAUAGUUUCUGGUAUAUUCGUGUUGAUGACCGCAGUCAUUCACCAAGUAAAUUACAGAAGAGCGUUGUUGAGGUACUAUUUCUUUCUGUCUCUCUUUCGCACAAAAAGAAACACACAUAAUUGGCACAUACAUUGAUUAAUGUCUAAGAUCCUAGCAUUUCUUGAAAUCAAUAUGUAUACAGGCAAUAAUCAUUAUUAUUAUUAUUUUAUUUUAAAAAAUAAGUAUCAUCUUUAAUAAUAUUUUUUAUUUUUCUUAUUUAAUCUAAAAAAUUAAAUAUUAUCUUUAAUAAUAUGUUUUUAUUAAAUAUUUAAAGUCUGAUUGGUUUUAUUUUUUAUUUCUUGAUUUUAUGAUAAUAUAUUUAUACAGGCAAUGUGCAACGGUCGUCACGGGUAUUUUAUUCGCCACACUCCUGGUCAGAUGCCAAAUUGGAUGAGCUACAGGGGAGAAGGACGCUCAUUGUCAUUCCAUAUACCUCCAGUCUUCCAAGGCUUAGUUGUUUGGGUUGAUAAGGAUGAUAAGGAUGCUCACAUUAUUAUUAUUAUAAGAAAUAAUAGAAAUGGUAAUCUCUUGUUUCAAUGUACGAAAUGGUAUUAUCAUCCAAAAACUGGAAGUAUAAGAUACAUAAGAAGAAGUGAAAUGGCAAUGGAAGAUUACUGUGCAGAUGACGAAUUGGAACUAUACAUUUAUUCAAAGCCAUCACCGUUGGCAAUGGCAAUGGCAAUGAAGGAUGCUGUGAUGCCUUCAUUUGAACCGUCUACACCUAAGCAAUGUGGGGUCCAUGUGAUCGUAGGAAAGUCAGAUUCAUUUGAAGAGUUGGCAGUGGGAAGAGAUGCAGUGAUGCUUCCUCAUCCUCGUUGUGGUUCGAUUACAGCGUCUACACCUAAGCAAUGGAUUGACUUUUUAUUUGCGAAGCUGCAAAACCAUAACCUCAAUUUAAGGCUUUUUGGUAAGAAUACAUAUUUCCUUUAGUUAUUUCUAUUUUAAUAUUCUAUUUAAUUUAAGAGAUUAAAUAUCAUCUUUAAUUAUUACAUUUUUCUUAUUUAAUCUAAAAAAAUAAAUAUUAUCUUUAACAAUAUUUUUUAUUAAAUAUUUAGAGUCUGCUUGGUUUUAAUUAUUUCUUUUCUUGAUUUUAUGAUAAUAUUUUUCUUAUUUAAUAUAAAAAAUAAAUAUUAUCUUUAAUACUUAGAUCUAUCGAAUAUCACUUAAAAAAUAAAUUGUAACUUUAAUAAUUAUUUUUUGAAAAACAAAAAGCCAACAAUCACUAACUUAUUUAUUAAAAUCACUUUAGUUUAUCUAGAAAAUAUUGAAAUUGAUUUUUUUUUUACAUUAAAGUAAAAAAAAAAUAAUGUUUUUAUAUUUUAUUUCAAACUCGAUAUUUUAAAACAAAAAUGAAAAAGAUGUGAUUUUGACCUUUUUUAUUAUAAAGUAAGUUUUUUAAUUAAAAGUGAUGGGAAUUUGUUUUAUUGCAUGUACAAUCAUGCACAUUUAACUUUCUUUUUAAAUUUGAUGGUUUUUUAGUACGGGAAUGACUUGAAGAUGAUUUUACAUAGAGAUGCUUGAAGUUGCUCCAAAUCAGUACGAUACUUUCAUCUGACAUGUUGAUAUGUAUUUGUUGGCUUGAAGAUCAUUUUCCAUCCGCUGGACAACCUAGUUGUUAAUUAUUUUCCAAGGUACUUCUAUCUGAUGUAUUGAUAUGUAUUUGUUGGCUUGAAGAUCAUUUUCCAAGCUUGGAAGUUUUAUUGAAUGCUCUUUGAAAUCUUUUCCAUCCGCUUUUAUACUGGACAACCUAGUUGUUAAUUAUUAUCCAUGAUGUAAUUUAUAUUUUCAAGUUAUAAAUUUUGAUGAAUAUUGUUUCAGUUUUUUCCUCACUUCAAAAGAUGAAAAUCCUUGAUGUUAGUUAGAAAUAAAUUGGUUUUCUAGGAAGAGAUUAUUGAUUGGAAUAUAGUAUUUGAGUUGGUUCUACAUCAUUUACUGUUAUAAAUAAUUUAAAAUAAUUGAUGAAAAUUACCGAUACAUAGAAAAGUUGUGAGAGCAUCCUUAAUUAGUCUAGUAAGUAAAGUGUUGUUAGUUUUGACUAUAAGAUCUUGCUAUGUAUUAUUGCAUGGUUUUUACUAUUUUUAGGCAUUUUUCUUUUUGUAUAUACAACUUUUGUUUUUCUUGCCGCUUGUCAUUAGCUUUAUGGCACCAACACCAAUUAAUAAUAAAUCUUGAACUAUUAUUAAAUAAAGAAAAAAUAUAAACAUUGUUAAAAUACCAAACUUGAAUUGCUCAAUCCUAAAGAAACCCUAUGACAAUAAUCUAAUUUAGAAAAUAAUUAAUUUAUCCUUGUAGUCUAAGAAAAUAUAAACAUUGUUCUUUCUUAUUUUAUUUUUUUUAAUUGGAUUACCUUUAUCUUAACGAGUGAAAUAAAGAAACACUCCCCCCAUCUUUCUUGUUCCCUUUCCCUUCUUUACAUGGCUUACUCAGUGAAAAAGCAAUUAAACACCCCAUUUGAUUUUCAAUCAGUAUGAGAGUGAGAGAGAGAGAGGCCAAGGUGGUCCUUGAAUAUUUUCUUCUUUUUUGUCUCGCUCACUGGGGCAAACCAUUUUUUUCAACAUUUUGAAUAGCAUGCCAUCAAAAGGAAUUUUGUUCAAUCCCAAUCCCACAUUGUCUGUAGAAGUAUUUACUUUUGACUCCACACUUUGUUAUUUUCCAAUCCCUCCCCAGUUCUGCAACCAUUUCUCUACUUUCUAUGCUCUUGGCUUGCUAAAAACUAAAGAAAACACAUUGCUCUAGUUGCCUCCCUUCACUCUUCAGAUUGCUCAACAAAUCCCUUGAGACCUUCUCCAUAGUUAACACAUCACAUAAUGGGUACUCUAAAAAAUUUAGCCAUAAACAUUGAACACCUUGAGCAAUCAACGUGCCUUCCUUCACAAUAUCCAUCGCCCAUAAAUCUUUCUUUUGGGAUGUCGCGGGAGUUUAAUCUCCGAGUGUUAAAAUUAUGUAUAAAUUUCCAUUCUUUCCUUCCAUCCAUUACUUGUCCUCUAUGAAGAUUCUAUGUAUGAAAUCUCGGAAUCUUUUCGAGUAUAACUUGGGAUCAACAGCUGAGAUAGACGUGGGAUCCACUUGUAAGGACUUGUAUGCAUGCUCUAGCUUUUUGCUGAUAUCAUAAUCUUGGAGGAUGUCAAUGAUACCAAAGUGAAGAACUACAUCUCACAAUCACCAAAAUUCAAAGUAAAGUAACGGAGAAGAAAAUCUGAUAACAAUGAAUGAUCACUCAUUAACCACAGCGAAUCUUACGCUUUGAAAACACUUUUCACCAUCAAUUUUCCUUUUCUCAUUGAUUUUAAAUCUUCCAGGCAGAUAAAAUAGCAUUGGUUUCAUUCUGUUAAAAAUGGACCUAUUCAUCAGCUUAGGCAUCAACAACAUGUUGCAUCCACAAUCUUACUACUACAUUAUAAUUAUAAACAAAACUAAAAAAAUAUAUAUAUGAGGACAGAGUUAACAGACAUGCACUAAGAGUUAACAGACAAUUCUGUUAUAACAAACAAGUGAACAAUCUGUUUUCUCCAACCUUCCAGCAUUAUUCUCCCGAGCAUAUUCUGUCAGCUCAAGAUUAGGCAAUUCUGUUAACCAUGCUGUUAGCUCUGUUCUCUUUUGUUGUAUAUAUACUUGAUUGAUUGAUUGAUUCAAUAACAUUAUCUUUCUCUCUUCUCACCUGCCCCCUUUUUCUUCUCCUUUUACCUCUAGCUUCCAAUGCCUAUCAACACCACCAUCCUUAACACAAAUGAAUCUCACAGCAUGUUGAUUACCAUCAAUGUAGCAGCCCAAACUCCAUUAAAACUUACCUCCACCAGGCACCAACUAUCUAGCCUGGAAACUUCAAUUCCAGACUCUAUUCAUAGGACAUUUGAUUGAGGUCUCCACAAACAUUGAAACACCGCAAUUUUUCAUGAUAAAAUCCAAAGGAUUGGUACUUUGGUGUUUGAGGGGCUGGUAAAUGAAAGAACAGAUCAAGAGAUGACAUCCCUCUAUACCGCUGUUAUUCCUUUCAAGGUGCGUAUCAGGUGUUUGAAAAACUUCCUCAACUUAAAAUAAAAAGGUCUUGUUUACAACGUUUUUUAGUCCUUUACAAAUCUUCCAAUGUGUUGCGUUUACUGAAUAUGAUAGUGGGAACUUAUUUAUCAAGAAUUAACUACUCAGAAGAAAAUGUAAAGACGCAAUAAUGAUUUUUUUAUUUUAGAUUCCAUAGUCUACAAACUUGGAAGCAUACGGACCAGUCAGCUGGUAAAUGAAAGAACAGGGAUCAAGAGAUGAAAUCCCUCUAUACCGCUGUUUGAUACAAAAGUUCAUGGCCAAGUAAAAGAUGUUUAUUUUGGAUGUAAUAAAUAUUCAUAUUGCAACAUAAUAGUCAUCUCUCAAAUCCAUAAUUCAAUUGAUCAUAUAAAUAAUUGUUGAUUACUUAAAUAAACAAUUAUAUAAUUAAAUACUUAAUUAUAAAUUAAAGAGAUGGACAAUUAUAUAUUUCUAAAAUCUUAAUUACAAUUAUAUUAUAAUUUCUUCCCUAAAAUUUUUCAAAAUACAGUAUUAGAAUUACAUAAUAAAAUACAGUAUUAUAAUUUCUCAUCUAAAGGUCCAGCAUACCCUGGGAAUCUGAUCGGGUCAAGCUACGAGCAAUUAGGAGGCAUGACCAUCACCCACAUGUAACUUUGCUAAUAAUAUAUUACGGUUGUCAAAAUUAAUUAUUAUUAGCAAAAACUUAUUUUAUUUGUGAAUCUCUCAACCGUUGGAUUUAGAUAUGAGGAUAAGAGAUUGUGGGCACCUCUCUUUUUUAAAAUAACUAAAAUCUAAAUCAUCGGACGNNNNNNNNNNNNNNNNNNNNNNNNNNNNNNNNNNNNNNNNNNNNNNNNNNNNNNNNNNNNNNNNNNNNNNNNNNNNNNNNNNNNNNNNNNNNNNNNNNNNCCGGGAUUAUUUUAACUCAGUGAUCCUUCCCAGGUAGGCCCAGGUCACAUUGAUUAUGUUAAAAAAAAAAAAAAUCUAAUGUCUUUACCAUUAUAUUAUAAUUAUUUAGGAGGAUAGUUGAACAAUACUUUUUUAAAAAAAAUUAAUUUUUGACGAGUAAAAUAAUGUGGAACCAAUCGCAAUAAAUAAAGCCAAAAAAGGCAGACGAGUGUGUCUAAUUCAUGACUUGCAUUGACUAAAAAUUACCACUAGAAAUUCCUAGUUUUAUCCUAUAUAAAGAAUACAAAAAAGGCAGACGAGUGUGUUUCGUGGUGCUUUCUCGGCCUGCAAAUGAAUAGAAAGCAUAUCCUUUUAUCCUAUAUAAAGAAUAAUACAAUUAACAAAGCAUAUUUCAAUAUCCUUGCUUUACUCUCCAGCUAACCUGAUACAUAUUUCAAUGUCUCAAGACAUACGUAUGCCAUUGAUAGAAAGGUGUGUUCAAGCAAAAUCUUUUUUUAUCUGUAGCGACCUCAAUAAUGUUAACGCCACGAAAUUACCACUCCAAAUUCCUUGUUCUUCCUUUUUAUAUUAUUAGAAAAACUGUGAUUGACUGAUUUAAUUGGAAAUUAUUUGUGAGAAAGCUAAAAAGAAUUGGAGUUCUUCAAUUCCUAAAAUUCUAAUUUUAAAUUGUAAAAAAAAAUUAAUUAUUUUUAAAAUUAUUUUAGAAAAUAAAACAUUAACUAUUUAUAUAAUAGCUAAAUAAAUCUAUUAAAAUAAAUCGAAAAUAACCAGUAAAAUCAAGCAAAUAAUUCAAAUAUAACAAGUAAAUAAUUAUAUUUUUUUGGUCUGAUUUGAGUAUGUUUUCUUGACUUGCUUUAGUGUUCAUUAAACAUAAACAAACUUUGCUCUAAGAGUCUGCUUAUCAAUAAAAUAUUACUUUUACUGUACAUAAUAGAAAUAAUUUGGUUACCCGUCGACACUUACGUCACUUUACUCUUCAAUCGAUGUAAUUUCAUAGCUUUUCUCAGCAGGUGGGAUCCAACUAAUUUCAUAAAUCAUAAUUCUUCCUAAGGCGAUGCCAAAUAGGUGCCAAGAGUAUACCGCAUUAAGCGAAAACAUGCUGUCGCCAUAGUCUUACAGCUAANNNNNNNNNNNNNNNNNNNNNNNNNNNNNNNNNNNNNNNNNNNNNNNNNNNNNNNNNNNNNNNNNNNNNNNNNNNNNNNNNNNNNNNNNNNNNNNNNNNNCCAUUAAUAUUUGAUUGUUAUAAUUUAAUUUUUUUUUAAAAGCAAUUAAUCUUCAUUCUCUUUAUUUUUUUUCAAUCCAUUUAGUAAUUUGAUUUUUUUUUUUAAUUUUACCCUUCAAUUUAAAAUUUUAGUUUGUCCUCUCAAUUUUUUUUCAAAUGAUGUUCUUUUUUCUUAAUUGUUGUUUUUUUAUCCUUUAAUUUUUUUUAAUUUUAUUAUUCAACAUUUCAUUAAUUGAGAUUUGGUCUCAUUAAGCCCUACCCAAGAGUCAAUCUGGGAUAAUUAUUAAGUCACAAGUCGAGUAAGUUGACUCGAGUUAACCUAAGUUAACCAAAUCGUUUUAUUUUAUAAAAAGCCAAAAUGAUACCAUUUUUUUUAAAAAAAAUAAUAAACAAGUUUUGACCAUGUUUCGGCUAGGUUUUCUCAGGGUUAACUGAAAUAUUGGUCAACCCAGGUUUUGAUCGUAUUAUACUGGAGUAAUUCUCCGUCAAUUUUUUUUGAAACUCGAGCCAGUUUCAGCUAAAGGUCACUUAGAACACAGGUCAACCCAUAAGUUAAACCAAAUUUUUAAAUAAUAACUUUACAAAUAUAGUUCUUUCAAUUUAAUUACUAUCUCAGAUUAAGAUUUGAAAAAUUAACAUGGAUUUCUUUCGUUAUUCAUUUUAAAAAAGAACUCGUUAGUUUGCAAGUCCACGUGUCAAAUUUGGAAAAUCAUAUGGCCCAUUGAUAGAAAGGGGUGUUGAAGCAAAAUCUUUAUUAGCAAAGCCUGUUCGACCUCAAUAAUGUUAACGCGUGGACCCAGUUGUCGCAACCACCGCGAAAUUACCGCUCCAAAUUCCUUGUUCUUUCUCCGUAUAUUAUUUUUGAAAAACUGCCAUGUAUUUAAUUGUAAAGUAUUUGCAAAAAAGCUAAAAGAAUUAUAGUUUUUUAAUUUUUAAAAUUAUAAUUUUAAAUUGAAAAAAAAUAAUUAUUUUUAAAAUUGUUUUAAAAAUAUAACAUCAACUAUUUAUAUAAUAGCUAAAUAAAUAUAUUACAAUAAAUCAAGAAUAACAAGUAAAAUCAAGCAAAUAAUCCAUAAAUAACAAGAAAAUAAGUAUAUUUUCUAGAUCUGAUUUGAGUAUAUUUUUUAUCUUGAUUGACUGACUUGCUAAGUUUUUGCUAAGUAUAAACUAAUUUUACUCUAAGAAUUUAUUUGAUAUUUCUUCACUUAUUAAUGAAAUAUUAUUUCUACUGUAGAAAAUAGAAAUAAUUUGGUUGACCAUCGACACUUAUGUGAUUGAUUAUUGAUUAUUUUACUCUAAGAUGAAUAUUUUUUUGUUUGCAUCAAAUAAUUAAAAUUGAGAAUUUCAAAGCAGAGGGUUUAAGGAAUAUUAAAAGAGAAGGUUUUACGUAAUUAUUAUAUAAUUGAAAUUGUCACUAAUCUCCUUUGUUCAUUUUCUUUUUCUAUUACCCCUUCCAAUCAGCAUGCAAGAAACUUUCAACGUUUUACACUGCUUGUUCACUUAAUAAAACUAUUACUUGCUAUAAAGCAAGAAAUAAUAUUCUUUCUCUGAAAAGGGCUUGAGAAAACCCUAAGCAUGGUAGAUAAUCUCUUAUAGGAAUCUCUUUAUUAAAUAAUCAAAUAUCAAAGUCUAUUUCCAAAGACUAUUACUACAGUUUAUAUAUAUAUAUAUAUAUAUAUAUAUAUAUAUAUAUAUAUAUAGAAACAACUAAAUAGAGAAAUUAUUAUUUUUUAAAUAGAAAAGGUUGAAAAGCUUGAUAAUAUCGAGUAAGAAAUAAAAUAUAAAAAUAAUUCUUUUUUAAAUAAACAAAUAUAAAAGUUUAAUAGUACUGAAUAGAAAAAAAAAUAGAAUUUCUAAACUAAAUAAAAGUAACUGAAAAAAGUAUUUAUUAUUCCAAAAAAUUAGAGUUUUUUAAUUUAUAAAAUUAUAAUUUUAAAUUGUAAAAAUAAUUCAAUUAUUUUUAAAAUUAUUUUAAAUAAUAAAACAUCAACUAUUUAUAUAAUAGCUAAAUAAAUCUAUUAAAAUAAAUUGAGAAUAACUAGUAAAAUCAAGCAAAUAAUCCAAAAAUAACAAGCAAAUAACUUGUCAAGUCUUUAUUCAGCACAAACGAACUUUAUUCUAAAAGUAUAUUUGAUAUUUCUUCACUUAUCUAUGAAAUAUUACCUCUACUGUACAGAAUAGAAAUAAUUUGAUUGACCGUCGAUACUUAUGUUAUUGAUUAUUGAUUAUUUGGAAGAAGAAAUUGUAUUCAUUCUUCUUAUUUAUUUUUAUUAUUAACGUGGAUGUUCAGGCCAGCUUGCGCACACCUCGACUAAUCCCACGAGUCCUGAAGUUAACGAUCAUGUAAGCCUCCAGUGACCAUCAUAUUAGCAACUAUAGAGCUCGAACCUGAGAUUAUAGAGGGAACAAACCUCUUAAUCUCAAACUCUUAUCACUAGAUCACCUACUUUACUAUUCAGCUCGUUGUAAUUUCAUAGCUUCUCCCAGGUGGACGCAACUAAUUUCAUAAAUUAUAAGUCUUCGCUAAGCAUAAAUGAACUUUAUUCUGAGAGUCUGAUUGAUAUUUUUUCAUUUAUUAAUGAAAUAUUACUUCUAUUGUAUAGUUAUUGGGUACCGAGUCGAUCCACCUGGUCAAUAGAUGAACGGUACAUUCUUUGAAUUUAUUAGAAGAAAUAUGUAGUGUAAAUUAUAAAAAAAAUAUUUAUUUUUUGAUAUAUAAUAAUAAUAAUAAUAAUAAUAAUAAUAAAUUAGAUGAUAGUAACAAGAAAAUAGAAAUUAAUUUGAAUAAAUGGUAAGAGUUCCUAUUCUAAUAUAUCCAGGGAAGAAGUUCGAAGAAUAGAAUGAAGUUAAAUAUUCUUAAUAAAAGAAAGAAAUGAAAUAUAUUUUUAAUAAAUAUAAAAGAUGGAUAAAAUUAGAGAACAAGAAAGAGAUAUAUAAUCUUUUUGUAAGAACUUCUAAAAAUUUAAUUACAAUUCAGAAUUUCUUCCUUAAAAAUAUCCAAAAAAUCCUAUUAUAUAUGAAUCAAGACAACAGUAGAAUAACUUUUACAUAUUUUUCAAGUUUACUUAGAAUAGCAGUGGAAUAAUUCUUUUAAUAUUUAAAAAUUAAAAAAAAAACUGUGUAGUUGUUUUGUAUAAAUUCUAAAGUUGAGAACUCUUUUGUGCUUGGUAAAAUAUGAUUUUCAACUUUCGUAGGCGAGCACUAAAGUCCCAAGCUUCAAGAAUUUCUCUUCUUUUCCUUUUGUAUUUUCUCAUUUUCUUGGCAUGCGCGCAGCUGCUUCAUGGAAAAAACGUUUCAGAUGCGGAAAAUAAAGAUAAAUGUGGAAAAUAGAAGCGGAAAAAAAAUCCCAAAUAUCGACAAACAUCACAAGAGAAGCUUGAUAUCAACCACAUGUUGCAGUCCACAGUCUUUCCAUUACAUUAUAAUUACUUCUAAAAAAAAAUUUAAUUUUUUUUAAUUAUACGCCAUCAGCAACUACCUCAAAAUUACCACUCUAAAUUCCAGCUCAAUAUCGAUUAACAUGUGGCUAAAGAAUUUGAUUGCUGCUCAAUAUUUACCAAUACGCGCUUGAGAAAUUUCCUGCACGUGUUACAUUUUUAUCUUUUAUAAUUAUAAUUAUUGCAUUGCUAAUAAUUUGCAAGAAAGAAUAUUGUUUCUCUUAAAAGGGCUUGAGAAAACCCUAAGCAUUGUAGAUAAUCUCUUAUAGGAAUCUCUUUAUUAAAUCAUCAAAAUAUCAGAGUAUAUUUCCAAAUACUAUUACUAUAGUUUUUAUAUAUAUAUAUAAAAAUAGAAACAACUAAGUAGAGAAAUUAUUAUUUUUUAAAUAAAAAAACUAGAAAAGCCUAUAAUAUUAUUGAAUAAAAAAUAAAAUAGAAAUUUAAUCAAUUAAAAGUUUAAAAAAAAAUACUGUUUAACUGUUUUGUAUAAAUUCUAAAGUUAAAGAGUCUUUUGUGCUUGGUAAAAUACGUCACACUAAAAUUAAUAAAUAAUAACACAAGAAAGGACCAAAGUUAAUAAAUAAUAGCAUGCACGAAACUUCACGAUACCCAUGUUUUCCACGUUUUACACUGUUUUAAUAGAUUGUUACAGCAAGAGCACAGAGAGAGGAACGGUUCAAGACAAAACAACGAAGGAGGGGCAGAUGCUCAAGUUGUUGCAACCACCAUGAAAGGAACACAUUAAUGUUAACGCGUGGACCCAGUUGCUGCACCAGCACGAAAGUACUACUCCAAAUUCCAGCUCAAAUUGAAUAAUGAUUUAUUUUCUAGCAUAAAUUAUGUUUGAAAUAAAAUUGAUAAAAGACAUAAUUACACAAUUAUUGAUGGGAUCGUAUAUAAAAAUAAUUAAAUUGUGAUUUUUUAAUUAUUUUUAAACAUAUCAUGGUUUGAGGUACAUCAUGUAAAUUAUAAAAAAAAUAUUUAUUUUUCUGAUAUAUAUAUAGUAAUAACAAAUGGUUAGAAUGCUUUAGUCCUUUUCGAGUGGAAAGUGGUGUGAAAGUGGGAACUACUGUGAGAGCUUUAUGCCACUUUCUAAAUCGCGAGUAAAGUCUGAAUGUUUUUAGAAAGAAGCAGCCUUCAUUGCUUUUCAAAACCAAUCUCUGUAUCUAUUAACAAAAACUCUAAAUCGCGAGUAAAGUCUAAAUGUUUUUUAAAAAGAAGCAGUCUUCAUUGCUUUAAUAAAUUGUUACAAUAAAGCACUGAGAGAAGAAUGGUUAUACCGUUGAGCCGGGUCGAGUUUUAAAAUUAUAAUUUAUAUAUAAAAACAACUAAAUAGAAAAAUUAUUAUUUUUUAAAUGAAAAAACCAGAAGAGCUUAAUAAUAUUUAAUAAAAAAAUAAAAAUGAAAAAAUAUUCCUUUUUAAGUACAAACUAAUUUAAUAAUACUGUAUAAAAAAAUUAAAAUUUCUAACCUAAAUUAAAAAAAAUAAAAAUAACUGAGAAAAUAUUUAUAAAGAUAACGGUAUGUAAAUCUAGGAACUAAAAAUAAUACAACUACAUUGAUUGGAGAUUUCACUCAGAAUUUCUAGUAAAUUAUAAAGGAAAUUUCCUAGUGCUUUUCAUGUACAUGAAUUUAAAAAUUAUCGUCGCGGAACUUACUUGCAUUGACUGACUUGCUAAAUAUUUGUGCUCGAAAUUUCCAAGCAAUUUAUGGAGGAAAUUUCCUUGUGCUCUCUCUUGUACAUUAUUAGAAAAGCUGUCAUUGAUUGAUUGACUUGCAAAAGUAUUUGCAAGAAAGCUAACGAAUUAGAGUUUUUUAAAAUUUUAAAUUAUUAAAAAAAUCCAUUUUUUUUUUAAAUCAAGAAUAAAACAUCAAGUAUUAUAUAAUUGCUAAAUAAAUCUAAUAAAAUAAAUCGGAAAUAACUAGUAAAUAAUCCAAAAAUAACUAGAAAAUAACCUUUUCCACCUCAAUAAUGUUAACGCGUGGACCCAGUUGUUGUGGAAACUAUGCAGAGGAAGAAAAAUGAUAGAAAAAUUUGCAAGAGAGAAUUCUUUCUCUGAAUAGAAAAAAACUAUUAUUUUUUAAAUAAAAACAACUAUAUAGAAAAAUUAUUACUUUUUAGGUAGAAAAACCUCAUGAUAUUGAAUAAAAAAAUAAAAUAGAAAAAUUAUUCUUUUCAAGUAGAAAAAAAUAUAAAAGUUUAAUAAUAUUGAAUAGAAAUCAAUAAAAUUUCAAAACUAAAUAAAAAUAAUAGAGAAAAAUAUUUAUUAUCCUAAAAAUUCUUAUAUUAAAAUAUUUAAAAGAACUGAGUUUACAUGCUUUAAACAGAAAAACAACAAAAAAAAAAAACAAAUGUAACAAGAAAAAUUCCACACAACGUAAUAUGAUAUAAAUUGAGGUUUUUAAAUUACCUAUAAACAUAUCAUAAUAUAUAUGGUACAUCCUUUGAAUUUAUUAGAAAGAAGCCAUUAACUAGCCUUUUCAAUUGGAUCUUUUAUUUAAAUGAAAAGGAAUAUUUAUUUUAAUAUGAAAAAAAUAUUUAUUUUUUUGAUAUUUCUGGUAAUAAUAAAUUAGAGGAUAGUAACAAGAAAAUAGGAAUUAGAUCGAAUAAAUGGUACCAAUUUGUAUUCUGAUAUAUCUAGCCAAAGAAUAGAAUGAAUUAAAACAUUCUUAAUAAAAAAAACAGAAAACACAGAAAUAAAUAAAAAGAUAUUCUUAAUAAAUAUAAAAAAUAGGUAAAAUCAGAGAACAAGAAAGAGAUAUAGAAUCUCUUUCUAAGAUUUCUAAAAACUUAAUUACAAUUACAUUAUAAUUUCUUCCUUAAAAUUAUUCAAAAUAUAGUAUUAGAAUUGCAUAAUGCUAGGUUUUAGUAUAUAGUUGUUUAUAUUGUUAAAGAGUCUCUCCUAAAACAAAUAAUAAAAAUAUUGUACAACUCUUUUGAAUGAAUUGUUAAUGCACGGACUGUUUUGGGUCCUGACUUGGUUGAUUUAACUUGAAUGUAUUAUUUGAUUGGUCCAAAUAAAAGUCGACUCGAAAUUUCUAUUAAUUUACAAAAGAAAUUUCCUAGUACUUUAUGCUGUAUAUAAUUUGAAAAAUUAUGACUGACCGACUUACUUGCAAAGUAUUGGCAAGAAAGUUAAAGAAUUAGAGUUUUUAAAUAUUUAAAAUUAUAAUUUUAAAUUCUAAGAAAAAAAUCAAUUAUUUUUAAAAUUGUUUUAAAAAAUAAAAGCAUCAACUAGCUAAAUGAAUCUAUUAAAAUAAAUAAAAAAAUAAUUAGUAAAAUCAAGUGAAUAAUCCAAAAAUAACAAGAAAAUAGAGAUAUUUCCUAAAUAUGAUUCCAGUUUGUAUUUGCUAACAUAAAUAGCAUACACGAACUUUAUUAUAAUAGUAUAUUUGAUAUUUAAAAAAAAAACUUAUAUAUAUUAUAUGGGUUGGAAACCCAUUUUUUAUUAAAUUUUAAAUUUUAUAUGUUUAAAAAUAUUUUUUUAUAUUUUUUAAUUAUUUUAAUAUGAUAAUAUCAAAAAUAAAUAAAUAAAAUUUUUCUAACUCUUACUACUUCUGACUUGCUAUGACUCGAAAUUCGUGGUGCUCUCUCCUGCAAAUGAAUACAAAGCAUAUCCUUUCUCUUUCUCCUAUAUGAAGAAUACAAUUAGAAAUUUCCUUGGUUUACUCUUCAGAUUACUUUUCCAUGCACGAAACUUUAUGCCAAUUAGCAACCACUGUGAAAUUACAACUCAAAAUCCCAUGAAUAUAUAAAAAAAAAUUAGAAUUUGACUAGAAAAAUUCUAUCAAAUUCUCUACUUUGUUAGUGUUCAUUUUCCUUCUUUUUUUACCAUAUCUUCAGUUGGGACAAAAUUAUCUUCCCCAAACGAUAGACCUUUAUUUUCCUUCUUUUUUAGUUUAUUAGUAAUUACAUUAAAGAAAAAUAUUAAUUAGUAAUUUUACAUUUUUUUUCUAUAUUAUAAUUAUCAAAUAACCCUUAAAAAAUUUUAUUUUAACCUUUUUUUUCUCUCUUUUUUUUUCAAUUUAUUUGUUAAUUUAAUUUUUUUUUUAAUUUUACCUUCCGGUUCAAAAUUUUAGUUUAUUCUCUCAAUUUAUUUUUCAAAUGAUGUUCUUAUUCUCUUAAUUGCUAUUUUUUAUCCUUCAAUCUUUUUAUUUUAUCAUUCAACAAUUCAUUAAUUGGGAUCUGGUCUCAUUGGUUUUUCCUAUUGUUUCUAAACUCUACCCAAUAGUCAAUCCAGUAUAAUUAUCAAGUUACGAGUUGAGUGGAUUGACUCGAGUUAAUCUAAGGCAACCAAAUCUUUUUGUUUUAUAAAAAGCCAAAAUGAUGCCAAUUUUUUAUUUUUAAAAAAUAAAAAACGAGUUUUGAUCUUGUUUCGGCUAGAUUUUCUCAUGAUUAACUAAAACAUUGAUCAACCUAGAUUUUUUAUUGUAUUACAUUAGAUCAAUUCUACCUCAAUUGUUUUUGAAACUCGGGCCGUUUUAAACUAAAGAUCACCUGGGACACAGUUUCUUGGCGCUUUGUACUGUAUAUAAUUUGAAAAACUGUGAUUGACCGACUUACUUGCAAAGUAUUUGCAAGAAAGCUAAAGAAUUAGACUUUUUCAAUAUUUUAAAUUGUAAGAAAAAAUCAAUUGUUUUUUUUAAAUUAAAAAAUAAAACAUCAACUAUUUAUAUAAUAGCUAAAUGAAUCUAUUAAAAUAAAUAAAAAAUAACUAGUAAAAUUAAGUAAAUAAUCCAAAAAUAACAAAAAUAAAUAAAAAUGUAUUUUUUAAAAACUUUUAUCUUAUAUGGGUUGGGGUUGCUAUGCAACUUAACCGGGAUCACCAUGAUUGUCGAGUAGAGUAAAUAAAUUACUUAACCGGGAUCACCAGAGGAGUUAUUUGCCAAGAUUAAGUUAUAUAACAGUUUAUAAAUCAUGCUAUCAUCUUCAUCACCAUAUAUAAAGUUUUAUAAUAAAAAAAUAUUUAAAAAAACAAUUUUCAUUACAUUUUCAAAUUAGUUAAAGUUUUUCAAAUGAAUGGAUUGAUGUCGAUGACACUCUCUAGUCAGUUUUGAGAAUUUUAAAUCCAAACAAGUGAAUUUAUAUUGUAUAUGGAUCAAGCAAGCAUGCUUGUACAAUAAUUUCUUAUACUCAAUAGAAAUUUGGGUUUAUCAUUACAAACCGUAUUUUAAAAUACUAUUGCCAAAAGAUCAUAUUAUUUAUUAAAACAAGAAAGGACCAAAGUUAAUAAAUAGUAGCAUGCUCGAAACUUCGUGAUACCAAAGUUAAUAAAUAAUAAAGUUAAUAAAUAGUAGCAUGCUUUAAAAGAGUGUUACAGUAAAAGCACAGAAAGAAGAACGGUUCAAGACAGAACUAUAAUGUUAACGCGUGGGACCCAUUUGUUGCAACCAGCACGAAACUCCAGCUCAAUAUUUACCAGCACUACACGCUUGAGUAAUUUCCUUGCGUUUUUUUUCCUCUACCGCUCUACGUGUUACCUUUUACCUCUUUUAUAAUUAUGAUUUAUUAACGAGAAUAAAACAAUUCUGUGUAAAUUAUACAAAUUUCCAUUGUUGCUUUUUUUCUUGCACGUGUUAGAUUUUUAUUUUUUAUAAUUAUAAUUAUUGCAUUGCUAAUAAUUUGCAAGAAAGAAUAUUCUUUCUCUGCUUAAGAAAACCCUAAGCAUUGUAGAUAAUCUCUUAUAGGAAUCUCUUUAUUAAAUCAUCAAAAUAUCAGAGUCUAUUUCCAAAUACUAUUACGACAGUCUAUAUAAAGAAUACAAUUAACCUCAUUUCAAUAUCAUAGCUUUGGAAUUUCAUAGCUAACUCUUUGUUAUAUUGCUCCAUUGGUAAUUGAUUGUGCCUUGAUUUCUGCAGCUGCCAUGACAGAGCCAGAGUCUUCUCGAUCUAGACCAGAAGGCGCCUAUGAUGUCUUCUUGAGUUUUAGAGGAGAAGACACUCGCCAGACAUUUACAGAUCAUCUAUAUACUGCCUUGGUCCAGGCAGGAAUCCACACUUUUCGAGAUGAUGAUGAACUUCCGAGAGGAGAAGAAAUCUCCGAUCAUCUCCUCAGGGCAAUUCACGAAUCAAAGAUAUCCUUAGUUGUCUUCUCAAAAGGAUAUGCUUCUUCUAGAUGGUGUCUCAAUGAACUUGUAGAGAUUCUUCAGUGCAAAAAUAGGAAAACCAAUCAGAUUGUUCUUCCUAUAUUCUAUGACAUUGAUCCUUCAGAUGUGAGAAAACAGAAUGGCAGUUUUGCAGAAGCAUUUGUUAAACAUGAAGAGCGUUUUGAAGAGAAGUUGGUGAAGGAGUGGAGAAAAGCUCUUGAGGAGGCUGGAAAUCUAUCUGGAUGGAAUCUCAAUGAUAUGGCAAAUGGGUAUGUCUUUUUUCCAAAUUUAUGGAGUCAAUAUACUUUACAUUUUUCAAUGUGAAACAAUAAAAUGCUUAAUUGACUCGCUAUCAAUGACCUGCUUUUGUCUAUGAGCAGGCAUGAAGCAAAAUUUACCAAAGAGAUUAUCAAGGAUGUGUUGAAGAAAUUAGAACCCAAGUACUUAUAUGUUCCUGAGCACCUAGUAGGUAUGGAUCGGCUUGCUCGCAGUAUUUUUGACUUUCUAAGUACUGCAACAGAUGAUGUACGCAUUGUGGGCAUACAUGGGAUGCCAGGAAUAGGAAAGACAACUAUAGCAAAAGUUGUAUUUAAUCAACUCUGCUAUAGAUUCGAGGGAAGCUGCUUUCUUUCGAAUAUCAAUGAAACAUCAAAACAAUUCAAUGGUCUGGCUCUUUUACAAAAGCAACUUCUUCAUGAUAUUUUAAAACAAGAUGUUGCUAACAUCAAUUGUGUCGAUAGAGGAAAGGUUCUGAUCAAAGAGCGACUUUGUCGCAAAAGAGUUCUUGUUGUUGCUGAUGAUGUUGCUCGUCAGGACCAGCUAAAUGCUUUGAUGGGAGAGCGAAGUUGGUUUGGUCCCGGAAGUAGAGUGAUUAUUACAACAAGAGAUUCUAGUGUUCUACUUAAAGCAGAUCAAACAUAUCAGAUCGAAGAAUUGAAACCAUAUGAGUCCCUUCAGCUUUUCCGAUGGCAUGCCUUGAGGGACACAAAGCCAACAGAAGAUUAUAUUGAGCUUUCGAAGGAUGCAGUUGAUUACUGUGGAGGACUUCCUUUAGCUCUUGAGGUUAUGGGUGCUUGUCUGUCCGGGAAAAACAGAGAUGGUUGGAAAUGUGUAAUUGAAAAAUUGAGAAGAAUUCCACACCACGAUAUUCAAGGAAAGCUUAGAAUAAGUUUUGACGCACUGGACGGUGAAGAACUACAAAAUGCAUUCCUUGACAUCGCUUGCUUCUUUAUUGAUAGAAAGAAAGAGUACGUCGCAAAAGUGCUAGGAGCCCGUUGCGGUUACAAUCCAGAAGUUGAUUUGCAAACUCUCCAUGAAAGGUCUCUAAUUAAAGUUAAUGCCAUUGGGGAGAUAACCAUGCAUGAUCUAUUACGAGACAUGGGAAGGGAGGUCGUUCGUGAAUCGUCUCCAAAAGAACCUGGAAAGAGGACCAGAAUUUGGAAUCAAGAGGAUGCAUGGAAUGUACUUGAGCAGCAGAAGGUAAGAGCUCAAUGCAUACACGAAAGCAUGGUCAAUGUUGUAUUUUCUAGUCAAACUUAUUACAUAUAAUUGUAUGAAAGUUGUAUUGUUUUUUUUUUAGGGUACCGAUGUUGUAGAGGGUGUUGCACUGGAUGUCAGAGCAUCAGAAGCUAAAUCACUGAGCACAGGAUCAUUUGCAAAAAUGAAAUGCUUAAAUUUACUCCAAAUCAACGGAGCACAUCUCACCGGAUCCUUCAAACUGCUUUCUAAAGAGUUGAUGUGGAUUUGUUGGCUUCAAUGUCCUUUGAAAUAUUUUCCAUCUGAUUUUACCUUGGACAAUCUAGCUGUUCUUGAUAUGCAGUACAGUAACCUUAAAGAACUAUGGAAGGGAAAAAAGGUGAGAAACAUGCUGCAAUCCCCAAAAUUUCUCCAGUAUGUAAUUUAUAUUUACAUGUUACGACUUCUUAAGAUUAAUUUUCAUUAUUUUGCGCUCUAUUAUACAGAUUCUCAACAGGCUAAAAAUCCUUAAUUUCAGUCAUUCUCAGAACCUUGUUAAAACACCAAACUUGCACAGUUCAAGUCUAGAGAAACUAAUUCUGGAAGGUUGCUCGAGUUUAGUUGAGGUGCAUCAAUCAAUUGGACAUUCGACGAGCCUCGUUUUCUUGAAUCUGGAGGGAUGUUGGAGUCUGAAGACUCUCCCUGAAAGCAUUGGCAAUGUAAAGUCUCUUGAAACUCUGAAUAUUUCUGGGUGUUCACAACUUGAGAAAUUGCCAGAACGCAUGGGUGAUAUGGAAUCCUUAACUGAGCUGCUAGCCGAUGGGAUUGAAAAUGAGCAAUUUCUCUCUUCAAUUGGACAAUUAAAGCAUGUCAGAAGGUUAUCAUUGUGUCGAAACCGUUCGGCUCCACCAAGUUCUUCUUUGAUUUCAGCAGGUGUUUUGAAUUGGAAACGGUGGCCGCCAACAUCUUUCAUUGAAUGGAUAUCAGUGAAACGUCUUGAGCUUUCUAAUGGUGGUUUGUCUGAUCGCGCAACUAACUGUGUUGAUUUUAGGGGUUUGUCCGCUCUAGAGCAUUUGGAUCUAGAUGGAAACAAAUUCUCUAGCCUUCCUUCUGGGCUCGGCUUCCUUCCCAAGCUAAGGUGGUUGUCUGUUCAGGCAUGCAAAUAUCUUGUAUCAAUCCCAGAUCUUCCCUCAAGUUUAGACUUUUUGUUUGCAGCUCAUUGCAAAUCAUUGAAAAGAGUAAGAAUACCAAGCGAGCCAAAAAAAGAACUAUAUAUAGGACUAGAGAACAGUCAUUCGUUAGAAGAGAUUCAGGGCAUCGAAGGUCUAAGUAAUAGUUUCUGGUAUAUUCGUGUUGAUAAGCACAAUAAUUCACCAAAUAAAUUACCGAAAAACGUUAUUGAGGUACUAUUUCUUUCAGUCUCUCUUGCACAAAAAGUAAACACACAAUUAGCACAUGCAUCGAUAUUUAUUAUAUGUCAUCGAUAUUGAAUAAUGAUUUAUUUUCUAGCAUAAAUUAUGUUUGAAAUAAAAUUGAUAAAAAACAUGAAUACACAAUUAUUGAUGGGAUGGUAUAUAAAAAUAAUUAAAUUGAAAUUUUUUAAUUAUUUUUAAACAUAUCAUGGUUUUAGGUACAUCAUUAAAUUAUAAAAAAAAUUAUGUAUUUUUCUGAUAUAUAUAUAUAUAUAUAUAUAUAUAUAUAUAUAUAUGGCAAUAACAAAUUAAAUGAUUAUAACAAGAAAAUAGAAAUUAGUUUGAAUAAAUGUUACCAGUUCUAUUAAUUUGAACGGUACAUCAUUCACCGAAUAAAUUACAGAAGAGCGUUGUUGAGGUACUAUUUCUUUCCGUCUAUCUUUCACACAAAAAGAAACACACACAAUUGGCACAUACAUUGAUUAAUGUCUAAAAUCUCAGCAUUCCUUGAAAUCAAUAUGUAUAUAGGCAAUAAUUAUUAUUAUUAUUAUUAUAUUUAAAAAAACAAAUAUCAUCUUUAAUAAUAUUUUUUAUUUUUCUUAUUUGAUCUAAAAAAUUAAAUAUUAUCUUUAAUAAUAUUUUUUUAUUAAAUAUUUAAAGUCUGAUUGGUUUUAUUUUUUAUUUCUUGAUUUUAUGAUAAUAUAUUUAUACAGUUAAUGUGCAACGGUCGUCACGGGUAUUCUUUCUUUUGGGAUGUCGCCGGGAGUUUAAUUUCCGAGUGUAAAAAUUAUGUAUAAAUUUCUAUUCUUUCCUUUCAUCCAUUACUUGUCCUCUAUGAAGAUUCUAUGUAUGAAAUCUCGGAAUCUUUUCGAGUAUAACUUGGGAUCAACAGCUGAGAUAGACGUGGGAUCCACUUGUAAGGACUUUUAUGCAUGCUCUAGCUUUUUGCUGAUAUCAUAAUCCUGGAGGAUGUCAAUGAUACCAAAGUGAAGAACUACAUCGAAGAUCUCAUUACCAUUAUGUGAAGGUGUUGAAUUGUUACUUCCACCCCCCAUGCACUGAUCCAUUUCAGUAGUCCUCAUUACACUCUCGGCUCUUGCAGGCACAUUUGCCCCCAGCCGGAUGAAUGGCCCCCUGGAACAGAUUUCACAUGAGUACUACAGAUAAAAUCUAGACAUUGCAUCACAUAAUCACCAAAAUUCAAAGUAACAAAACGAAGAACAAAAUGUGAUAACAAUGACAAUGAUCACUCAACCACAGCCGAAUCUUACGCUUUGAAGACACUUUUCAUCAUUAAUUUUCCUUUUCACAUUGAUUUUCAAUGUUCCGGGCAGAUAAAAUAGCAUUGAUUUACAACCAUGGUUUUAAGGCAUCAUUAUUGGCAAAAACAUUGUAGGAUCAUGCACAUUUAACUAGUUGUUAAUUGAUUUUCAACCAGAUAAAAUAGCAUUGAUUUUCAAUGUUCCUUUAUCCUUGUAGUCUAAGAAAAUAUUAUUUAAUUCUUUUGUUUUCAUAUUCAUCUAUGAUUUAAUGUGUUGAUUGAAAUUGACAAUUGAGUUGUUAGUAAUAGCAAAAGGCAUGUACAAUCAUGCACAUUUAACUUUCUUUUUAAAUUUAAAAGUUCUAUUGAAUUUGAUGGUUUUUUAGGAUACAAAAGACUUGAAUUGACGUGAGAGUACAAGAUCAUUUUACGUGGAGAUGCUUGGAGUUGCUCCAAAUCAGUACAGUACUUCUACCUGACAUGUUGAUAUGUAUUUGUUGGCUUGAAGAUCAUUUUCCAAGUUUGGAAGUUUUAUUGAAUUCUCUUUCAAAUCUUUUCCAUCCGCUUUUAUGUUGGACAACCUAGUUGUUAAUUAUUUUCCAUGAUGUAAUUUAUAUUUUCAAGUGUUGAUCGAAAUUGACAACCUAGUUUUAUUUAAUUAAUGUGUUGAUUGAAAUUAAGAAUUAAAGGUUUAAUUAAAUGAAAUACAGCUUUAAAGAACACAUCAACUACAUUUCAUAUGCUCAACUCUCAGCAAAUUGAAAUUUCAAGGCUAUUUGAAUCUUGAAAACACAAUCUCAAUAAUCUUAAUGUGAUGAGUGAUUUCUUUUCUAUUUUUUUUUCUUUGGAUCAAAAGGGUCUUAUUGAAUUAUUAUUUGUUAGGUAACUAAGAUUUAUUGAUGUUAAAAAUAGCACUAAGUUUUUGGCAUGACAAUUGGUGAGAAGCAAAAGCAACAGCAAUCCAUCAGGUUCAUCACCAUCCUAUCGCUUUGCCGUACUGUUUAUCUUCUUGGCAUUGUUCAAAGGAACGCAAAAGACAUUCCAAGUGUGAAAGUGUGUGUGAAAGUGUAUUAUUGUCAUAAAGUUUUUCAAACUUCCAAUAUAGAGAGUGAAAUAAAGAGCAAAAGGAAACAUCUUUCUUGUUCCCUUCCCCUUCUUUACAUGGCUUACUCAAUGAAAAAGCAAUUAAACACCCCAUUUGAUUUUCAAUAAGUAUGAGAAUGCGAAAGAGAGAGGCCAAGGGGUUCCUUGAAUAUUUUCUUCUUUUUUAUCUCGCUCACUGGGGCAAACCAUCUUUUUCAAAAUUUUGAAUAUUAGCAUGCCAUCAAAAAGAAUUUUGUUCAAUCCCAAUCCCACAUUGUCUGUAGAAGUAUUUACUUUUGACUGUACACUUUGUUAUUUUCCAAUCCCUCCCCAGUUCUGCAACCAUUUCUCUACUUUCUAUGCUCUUGGCUUGCUAAAAACUUUUAUCCUUGAUUGUAGUUAGAAAUAAAUUGGUUUUCUAGGAAGAGAUUAUUGAUUGGGAUAUAAUAUUUAAGUUGGUUCUUCAUCAUUUAAUGUUAUAAUUUAAAAUAAUUGAUGAAAAUUACUGUACACAAAAAAGUUGUGAGAACAUCCUUAAUUAGUCUAAUAAGUAAAGUGUUGUUAGUUUUGACUAUAAGAUCUUGUUAUGUAUUAUUGCAUAGUUUUUACUAUUUUUUCGGUAUUUUUUCUUUUUUAUAUACAACUUUUAUUUUUCUUGCCAGUUUGUCAUGGCACCAACACCAAUUAAUAAUAAAUCUUAGACUAUUAUUAAAUAAAGAAAAAACAUAAACAUGGUUAAAAUACCAAACUUGAAUUGCUCAAACCUAAAGAAACCCUAUGACAAUAAUCUAAUUUAGAAAAUAAUUAAUUUAUCCUUGUAGUCCAAGAAAAUAGUAUUUAAUUCUUAUGUUUUCAUAUUCAUAUAUGAUUUAAUGUGUUGAUUGAAAUUGUCAAUGGAGUUUACUCACAUAUUGUUAUAUUGAUUUUGAGUUCAAAUAGAUGUUUAAAAAGAGAGUUUUUUCAUGAAUGCAACCCUUCAUGUAGUCCAAGAAAAUUAGAAGAAUUAAUAAGUUUGCGGACUUAAUUAAACUUUGAGUUAAUUAAUCAAAUAAAUUCAGGGAUUUAAUUAAAAUUAACCUAAGGGCACAAUUAGAAAUCAAUUAUUACUGAUUAGGAUCCCAAUUGUUGAGAUUAAAUUGAUUAGGGGUCAAAGUGAAUAUUUCCAUUCCUGUCGAAAUGACACCGUGGUUGGGGAACAGUCGUGUAUCUUCUUCAUUCCGAUUCAACAGGGAAGCUGGAAAAUCGGCAGUAAAACCGACCCAAUCGUGACCACGUUCUCUGCCCACAAUCCCGUUCGUGGAGGGAUAACAGUCCUGCAAAGCCAGGACUGGUUUGAGGGGCAAGCUCUUAGGGGCCUUAUAAAAGGCAGAGUAGAGCAGAAAAAGGGAGGGGAAGAACACCGGGAAAAGACCAGAGAGCCGAAAAAUCAACCCAGAAAAACAGAGUUGAAAAAAAAAAGGGCAGAGAAAACAGAGCACAAAUCCAAAUACAGAGAGAAAGAGAGAACAAGAGGGCAGGACACAGUGAGGAGAAUUAUCCUUGAAAUUGUCUUCGGACCUGCAAACAAAGAAAAACCCGGAUUCAGCCAAAGAACACUCACAACAAGCCGGAAUCUUCUUUGUAGCUGUCACACCCGGACAUCGCGGCGACCAAUUAAAAAUUAUUAAAUCUUUGGAAAAGAACGGAUUUCUGGCAUCCUGUUCUUUAAUGGGGAAUGGUCUUUGUUUAAGGAGUCGCCACCUAGUAUUAUGGUCACUAGGAACACUAACUGGUCAACAGAGAUUCUAUGGUUCGAGACUGGUUACGUAAAAGGGAAGAUAUUAUCACCCCUUAAACGUCCUGCCUAAGGCAGGCUGCAUUGCUAGUUUCGUCUUAAAUUGCUAAAUGUUUAUUACUUUAUGCUAUGAAAAUUUGCUUAUAAUAUUCCUGACUCUGGCGCCAGUGAAUAUUCAACUAUGAAUAUUUCCAACUCUGGCGUUGGUAAAUAUUACGUAGCUAUAAAAUAAAUUAGAUCAAUAUUUUAUUUUAUUCCCGACUCUGGCGCCAGUGAAUAAAUAAAUAAUAAUAAAUUUAUUUUUUACAAAUGCAAAUAUUUUUUAUAUUUCUAGCUAAAUAAAAUAAAAUACAAUGAAUAAAAAUAAUAUAAAUUUAAACCGGUAUUUUUAUUCCUGACUCUGACGUCAGUGAAUAAACCAAUAAAUUUACAUUAUUUUUAUUCAUGCAUACACAUUUUUAUUUUUUUAUUUUUUCUGUUUUUUUAUAUAUGUUUAUUUUUUUUUUUUUAAAGGACUAAGCUUCACACGUGUAUGCAAAAGUAGUGAAUUAAAUUUGCCUAUGUACAGUACCCAUGCCCGACACCCCACGUGAAUAAAAAAAAAAAGAAAAAAAAAAAAAAGAAUUGCAAAGCAAAGGGAAAUGAAGAACUUACCUGUGCAGGAGGCGAAGUCGAAGACGGUGGCGAAGGUGUGCUGAAUUGCCAAAGCUACCUUCUCUCCUUCUCUGUUUUUAUUCUUCGUCCGCUUCUCCUCUGGUUUUGCUUUUCUUUGCUUUGAUUGCUUCUCUUAUUCUUCCUGUCUCCCCCCUGUGUUUGCUUGUUCUCAGUUCGCUUGUGUUUUCUUUUUUAUAUGUUGUUCAGGGAAUGGAGGAGCUGGUGUAAGUGGAGACAAAGCAGCUGAUGCCUGAGAGGGCGUUGUACUGCUGCUGGAGCUGGAAGAGGCGCGCGUUGCUGGUUGCUGAUGCAUGCUCACGAUGCAUGGAAGUGGCUGAGUUGCUACUAAUCUUGACGAUACUGGUUUCGUCCGCUGUAAAAGUUUUCGUGCCCCUGCAUCCGAUCAAAGCUUGUGCUUUUCCAAGCAAAAGCCAUGGUCCCUUGAAACUCAGCAGAUUUUCGGAGCAAGGAGGAUCGCAUGCCAAUGUAGUUCAUGGUUCUGGUUUAGAGGCAGACGUGGCGGAGAUUAAUGGUGAUUGGGACCACAGCCUAGAAGGUGACCGGGAGGAAGAUGAUCUCAAGCCUUUAUUUGCUUUUUUUUUUUUUGUGAGGAGUUUGCAGAUCCCGGGGGUUGAGAAUGAAGAAUGAAAAAUCAAUUUGAUGGGGAAGAGAUUGAGGCCAGGCAAGAAGGGAGGAAAAGGCUGGGGGGAGGGGGAAGCGACGGCUAGUCUAGGACUCGGCCGCGCCCUCCUUUUUUUUUUUAAAUGUCUUUUGUUUCUUUUCUUUUUUUAUAGGUUUUUGGUAAUGGUCUUCUCUUGGGUUUUUUUUUUUGUGUCGUUUAGGGUUCCUCUCUAAUCAUCCCCUCUCCUUUUCUUUCCCCUGAGAUCUGUAUUUAUAGUGCCAGAGUCCCUUCGCUUGUGAGAAACCAAGUUUCAAUCAAACUCAUUCUUUUUUUUGAAGUUUGAAUUUUAUUAAGAAUCAAAUUUGAAAGCGGAUAACUAUCAUUAUCUUAAAGACAAGGAUUAUCUCGAAGAUAAAGAUUAUCUUGAAGAUAGGGAUUAUCUUGAAGAUAAAGAUAGAAUGAUAAAAGCACAUUGUAGUCCUUAAUUUUCACGGAAGUUGACAAAUCACACUUUUCAUUGAAAUAAAUCUCUGAUCUUUUAAUUUUUCAUUUUAAACCCUGUAAAAAUUAAAUUAAAAAUCAAAGGGCCAAAAUUGGGUUAUGACAGUAGCUUUAGAAGUUACAGAGAAAUCAAGAAGGAAAGCACAGACAAGUGGUCACAGAAGGAAAACCAGAGGAGCAUUAGGCGAGAAUCAUCAAGCAGCGCUGCAAGCAUCUUCGGUCUCCAGAAGCAGGUAUGACUUCGUCCCCUUUGCAUCUUCAUUUCAAAAAGUGAUUCUGUGUUACAAGAACACUGUGUGAAGGUAAUUUAAUUACCUUCACUAGUGUUCGGGCACGCGUGAACAAGUCACGCGUGCCUUUAGUUUUUGCCCAGCCGGGUCACUGGCUUGGGCCAGUGACCGGGCUGGGCUGGCUAGGCCCAGCCCAGCCCCAAAAUUUUUUUGCUGGGCUGGGCCCACCCCACCCAGUUCAAAAAAUAAUAAAAAUAAAAAAUAUGUAUGUAUAGAUAAAAAAUAAUGUAAAUUUAUUGGUUUAUUCACUGACGCCAGAGUCAGGAAUAAAAUACCAGUUUAAAUUUAUAUUAUUUUUAUUCGUUGUAUUUUAUUUUAUUUAGAUGAAUAAAAAUAAUGUAAAUUUAUUGGUUUAUUCACUGACGCCAGAGUCAGGAAUAAAAAUACCGGUUUAAAUUUAUAUUUUUUUUUAUUUGUUGUAUUUUAUUUUAUUUAGCUAGAAAAAAAUCAAAAAAAAUGUGCAUGCGUAAAAAAUAAAUUUAUUUUUGUUUAUUUAUCACUAGCACUAGAGUCAGGAAAAUAAAAAAAUAUUAAUCUAAUUUAUUUUAUAGCUACGUGAUAUUUACCAACGCCAGAGUUAGAAGUAUCCGUAGUUUAAUAUUCACUGGCGCCAGAGUCGGGAAUAUUAUAAGUAAAUUAUCAUAUCGUAAACUAAUAAACAUUUAGCAAUUCAAGACGAAACUAGCAAUGCAGCCUGCCUCAGACAGGACGUUUAAGGGGUGAUAAUAUCUUCCCUUUUACGUAACCAGUCCCGAACCAUAGAAUCUCUGUUGACCAGUUAGGGUUCCUAGUGACCAUAAUACUAGGUGGCGACUCCUUAAACAAAAAUCAUUCACCAUCAAAGAAUAGGAUGCUAGAAAUCCAUUCUUUUCUAAUUUUAAUUUUUUAAGACCGCCGCGAUGUCGGGUGUGACAAGGAGUGAUUUCUUUUCUAUUAUUUUUUUUCUUUGGAUCAAAAGGGUCUUAUUGAAUUAUUAUUUGUUAGGUAACUAAGAUUUGUUGAUGUGAAAAAUUUGGCAUGGCCAUCGGUGAGAAUCAAAAGCAGCAGCAAUCCAUCUGUGAAGCCGUACACCACAUCAGGGCCCCAACAUUUAGACUUUUGAUGGCAACCAAAGCUAAAUUUAAAAACAGGACCAUCUGAGAAGCCGGCAUACAACAACAGGUCAAAGAUCCAAUUUCCAAAAAUAAACCAUGUAUCAUGUAGUUUAACAUCUCUAAGCAUGAUUUUUGCAAUAAUCAUCUAUGCUUUACCAUUCAUAUCUUUCACCACAGUUCUCUGUCACCACUUCACAUGCACACAUUCCAAAAAAGAGAUAGCAUGGAAAAAUGUCUUUGCUUGCCGUAAAAAAUACAAGGGCUAAAACCUAACAUAAGGAAAAUAGAUUGGGAAAAGGAAAGCAGAACCAAAGCAAGGCACUAACAAUUAGGAGGGGCAAAAACAUGAAUUCUGAAAAGGAAAAUACAUUCCGGCCUUCCAUGACCCAAUCCAUAUUGGGCAGCAAAUGAUAACCCCGCAUCGAUGUUUCCUCGUGAUGUGAAUUUCUUUUUUCUGAUACAGAAACACAAAACCAAAUUACCUCAAGGUCUAUUGUUGUUGUAAAUUUUUAAGGUAGCAGAAUUACAGGAUAAAAGUAAUUUACCAAAAUGCUUAUGGAUAAUUGGCUCUUCCAUCCAGCAUUAAUUCUAUUAUCAAUUAUAGUUCAGUCACUGGUUGUAGAUAAAUUUUUUUAAGAUAUUAUCAAGUUUUAUUUUUAUCAUUAAAAUUUAGAAUUAAUUCUAUUACGUAUUUAAAUGUGUUUAGUUACCUUGUAAACCGUAUGGUAGAGUCCCUCAAAUAUUCUGGCCACAGCAAAUUGUAUGGGGCUUGCAACCACUAUAUUUUAUGCCAAGCUAAUAAUAUUUUUUUUUCUAAAUUAAAGAUUAAUAUUUUUUGUUCGCAUCAAAUAAUUAAAAAUGAGAAUUUCAGAGCAGAGGGUUUAAGAAAUAUUAAAAGAGAAGGUUUUACGUAAUUAUUAUAUAAUUGAAAUUGUCACUAAUCUCCUUUGUUCAUUUUCUUUUUCUAUUACCCCUUCCAAUCAGCAUGCACGAAACUUUAUGUCACUCAAAUGAUACAAAUGCUUUCACCGUUUUAUGCUGAUUGUUUAUUAUUAUUUUUUUUUUUUUAAUGAAAGUGAUUGUUCAGGCCAGUUUAUAUGUAUUUUGAAGUUAACGAUCAUAUAAACUUCCAGUGACCUUGAAGUUUGUAGGACUCGAACUGAUAAUUUCUAAAAAGUAAACUUAAAGUCUAAUUAGUUGAGUUAUACCUUUCAGAAUUACAAAAUUACAUUGCUUGUUAAAUUAAUAAAGUUAUUAGUUGCUAUAAAGUAAGAGAUAAGAAAGUAUCUAGGAAUAUGGUAAAUAUUGUGUUUUAAAAUAUAUUAAAAUAAUAUUUUUUUAUUUUUAAAAUUUAUUUUUAAUAUUAUUACAUCAAAACUAUAUAAAAUUUUUUUCAGAAUAUCAAUUCAACCGUACUCCAAAGAACACUCAUACUCCAAUAUCAGCAACCACCACGAAAGUUACCACUCAAUAAUUUAUUCUUUGACAAUUAUUGCAUUGCUAAUAAUUUGCAAGGAAACAUACUUUCUAACCGAUACUCAAUCGAUCUGCACCUACCACGAAAUUACCAAUAAGAGUCUGUUUGAUAUUUUUCCAACUUUUACUAUUUUACUUCAAAGUUUCAAUAAUUGUUUUUUCAUUACAUAUUCUUUCCAACGUGUAAUAAUUUGGAACCACUCGCAAUAAAUAAAGCCAGCAAAGCCAGAUGUGUUUGUCUAUAUAUACAUGAACUGCUGAUUCGAUUUGAACACCCCAUUUCUCCGAUUCAAUAACUUCAGUUGCAAAACUUCUCUCUCCGAUUGCUGCAAUUUCAAAGCUAACUCUUUAUUAUACAGAGGUAUAUAUGGCUAACUCUUCUUUGCUUCUUUCUCGUUUUAAUUUCAUGUCUUUACCAAGAAUAAUAAUGUGAAAGCUUUGCUUGUUUCAUGUUUAACUUCAGUUGCUAUUGUCUUAUGCUCUCUCAUUAUUAAGCUUAAAUUGCUGUAUUAUCUUCGAUGAUCACUUCACAUGUAUCAGCAAUUGCUAAUUGAUUGUUCCUUAAAUUCUGCAGCUGAAAUGACAGAGCCACAGUCUUCUCAUUCUAGACCAGAAGGGGCCUAUGAUGUCUUCCUGAGUUUUAGAGGAGAAGAUACCCGCAAGACAUUUGUAGAUCAUCUAUAUACUGCCUUAGUCCAAGCAGGAAUCCACACUUUUCGAGAUGAUGAUGAACUUCCUAGAGGAGAAGAAAUCUCCGAGCAUCUUCUCGAGGCAAUUCGAGAAUCAAAGAUAUCCAUAGUUGUCUUCUCAAAAGGAUAUGCUUCUUCUAGAUGGUGUCUCAAUGAACUUGUAGAGAUUCUGAAGUGCAAAAGGAAGAAAACCGGUCAGAUUGUUCUUCCUAUAUUCUAUGACAUUGAUCCUUCAGAUGUGAGAAAACAGACUGGCAGUUUUGCAGAGGCAUUUGAUAAGCAUGAAGAAGAGCGUUUUGAAGAGAAGUUGGUGAAGGAGUGGAGAAAAGCUCUUGAGGAUGCCGGAAACCUAUCUGGAUGGAGUCUCAAUGAUAUGGCAAAUGGGUAUUCCUUCUCUCUCUAAGAUUCACUUGCACACGUUUAUGGAGUAAUUUUACAUUACAUUUUUCAAUGUGAAGUAAUAAAAUAUUUCUUUUUAACAUACUUAAUUGACUUUCUAUCGAUGACUUGCCUUUUUUCUGUGAGCAGGCAUGAAGCAAAAUUUAUCAAAGGGAUAAUCAAGGAUGUGUUGAAUAAAUUACGUCGCGAGUGCUUAUAUGUUCCUGAGCACCUGGUAGGUAUGGAUCUUGCUCACGAUAUUUAUGACUUUCUAAGUACUGCAACAGAUGAUGUACGCAUUGUGGGCAUACAUGGGAUGCCAGGAAUAGGAAAGACAACUAUAGCAAAAGUUGUAUUUAAUCAACUCUGCAAUGGACUCGAUGGAAGCUGUUUUCUUUCGGAUAUCAAUGAAACAUCAAAACAAUUCAAUGGUCUGGCUCUUUUACAAAAGCAACUUCUUCAUGAUAUUUUAAAACAAGAUGUUGCUAACAUCAAUUGUGUCGAUAGAGGAAAGGUUAUGAUCAAAGAUCGACUUUGUCGCAAAAGAGUUCUUGUUGUUGCCGACGAUGUGGCUCAUCUGGACCAGCUAAAUGCUUUGAUGGGAGAGCGAAGUUGGUUUGGUCCCGGAAGUAGAGUAAUUAUUACAACAAGAGAUUCAAGUUUACUUCGUAAAGCAGAUCUAACAUAUGAGAUUGAAGAAUUGGAACCAGACGAGUCCCUUCAGCUUUUCAGCUGGCAUGCCUUUAAGGACACCAAGCCAGCAGAAGAUUAUAUUGAGCUUUCGAAGAAAGCUGUUGAUUUCUGUGGAGGACUUCCUUUAGCUCUUCAGGUUAUAGGAGCUCUUCUGUACAGGGAAAACAAUGAUAAAUGGGAAGGUGAAAUUGACAACUUGAGCAGAAUUCCAAACCAAGAUAUUCAAGGAAAGCUUCUAAUAAGUUUUGACGCACUUGAUGGUGAACUACAAAAUGCAUUCCUUGAUAUUGCAUUCUUCUUUAUUGGUAAAGAGAAAGAAUACGUCGCAAAAUUGCUAGGAGCCUGUUGCCGUUACAAUCCAGAAGUUUUGGAGAAACUCCGUGAAAGGUCUCUGAUUGAAAUAUUGGAAGAGACGGUAACCAUGCAUGAUCUAUUACGAGAGAUGGGAAGGGAGGUCGUUUUUAAAGCAAAAGGAUGCAUGGAAUGUACUUCAGAAAAACAUUAUGGAAUGUACUUCAGCAGCAGAAGGUACGAGCUCAAUGCAUACACAUAGCCAUGCGUAUUUUCUAGUCAAACUUAUUACAAAUAAUCAUAUAAAAGUUUUAUUGUUUUUUUUUUUCAGGGUACGGAUGUUGUAGAGGGUCUUGCACUGGAUAUGAGAGCAUCAGAAGCUAAAUCACUAAGCACAGUAUCAUUUGCAAAAAUGAAACGUUUAAAUUUACUCCAAAUCAAUGGAGCACAUCUCACCGGAUCCUUCAAACUGCUUUCUAAAGAGUUGAUGUGGAUUUGUUGGCAUGAAUGUCCUUUGAAAUAUUUGCCAUCUGAUUUUACCUUGGACAAUCUAGCUGUUCUUCAUAUGCAGUACAGUAACCUCAAAGAACUAUGGAAGGGAAAAAAGGUACGAAACAUUUUACAAUCCCCAACAUUUCUCCAGUAUGUAAUUUAUAUUUACAUGUUAUGACUUUCUAUGAUUAAUUUUCAUUAUUUUUCUCUCUAUUAUAACAGAUUCUUGACAAGCUUAAAAUCCUUAAUCUCAAUCAUUCUCAGAACCUUAUUAAAACACCAGACUUGCAUAGUUCAAGUCUAGAGAAACUAAUUCUGAAAGGUUGCUUGAGUUUAGUUGAGGUGCAUCAAUCAAUUGAAAAUUUGACGAGCCUCGUUUUCUUGAAUAUGAAGGGAUGUUGGAGGCUGAAGAAUCUCCCUGAAAGCAUUGGCAAUCUAAAGUCUCUUGAAACUCUGAAUAUUUCUGGGUGUUCACAACUUGAGAAAUUGCCAGAACGCAUGGGUGAUAUGGAAUCCUUAACUGAGUUGCUAGCCAAUGGGAUUGAAAAUGAGCAAUUUCUCUCUUCAAUUGGACAAUUAAAGCAUGUCAGAAGGUUAUCAUUGUGUGGAUACAGUUCGGCUCCACCAAGUUGUUCUUUGAUUUUAGCAGGUGCUUCGAAUUUGAAACGGUUGCUGCCAACAUCUUUCACUGAAUGGAUAUCAGUGAAACGUCUCGAGCUUUUUAAUGGUGGUUUGACUGAUCGCGCAACUAACUGUGUUGAUUUUAGUGGUUUGUCUGCUCUAGAAUUUUUGGAUCUAAGAGGAAACAAAUUCUCUAGCGUGCCUUCUGGGAUCGGCUUCCUUCCCAAGCUAGAUGUCUUGUUUCUUCACGGAUGCGAACAUAUUGUAUCAAUCCUAGAUCUUCCCUCAAGUUUAAGUUGUUUCAGUGCACCUUAUUGCAAAUCAUUGGAAAGAGUAAGAUUACCAAUCGAGCCAAAAAAAAAUCUAUAUAUAAAUCUACAGGAAAGUCAUUCGUUAGAAAAGAUUCAGGGCAUUGAAGAUCUAAGUAAUGGUGGCUGGAUAAUGUGGGUUGAUGACAGCAGUCAUUCACCAAAUAAAUUAUCGAAAAAUGUUUUUGAGGUACUAUUUCUUUAAGUUUCUCUUUCGCACAAAAAUAAACACACACAAUUGGCACAUACAUUGGUUAAUGUCUAAAUUCGCAACAUUUCUUAAAAUCAAUAUGUAUACAGGCAAUAAUCAUUAUUAUUAUUAUUAUUAUUAUUAUUAUUAUAUUUUAGAAAAUAAAUAUCAUCUCUAAUAAUAUUUUUUAUUUUUCUUAUUUAAUCUAAAAAAUUAAAUAUUAUAUUUAAUAAUAUUUUUUAUUAAAUAUUUAAAGUCUGAUUGGUUUUAUUUUUUAUUUCUUGAUUUUAUGAUAAUAUAUUUGUACAGACAAUGUUUAACGGUCGUCACCGGUAUUCCUGGUAAGAUGCCAAACUGGUUGAGCUACAGGGGAGAAGGAUGCUCAUUGUCAUUCCAUAUACCUCCAGUCUUCCAAGGCUUAGUUCUUUGGUUUGUCUGUCCAUAUACCUCAUUGCUCCUUCUCACCAUAUGCUGUAAAGAAAUAAUUCUUAGAUGGUCAUCAUAAGUAGGAUGAAUUACAUCUUAAAACUCCAUCACCGAAACAACGUGGCAAAAAUAAUCAAAGGAAAAGGUGGAUGAAUUGUUUCACGUGUCAAAAUAGAUUUAUACCAUGAUUUUGAAUUCAAGUGCUAAUUGAUAUUCAGCUUAGGUGAUAUCAUGUGAAGCAAUUAAUUCGUCCACUUUUUGUUAUGCAGAUCUUUCUCUCUCCAAAUCCAAUCUUACUAAAUAUAUAUAUAUAUAUAUAGUAAUUAGGAGAUCAAAUCUUAUCCUCUCAAUACUUAUCAUUCAACUAAUUAAUAACUUUAUUUAGCAUAAAUCCAUUAAUAAACUCACGAAAAGAACCUAACAUCCUCCUGAAUUCCUUAGCCGACACUCUCGUACACUGCUGAAUCAUUGAAAAAAUCAGUAGAAGAUCUGAAGUUAGCAUCUAUAACAGUGCCUUAGAAUUUAGAAAGAGAAAGGUUUUUUCUUUACUAUAUAUUCCAUUAUAUAAAGCAACUAAAAAAAGGUGGGUGUUAACUAUACAUUCCAAUGUUCAUCCUCUCACAAAAGUUUAUUUCUCCUUUAGGAAGUCCUUGAAAUUUUUAUUGUUUUAUAAUUUGGUUGCUGAACUUUUUUUCUUUUUCAAUUAGUCCUUUCAAGUCGCAUUAUUAUUAUUAGGAUAAGAAAUAAAAGCAAUGGUAUUCAAUUGUUUGAAUGUAAACGAAUAUCACCAAAAACUGAGGGAUGGAUAAGAUACAUAAGUAGAAGUGAAAUGGCAAUGGAAGAUUACUGUGGAGAUGACGAAUUGGAACUAUACAUUUCUUCAGUGCCAACAGUGGAUAAGAUAUAUUAAAUAUUUAAGGCUUUUCGGUAAGAAUACAUAUUUUCUUUAGUUAUUUAUAUUUUAUUCUAUUUAAUUUAAGAGAUUAAAUAUCAUCUUUAAUUAUUUUAUUUUUCUUAUUUAAUCUAAUAAAUUAAAUAUUAUCUUUAAUAAUAGUUUUUAUUAAAUAAUUAGAGUCUGAUUGGUUUUAUUUUUACUUCUCGAUUUUAUGAUAAAAUGUUUCUUAAUUAAUUUAAAAAAUAAAUAUUAUCUUUAAUAAUUAGAUCUAUUGAAUAUCACUUAAAAAAUAAAUUGUAACUUUAAUAAUUAUUUUUUGAAAAACAAAAAGCCAACAAUCACUAACAUAUUUAUUAAAAUCACUUUAGUUUAUUUAGAAAAUAUUGAAAAUUGAUUUUUGUUUUUUUACAUUAAAAUAAAAAAAUUGAAUAAUGUUUUUAUAUUUUAUUUCAAACUCGAUAUUUUAAAACAAAAAUGAAAAAGAUGUGAUAUUAACCUUUUUUUAUUAUAAAGUAAGUUUUUUAAUUAAAAGUAAUAGGAAUUUGUUCGUAAUAACAAAAUGCAUGUACAAUCAUGCGCAUUUAACUUUCUUUUCAAAUUUGAAAGUUCUAAUGAAUUUGAUGGUUUUUUAGGGUGCAAAAGACUUUGAUUGACGUGAGAGUACAAGAUCAUUUUUCAUAGAGAUACUUGAAGUUGCUCCAAAUCAGUACGAUACUUCCAUCUGACAUAUUGAUAUGUAUUUGUUGGCUUGAAGAUCAUUUUCCAAGCUUGGAAGUUUUAUAAAUUGAGCGCUCUUUGUAAUCUUUUCCAUGAUGUAAUUUAUAUUUUCAAGUUACAAAUUUUGAUGAAUAUUGUUUCAUUUUUUUCCUCACUUCAAAAGAUGAAAAUCCUUGAUUGUAGUUAGAAAUAAAUUGGUUUUCUAGGAAGAGAUUAUUGAUUGGGAUAUAAUAUUUAAGUUGUUUCUUCAUCAUUUAAUGUUAUAAUUUAAAAUAAUUAAUAAAAAUUAUUGUACACAAAAAAGUUCUGAGAACAUUCUUAAUUAGUGUAAUAAGUAAAGUGUUGUUAGUUUUGACUAUAAAAUCUUGUUAUGUAUUAUUGCAUAGUUUUUACUAUUUUUUUAGCAUUUUUUCUUUUCUAUAUACAACUUUUAUUUUUCUUGUCAGUUUGUCAUCAGCAUCAACACCAAUUAAUAAUAAAUUUGAUACUAUUAUUAAACAAAGAAAAAACAUAAACAUUGUUAAAACACCAAACUUGCAUUGCUCAAACCUAAAAAAACCUAUGACAAUAAUCUAAUUUAGAAAACAAUUAAUUUAACCUUGUAAUCUUAGAAAAUAGUAUUUAAUCCUUAUGUUUUCGUAUUCAUCUAUGAUUUAAUGUGUUGAUUGAAAUUGGCAAGUGAGUUUACUCACAUAUUGUUAUAUUGGGUUUGAGUUCAAAUAGACGUUUAAAAAAGGGAGUUUUUCAUGAAUGCAACCCUUCAUGUAUUCAAUAUGAAUGAUGGGAGAUUUUAAUGUCUUGUAAAUGCAUUCAUUUAUAUAUGGAUGAUUUUGCUAAGAAUUGGUUGGUUAAAAACUUAAUUUCGUUAUAUAAAAACUGAAGAGAUAACAAUAAAUAGCUAAUAAUUGAUGUGAUAAAAAUGAUUUAUAUGCGUGUAUAAGCUAAUUCAAAUGAAGAUUAAAAUAAAAAAGACAAAAAGAAAAAGAAAAAGGAAAGACUCGUUAAGAUUUUAUGUUAGUGUUCAACAUAUUUUUUCUUAUUUUAUUUUUUUAAUUGGAUUACCUUUGUCUUUCAUGUCAAGUAAAAUUCUGGUAUAUAACACUAAAUUAAAAAAAAUAAGAGGUGAAGUAAAGGUCUAACUAAAUGAAAUACAAGUACAAAGACUACAUCAAAUACAUUUCAUAUACUCAACUCUUAGGAAAUUGACAUUUCAAGGCUAUUCGUAUCUUGAAAACAUAAUCUCAAUUUCAAGGCUAUUAUUAUUUUUUUCUUUGGAUCAAAAGGGUCUUAAUUGAAUUAUUAUUUGUUAGGUAACUAAGAUUUGUUGAUGUGGAAAAUAGCACUAAGGAACACAAAAACAGCAGCAAUCCAUCAAGAUCAUCACCAUCCUAUCGCUUUGCCGUAUUGUUUAUCUUCUUGGCAUUGUUUAAAGGAACGCAAAAAGACAUUCCAAGCGUGAAAGUGUAUUAUUGUAAUAAAUUUUUCAAACUUCCAAUAUAGAGAGUGAAAUAAAGAGCAAGAGCAAAAGGAAACAUCUUUCUUGUUCCCUUCCCCUUCUUUACAUGGCUUACUCAAUGAAAAAGCAAACACCCCAUUUGAUUUUCAAUCAGUAUGAGAGUGAGAAUUAAAGAGAGAGGCUGUCACAGUGUCAAAUGUGCACGAGGUGCACGCUUCGGCAGGCUGGCCAAAACAAGGCCUGAGGGUGCUGGCAGCCAUGCCAUCAGUGGGAGAAAUCGUCAGCGCAGAUUUAUGCGGCUGUAGGUUCGUCAAAGGGAAAAUCAGCAGCGCAGAUUGUUGACGAACAUGGGCUGGACGAGGGACUGUCCAAGCCUCGUCAGGAGGAUAGGCUGACGAGAAUUGGGGCUAUCGCAGAAUUCAGCAGCGUAGACAGGGGCAGCCUGCACGCAGAUGCGAAUUCGGCAGCGCAGAGAUUGGCAGCACGCAUAUGCGAAUUCGGCAGCGCAUUGGCAGCCUGCCCGCAGAUGCGGAUUCGGCAGCGCGCAACAACUUGUGCAAGUCAGGGGCUCGACUUGGCACGAUCUAAAACUUGGGCGAAGGAUUGUCCAAGGCAUGGGUAAAAGAGCUCUAGGCGCUGGGACGCGCCAGCGAAGGCACACUGCCUAGAAUUCGGCAGCGAUGGAUCGCGGCAGCCUUGCAUAGGCAGAGAUGAAUUCGGCAGGCAGCAUGCAAUGGUCUAUGCGAGUCUUUGAGCUUGCGACUUGGCAUGGACGUGGGGGCUUAGAUGAUGGACCUUCUAAGUCAGCAGCUGACGCAGCAGAAGCUGGCAGCUGGGGCUGCCAAGUAGACAGCCAAGAAAUGGGGGAAGUGGCAGCUUCAUGGGAGGCAGAACGUGGGAGCAUAACUGGGGUGCUUUCCAGGCCACUAUGUCCUGAAAACAUGGGAUCAUGGGUGAGAGGUAGUGCUCCACCAUGUCCUGAAAACAUGGGAUCAUGGGAGAAAGGUAGUGCUCCACUAGGUCCCGAAAAUGGGGGAUAAUGGGGAGGAGCCUUUGCAGCUCCUUUGCUUGUCUAUAAAUACAAGAUGUAGCUCUUGGUUGUGAGGGAGCAUUCGGGUGGGAAUGUUCAGAUGUAAGGGCAUUCGGUUGGGAUUGUCCAGCAUGUAGGGGCAUGCAAGAACAUGUGUAGAACACUAGUUAGAGGUAGCUUAGUGUAGCAUGCAAUCUUUGUGCAUAGCACACAUACGGAUUUGUGUAUAGUUUCCUUUGUGUAUGAGAUUAAUAAAGGUUGGGAAAGAGUUCCUGUAAAGCUUGUUGUGCACUAUGAUUCUUAUCCUUGCUUGUGUAUUCUGCUUGCUUAGUUAUUAGGCAAACACGAGUGAGAUUGGUGAGGGAAGGCUGAGUCUAGUGAGGGACUAGGCUGCCGCACGGGUUUAUUCGCGUAGCGAAAAAUACCCCCGUGACAGUUGGUAUCAGAGCGCGGUUGCUUUCGUGGCAGGAUGACGAGAAGAAUUCUGCGGCCAAAUCAACGGACUGAUUUGGGAGAGCUACUGCUUCUGCCGAUGGAGAAGCAGAUUUCAGCGCAAUGAUCAGCGACGAGAAUGCUGGUGUUUCUCGGGACAAAUCGAAGGGACUGAUUUGGGAGAAACAUUGCUGCUGCCGAUGGACUGGCAGAAACUUUGGAGCAAGAGCGCAAUAUGCGUUCAUGACGAAACGAUGGGCUGUUUCGUAGCACAGACGAUGGGCUGUUCUGUGGGGGCAGAUCGAAGGGCUGAUUUGUUCCAAGCCAUUUGAGGGAAAAACUUGCUAGCGUUUUGGGCAGUGUUGGUGUUCAAAAGGCCUGCGGAGUUUUAGGGGUUUAACUACUCCAUGGGCGAUGCAAAGUGACGACGAAGGGAUCAGCUCAAGAUGGGUGCUGAUUCGGCCAUUGAAACUGUCAGGUGGACUGGCAGGCUUGAGAGUAGGGGCCAGCGGAGGGGCUGCUGGGCGCUUCUGUAUUUUCGUCAAAGCCUUGAGGGAAGGAUGGGGCGAGACAGAAGAAGAAGCAAGUCAAUGUGGAGAGCCUAAACUUGUUGCUGCUGAUGAUGGACAGUCAGACGAGAAGGCAAAUCGGUAAGGGUUCGAAACUGAAACUUGCAUUGUUGUUCUCUUGCGAUGGAAAUUACUUUGUGCGAGAUUGUUGCCCAAAGGAGGGGAAACCUUGAUGUUGUCAUUGUGGAAGAUGGUGUUUGAGAUUAGGCAUACGUAAACCUUAUACGUUUGCUAGAUGACCGAGAUGGAAUUCAGUCAUCAUGAGCCAGCAUAUCGGAGUGGAUGCGGUCUGGCCUUGCUUGCUGCCUUGGUGGCAGAACUUAGGGAUUGUUGUGCAUCUCAAGGAAGGAAUGUUCAGGGAGAUGAAUGUUCAGGGAGGUGGAAGCAAAAUCCAGAGACCAAGUUGAGGACAGACGAAUCUAUGAGGAUUUGUUGUGGCUUUGCUGCCUUUGUGGAGGCAGAAUUGAUGUCUUCGGUGGAGACCUUGAUGAUGGACAGUUCAGGGUGAAGAAGACAGAACAGUGGCUGAGAUAGACUUUAGUCACGUUGAGACCAGGAUUGGAGGCAUUAAAGAGGAGGCAGUACCGUGGGGGUGUGUCUCAAGGAGUCUGCACGUUGUCGAGGGACAGACUGGGUGACAGAUUCGGCAGCCGAUCCAGUGGGCUUGGCGUGGAAGCCAAAAUCUUCGAUGAAGAUGAUUUUGUGUAUUGUCUUGGAAUCAGUACGAGUGGCUAUUCUGUGCAUUGUGAUGGUUGGCAGUGAUGGAAGCAGAAUGGUAAUGACCUUGUUGGGACAAAGUGUUGCGAGUUUUCGGUUGACGAAACAUGCAGCGAAGGUUGAAAACAGUAGGGGCUGUUUUGCGUCAGCGAAAUCUUGUGUGAUGGACGAAGUUCUAGCGCAUGACAGUAGCGCAUGGGGGAACCAGGUCAGACGAAACUUGAUACUGGGAUGCUAUGUAUUGGUGCUAUGGCAGGUUACAGAUGGACUUAGAGGGACUUGCCGAAAGACUUCGACAUGAGAUGGAGUUGAUCAACGAAACUGAGUCGGUGCUAGGUUCAACAGCACUGUCUCAUUCUUAUUUCUUGCAGGUGGAGAACCUAAAAGGGCUGACGGCAAUGGGAAGUCAGAAGCCAAGGGCAAGGAAAAGGUUUCGGAAUCAUGUUUGGGCUGUUUUAUUUGUGAGGGGAAGCACUUCACAAGGGACUGCCCGUUAAGAGCACAGUUUAGUGCUACUUCCGUGGAGAAGAAUGGAGAAGGAACGGCAUACGUAAAUCCUAUACGUGUGCUAAACACUAAGUAAAGAGUUAGUGUGAAGGGGCCAGCACAGUUGAUGAAGACUUAGGCGUGGCCGAACUGCCUUGUGCGAGGCAGAUUUGGGGGAGUUUCAUAACUUGGACGAUGGACAGAUCAUGGUUUAACUCCAGGCGUGAGGAUGCGCCAACGAAAAACACACUGCAUAGAAUUCGGCAGCGAUGAACAGCAGCAGCCUUGCAUGGGCAGAGGUGAAUUCGGCAGGAUGUGUUGAUUGCUGAGAAGCGGACAAGUAAGCAAUAUUGGUAAUACUUGCAGUUUUGGGGCACGCAGAAUGGUUGGAGAACUAGAAUGUUCGUAUGGGAGCUCAUGCGGUUCUUCGAAGUGAUUUUGUGUGGAUGUAUUUUGUGAAGGAAGGGACGGAUUCCUUGGGUGCUAGGCGUGGCAUCUAAACUUUGCGAAAACAUGCUUGCGAGUAUGAUGUGUUUGACAUUUGUGGAAAACUAACGAGCCAAAACAGAAUGUGUCACAGCUUGGUUUUUCGAAACAGGUUGACAAAGAUUCGGUGGACUGAAUUUGUUGUUGAAUGUGGGAAAAGCUAAGGGGUUUCGUGCGGAGAAACGUGGAUUGUGACGAGGAACAGAUGCGGUGCAAGGGUACUUCAAUUCUGUCCGACGAGGGCGUCGGGUUCUUUUGGUGGGGGUGGUUUGUCACAGUGUCAAAUGUGCACGAGGUGCACGCUUCGGCAGGCUGGCCAAAACAAGGCCUGAGGGUGCUGGCAGCCAUGCCAUCAGUGGGAGAAAUCGUCAGCGCAGAUUUAUGCGGCUGUAGGUUCGUCAAAGGGAAAAUCGGCAGCGCAGAUUGUUGACGAACAUGGGCUGGACGAGGGACUGUCCAAGCCUCGUCAGGAGGAUAGGCUGACGAGAAUUGGGGCUAUCGCAGAAUUCAGCAGCGUAGACAGGGGCAGCCUGCACGCAGAUGCGAAUUCGGCAGCGCAGAGAUUGGCAGCACGCAUAUGCGAAUUCGGCAACGCAUUGGCAGCCUGCCCGCAGAUGCGGAUUCGGCAGCGCGCAACAACUUGUGCAAGUCAGGGGCUCGACUUGGCACGAUCUAAAACUUGGGCGAAGGAUUGUCCAAGGCAUGGGUAAAAGAGCUCUAGGCGCUGGGACGCGCCAGCGAAGGCACACUGCCUAGAAUUCGGCAGCGAUGGAUCGCGGCAGCCUUGCAUAGGCAGAGAUGAAUUCGGCAGGCAGCAUGCAAUGGUCUAUGCGAGUCUUUGAGCUUGCGACUUGGCAUGGACGUGGGGGCUUAGAUGAUGGACCUUCUAAGUCAGCAGCUGACGCAGCAGAAGCUGGCAGCUGGGGCUGCCAAGUAGACAGCCAAGAAAUGGGGGAAGUGGCAGCUUCAUGGGAGGCAGAACGUGGGAGCAUAACUGGGGUGCUUUCCAGGCCACUAUGUCCUGAAAACAUGGGAUCAUGGGUGAGAGGUAGUGCUCCACCAUGUCCUGAAAACAUGGGAUCAUGGGAGAGAGGUAGUGCUCCACUAGGUCCCGAAAAUGGGGGAUAAUGGGGAGGAGCCUUUGCAGCUCCUUUGCUUGUCUAUAAAUACAAGAUGUAGCUCUUGGUUGUGAGGGAGCAUUCGGGUGGGAAUGUUCAGAUGUAAGGGCAUUCGGUUGGGAUUGUCCAGCAUGUAGGGGCAUGCAAGAACAUGUGUAGAACACUAGUUAGAGGUAGCUUAGUGUAGCAUGCAAUCUUUGUGCAUAGCACACAUACGGAUUUGUGUAUAGUUUCCUUUGUGUAUGAGAUUAAUAAAGGUUGGGAAAGAGUUCCUGUAAAGCUUGUUGUGCACUAUGAUUCUUAUCCUUGCUUGUGUAUUCCGCUUGCUUAGUUAUUAGGCAAACACGAGUGAGAUUGGUGAGGGAAGGCUGAGUCUAGUGAGGGACUAGGCUGCCGCACGGGUUUAUUCGCGUAGCGAAAAAUACCCCCGUGACAGAGGCCAAGGUGGUCCUCGAAUAUUUUCUUCUUUUAUGUCUCGCUCACUGGGGCAAACCAUCUUUUUCAAAAUUUUGAAAAGCAUGCCAUCAAAAAGAAUUUUGUUCAAUCCCAAUCCCACAUUGUCUGUAGAAGUAUUUACUUUUGACUGUACACUUUGUUAUUUUACAAUCCCUCCCCAGUUCUGCAACCAUUUCUCUACUUUCUAUGCACUUGGCUUGCUAGAAACUAAAGAAAACACAUUGCUCUACUUGCCUGCCUUCACUCUUCAGAUUGCUCAACAAAUCCCUUGAGACCUUCUCCAUAGUUAACACAUCACAUAAUGGCUAAUCUCAAAAAUUUAGCCAUAAACAUUGAACACCUUAAGCAAUCAACGUCCCUUCCUUCACAAUAUGCA